GAGUGACUGCAUCGAUUGGUUGAACUCCAAGCCCAAGUCAUCAGUCGUUUAUGUGUCGUUUGGGACACUUUGCGUUCUGUCAAAGCAACAAAUGGAGAAGAUUGCACGUGCUUUGCUACACAGCGGCAGGCCUUUCUUGUGGGUCAUAAGAUCAGCACCCGGAAACGGAGAAGUGGAAGAAGAGAAGCUGAGUUGCAGAGAAGAGUUGGAAGAAAAAGGGAUGAUAGUGGCUUGGUGUCCUCAGUUGGAUGUUUUGUCACAUCCAUCAUUGGGAUGUUUCAUUACACAUUGUGGGUGGAACUCAACGUUAGAGUGCCUAGCUUCUGGGGUUCCAGUUGUAGCAUUUCCACAAUGGACAGAUCAAGGGACCAACGCCAAGCUAAUUGAAGAUUUGUGGAAGACAGGCGUUCGGGUGACAGCGAAUGAGGAGGGAAUAGUUGAAAGCGAGGAGAUCAAGAGGUGCUUGGAAGUCGUCAUGGGCCGUGGAGAAAGAGGGGAAGAAUUGAGAAGGAAUGCUGGGAAAUGGAAGGAUUUGGCAAGGGAAGCUGUGAAAGAUGGUGGAUCUUCGGACUACAAUCUGAAGGUUUUUUUGGAUGAAUUGGGACAAGGCAGUAUUCUUUAGAGAAAGUUAACUUGUGUUGAUAUGAAGUUGUAUUACUGAUUGAACUCGUUCUUAGAGUGCUUGCUUUUAUUUGAAUUAGCAUGGAGCGAUCACAUUGAAAUAAAAGACAUUCGUACUAUGAACCAUUUCCUUGGUGUAAGUGUAACCACAUCUGGAGAAAAGAGAAAUUUCAAGUCUCUAUUCUCCAGCCUAUGAAAUAAAAGAGCUCCCUCUGAGCCAUUUGCUUGGCUUAAUCAAUUGAUUUUAUUUUAAAAUUUUGGAACAAAAACAUCUCCCCUUCACGAAAAAUUGUUCUCUCUCUCCUCGCUCACUCUAUACUUAAACUUACUAUUUGUCUCUCGCAUCUCUGUCUAUCGUGGAUGUCAAUAAUGUCGGUAUGAUAAGGGAAGAAUUGUAUUUUGAGGUGAGAUGAGUCUUGGUCCAAGCCUGUUAAAACGAAAAAAACAAUCUACUUCCCUACCCCCCCCCCUCUCUCUCUCUCUCUCUUUACUUCAUUUUUCUCUCACAUAUUAAUGGGUGUAACUUUUCAAAUUGAUAAAUGGUAGUUUUUUCAUUCAUUCUUUCAUUCAUUCAUGUACAGAGUAUAUAUAGAGAGGGUAAUCACCAUUCUAAGAAUAGGAAAGAAUGAUACAAGGAAAGAAUGAUAUAAGAAAAACAUUCCUAAUAUCUCAACACUCCCCCUCAAGUUGGUGCAUAGAUGUCACACAUGCCCAACUUGUCUAAAAAUUUUGAGAACACUUGACUUGAGACAGCUUUGGUGAGGAUAUCAGCCAAUUGAUCUUCUGAUCGAAUCUUAGGCAAUUCCACAAUCUUAUCAUCCAACUUUUCCUUAAUGAAGAAUCUAUCCACCUCAACAUGCUUUGUACAAUCAUGUUGUACUGGAUUAUGAGCAAUGUCACAUGCGUCUUUAUUGUCACAAAACAAUCGGAUUGGUUGCCUAGAUAGGUAACCUAAAUCUUGUAAGAGGAGUCUUAGCCAUAAUGCCUCACAAAGUCCUAGAGUCAUACCUCUAAAUUCCGCUUCUGCGCUUGAACGAGCGACGACAUUUUGCUUCUUACUUUUCCAUGUCACAAGAUUACCACCCAUAAAGGUAAAGUAACCAGAUGUAGAUAGUUUAUCAUCCACUGCACCGGCCCAAUUAGCAUCAGUAUAUACUUCUAUACUCUGAUGAUCAACAUUUUUAGUGAACAAAAUUCCUUCCUAGGAGCAUUCUUCAAAUACCUCAAAAUACACAUGACUGCAUUCAUAUGUUGCUCUCCAGGAUUAUGCAUGUAUUAACUCACUACACUCAAUGCAUAAGCAAGAUCUGGUCUUGUAUGAGCUAAGUACAUUAAUCUCCCCACAAGUCUCUGGUAUUUUCCCUUAUUGGUUGAUACUUGAUUAGGCUCAACACACAAUUUCAGACCUUCUUCUAUUGGUGUAUUAACAGGUUGACAUCCCGACAUUCCAGUCUCUUGUAAAAGAUCUAAGGCAUACUUUCCUUGAGACAGAAAAAUUCCUUCACUUGAUUGAUUCGUACCCAAUUGGUGUCUCAGCUGAUUCAUGUCCAGCUGGUGCUCCUUGACUGAGGAAGUGAUCAACAAAAUUUAUAACCUAUAUCACCAUGCAUUAGGAUAGCUUUAGCUAAUAUAGCAUAGUGGCUCUAGGAUCGUUCACUGGGAAGGGUUUUCAACUCACAACUGAUACCAAUUCAAAGCUGAGUUGGUGCUUUUUCAUUUCAAGGUUAGCUUAAGAAAUAAAACACAAACUUUGUUUAAAUGAGGUUUUGUUUAAAGCUAACUAAAAAGAAAGUAAUGGAAAUUACUUAUGAAGAAAAACAUUCCUUGGAGGUUUAGGUUCACAGGGGAGGUUCCUUAUGCAAAAACAGAGCUCCGGUCAUUUGGUUCGUUUCCUCGCAUUAAAGAAUUAACAUAUAGUCAAUUCUCUAACCGGUGUUGUAUAGAUGUAACCUUUAAAUGGAUUUCAGCUCUAAUUCCCUCUCACUGAUACAACUUGCAAUGGCUCGUGCCUCUCACCUAGCAUUUGCCAUUCAAGGUGAUCUUUAACUUUGGACUUCCCUUCUGAAGCUCGCAAGAGAUAACUAAUGGAUGUCUCCUUGGAGUCUAAAAGCUUACCAAGUGUUGGCAAUUCUAGAAAAUCCUACCUUCAAGUCACUUCCCAAAAGCUCGCAAGAGGUAAACUAGUGCAUCUCCAUGGAUGAAGAUCACUUGCUUUACCAAGUGUUGGCUCAAGUGAAUUGAAAGUGUUUUAAGUUAACUAAAAACAUAGAAAUCAUUAAAGGAUCACACUUUCUCUUUAUUAAUGACUGAAAGCACAAAGCUACUAAUUCUUGCACUUGGAACCUUUCCCGGCAACCUUAACCCCAAGGAACUAAAAGUCUAGCCACUCAUUCUCUGAGGAAACUUAAUUCCUCAGAGCUUGUUUGGCUAGAAAGAAAACUAACGAGAAAACAAUUAUAUGAAGGAAAAACAGAGCAAGUGCUCUAUGAAUUAUAUUUCUUCCUUCCGCUUAUUACAUAAUAGAUAUCUUUGUAAAGAAAAUUACAAACUAUAUAUAUGAGGUUAUUCACCCUUUGUACUUACUUAAAGACUAAGGAAUCCUAUGAUAGGUGGGUUACAAGGAGACUUUGGGGAUUUAGACAACAAAUAUCUAAAGCAAAAUAUCUCAAGAUGUCGGUUGGAAAUAUCAGGAAGCUUCAGGAGAACACCGUUGCACUGUAUACUAAGAGAAAAACUCUAUGGGUAAGCGUUAUCAAAAGGUCCGGAUAUGUCUAUCCGGAGAAGUUGAAGCGUCCUUCUCUCCCAUCCGGCUGUGAGAUAUCCGGAUGUAAAAUGUCGGCGCACAGAAUUCCGGAUGUGAAAUGUCGGCGCACGCCCCUAUCCGGACUCCCUCAGGGAGAAGCACACGGUACUCGUGAACAUCACACCCGGAUGAUAGCAUAUCCUAUCCGGAUAUGUUGUCCGGAUCAUUGACUUUCGCCGUCAUCCGAUGGUGUGUCCGGACUCCCUGUUCGGACAUCUUUUGCUCUUUGCAUUCCGGAUUUGCUUAUGGCAAAGGACUUCAAAGCUUCGAUUCUACAUGUUUCUGAGCUUUCCAUUGCUUUGCCAUGGAUUCCAAAGAACUCUCCUCAAUCUCUGAUUUCUUUGGUGAUAAAAAAGCUAUCAAAACACCAAAACUUAACACAAUUUGAUUAGAAUUGAUUGCAAGGGUCCUUAAUAUGUUAAUUGGGUUAAAAGGUGAUAACUACUACUCAAAAGUGUUUAUAAGAGUUAAUUACAAGCUAUGAAAUAGCACUUUUUGAGUAGUAAUCAUUGAUCGAGAAACUUUAAUCCCAAGAAAGUAUUUCAGAGGACCUAGAUCUUUCAUUUCGAAUUCUCUAAAUAGAUAAUUUUGCAAAGCUUUUCUUUCUUCAGGAUCACUUCUUGUAACUACCAUGUCAUCCACAUAUACUAUAAGUGUUGUAAUCUUACCAUGUUGCUUUUUCAGGAACAAAGUGUGAUCUGAAUUACUUUGACGAUAGCCAAAAGCUCUCAUUGAUUUUGUGAACCUUCCAAACCAUGCUCUCGGGGAUUGCUUCAACCCAUACAAUGACUUCUUCAAUUUGCACACCUUCUGACAUUGCUUUUCUGACACCAUGCAUCCUGGUAGAAGAUCCAUAUAUACUUCUUCAGAUAACUCGCCAUGCAGAAAGGCAUUUUUCACAUCGAACUGUUGUAAUGGCCAAUCUAGGUUUGCAGGUAAAGACAGUAAUACUCGAACUGUGUUGAUCUUAGCUACAGGUGCAAAUGUCUGUGUAGUCAAUUCCAUAAGUUUGAGUGUACCCUUUUGCUACCAGUCUUGCUUUAAAUCGUUCAAUACUACCAUCUACCUUGUACUUCACAGUAUAAAUCCAACGACACCUAACUGGUUUCUUUUUUGGUGGACAUUCUAUGAGUUCCCAUGUUUCAUUCUUUUGCAAUGAUUUCAUCUCUUCAUUCAUGGCUGCUUUCCACCUUGGAUCAGCUAAGGCUUCCUACACACUGUUAGGAAUAGCUACAGUAGAUAAUUGAUUUACAAAUGACUUAUUUGAUUCAGACAAACGAUGAUUAGACACGUAAUUGCUCAUGGGAUAUUUGACUUUGGUAGACAAUUCAGGUUCAUAUGUGGGUUUAGGAAUACCUUUAUUAUGACGGUGUGGUAAUUGUUUCAUGAAUGGAUUAGGUUCCAAAUUAAGAACACCCUUAGCAGACGACGAUUGGUUUGGUAUUUCAGUGAAGACAUCUUCGGACCCAAAUUAUUGACCACUCAUAUCCAACUCACCCGCUUCCUGGUUCACUAGUUCAGAUUGUCCAGAUUCAUCUUCCUCAAAGAUAUGAUAAUCAUAAUCGAGAGUCUGAAUUUCCUUAUGGUACUCCCCCUGAAGUUCAGACUCAGAUGAAAAAUACAUCAAAUCUUCAUGAAACACCACAUCCAUUGUAAUAAACAUUUGUCGAGUUGGAGGAUGGUAACAUCGAUAUCCCUUUUUCUGCAAUGCAUAUCCAACAAACACACUUUGUUAUGCAUGGGAAGUUAACUUGGCGCGUUGGUGUUUGCGUAGAUGCACAAAUGCCACGCAACAAAAAACAUGAGGAGGUAGAUUUGGGACGGUUGGGGCAACUACGACAUUAGUAAGAGCUUGGAGGUGUUUGGAAGUUAAUUGAGCUAGAAGGUACCCGAUUGAUAAAGUAUGCGGCAGAUGUGAUUGCUUCUCCUCAAUAAGAUAUCGGUAUUUUUGCUGCUAUCAAGGAAGCACGAACAACCUCUAACAAGUGCCGAUUUUUCCGUUCAGCGACUCCAUUUUGCUGGGGUGCAUUGGAACAAGUAGUCUGAUGAAUGAUGUCAUGUUCUUCCAAAUACUUUUGAAGAUCAAAACUCUGAUAUUCUCCACCAUUAUCACUAUGCAAAACCCGAACCUUUGCAUUGUACUGAGUUUCAAUUAUUUUAUGAAAAUUUUAAAAUAACAAGUUCACUUCAUCUUUGGUCUUCAUCAAGUAUAACCAUGUCAUUCUGGUACAUCAUCAAUAAAAGUAACAAACCAACGUGAGUCACUCAAAGUUGGGACUUUGGAUGGGCCCCAAACAUCAGAAUGUAUAACCAUAAAAGGAAGCAGACUUUUAUUCAAAAUUAACGAAAAAGAAGCAUGAUGACUUUUAGCCAAUUCACAAAUAUCACAACGGAAACCAGAAAUAUCACUCUUUGCAAACAAACUAGGAAACAAUUUUUUUAAAUAACCAAAGGAAGCAUGUCCUAGACGUCGAUGCCACAACCAAAUUUCAGACUUUUUCUUCUCCUCCUCAGAUCCAUCUGCCAUCAAAGCUUGUUGCAACUUAUUUGAAUCAUUUGACUGCAAGUCCAAGUAAUAGAGUUUUCCCCGCUUAAUACCACAACCAAUCGUCUAUCUUGUUUGGAUGUCCUUAAUCACACAAAAUUCAAGCCAAAAAAUGACAAUACAAGAUAAGGCUGCAGUGAUUUGAGAAACUGACAAAAGAUUGUAAUCUAGAGAUGGAACAAUUAAAACAGAAUCCAAAUUCAAAGUAUCAGUAAGAGUUAAGGAUCCUUCCCUAAUGAUUGGGGUUGUGUUACCAUUGGCUGUGGAAACAAUUUUUUGUGAAGAAGGUCUAAGGGGUGAAACCUGUCUAGAAUCAAAAGUCAUAUGAUCUGUAGCACUAGAAUCAAUUAUCCAUGCACUAUUAAUAACAGGUGUAAAAGUAUUUAAAAACUUACCACCAUGAUCUAUAGCGGCUACCAAUGUAGAGGCUUUCUCAGCAACAUUAGCCUUUGUUUUUAUUUCGGUAACAGUUGCAGUCGAGGUUUUCUUGGAAUCCUUCUUCCGUUGAUCACGAUUAUCAUUAAUAACAAAGUGGUGAUAGCCUAAACAUGAUCUAAAGGUCCAUGGUUCAAACCCUCGGUUCCUCAUUGUUUUCCUGGUCAUACCAAGAGUCGUUGCUUUGAAAUUGUGGGAUAUCCAGACUGAUGGAAUCAGUCUUAUUGCAGUGAGUGCAUUUGAAGGUUGACUUAUCAAUAUUAGGGCUUGUCUUAGGAUGGUUGAUUGUUAUCGAACUACCAUAGCAAAAAAAUAUCCAAGAUUUCAAUUCCAUGGCUCUAAUACCAUCUUCAAAUUGAUAAAUGGUAGCUUUUUCAUUCAUUUUUUCAUUCGUUCAUGUACAGAGUAUAUAUAGAGGGUAAUCACCAUUCUAAGAAUAGGAAAGAAUGAUACAAGGAAAUAAUGAUAUAAGGAAAGCAUUCCUAAUAUCUCAACAGUAACCAUGUAGAUGGAUUCCCAAUUUGAGAGGUGACACUAUUUCCUCAAUUAUUUCUUUCUCUCUCUCUAUUCACUUCAUCUUUCUCUCACAUAUUAAUUGGUGAACCAGGUAGAUCGAUUCCCAAUUUGAAUGGUGACACUAUUUCCCCUAUUAUUUCUUUCAAAAUCAUACUCAACAAAUUGAAUAUUAAAAAUUAAUGGUUAAAAAUUAUUAUUGUCAAAUCCAUUUUUUAAGUAAAUAUGUUUAAAACACCUCAUAAAAUAUUAUUAUUCUUUUUUUUUUUAUCUAACUUACAAAUUAUAUAUAUGAUAUAAACUAUUUUUUUAUAUAUAAAUAUCUUUAAGGUUAUAGACAAUUAUUUGAAUAUUUUUCUAUUUUAUAAAAAUUACAUAGAUUUUGUCUUAAUCUAUUAUUUUGUAACAUGAUCAUCUUUUAAUUAAUUUUAAAUUGAAUAAUAUAUUAUAAUUUAAUAGUUUAAAAAUAUUAAAAUACCCUUCUAAAUCUGAAAUUUAUGUGGAAUGUCCCUCAUUCUUGAUAAAGGGAAACAUGCGAACUGAGUUUUUAAAAAUCAGCUAAAUUCCUUCAAAGAAGAUAUUCUUGUGUACCCUUGUACAAUUAAUACAUUUACUUUAUACACUUAGUAUAAAUACUUUGUACAUGUGCACAAAUUUCAUAAACCUAAAAUGCAAUAUGUGCAUAUGGUUAGGUUAACUAUGUUUCCAUUAUCAUGACUCAAGAAAAAAAGGAAAAAUUAAACCCAAUUUAUGUUCAUAUUUAUCAUUAGUGGGGUAGAUAAUCGAAUAAACAUAUACCAUAUAAAAAAAAUACGUGGGAUGAGUAUUACAAUAUCAUAUCUUAUUUCUUUUUUAUAAAUAAUAUCUCAUAUUAAAUUAGAAAGUAAUUUACUUUAAUAGAUCAAAAUGUGCACAAUUAAUCUAUUACUUAGUUAAUUAUGGAUAUAUUAGAAUUUUUAUUACACAAAAAAGAAUAAUAGGGAAAAUAAAAUUAAAAAGAGUAAUAUAUUAAUUAUUUUUCAUGUAAAAGAUAGUAACACAAAAAAAAAACACACAAUUGAUUGAUUCCUUUGUUUAAUUAUGAACAUAUUAUAUUUUUUAUUUUAUUAUUAAAAUAACUAAUGAAAAAAAAUAAAAAAGAAUAAUCAAUGAAUAAAAUAUAAUUCUUUUUAUUAUUUUCAUAUAAAAAGCAAUAUUUUCAAUUUUCAGUUUCUAAUUAAACGUAUUUUCAAAAAGAGAAAAUUUAAAUGUAUAAAAAAAAAAUAGUGAAUAUGUUUAUUUUAAUAGUGUUUUAAUCAUUAAAUUAUUUACUCUUAAAAUAUAAAAGAUAGAUUUUAUUCAUUUAAAUUAACAUGUUUUUUAAAAGGGUAUUUUUAAAAAUGGUUUUUGAAUUAUUAAUGUAAUUUUUGUUUAUUUAUAAUUUAAAAAUAAAAAAUAAUGUUGAUUUUUAAUUAUUUAUAAAAGAAUUUUAAAAAUAAUAAAAUUUUAAAAAUGGUUGAAUAAGGGAGAGUGGUGGAAUAAAUACUAGUUCCCGUGAUCACCACACGAGCCCGAACAAUUUAUUAUGUGGUAAGUGAAAUGAGUAUUUUUGUCCAUUGUCAUAUCCUUACAAGGUAAUAGGAGGAGCACAAUUCUCCCAAUAAUAAACGUGCUCUCUCUCUCUCUCUCUCUCUAGAUCUCUUCAUCUCUUCCACGGUUGCCAGGCUGCCAGCUAUAUCAGUUCCAACGAUGCUCUCUCUCUCUCUCCUUCGACAUCAUUCAAAGUUGCAUCAGUUGAUUGUGAGAUUGGGAUCCACAUGAAAUGAGUAUUUUUGUCCAUUGUCAUAUCCUUACAAGGUAAUAGGAGGAGUACAAUUCUCACAAGGUAAUAGGAGGAGCACAAUUCUCCCAAUAAUAAACGUGCUCUCUCUCUAGAUCUCUUCAUCUCUUCCACGGUUGCCAGGCUGCCAGCUAUAUCAGUUCCAACGAUGCUCUCUUUCUCUCCUUCGACAUCAUUCAAAGUUGCAGUAGUUGAUUGUGAGAUUGGGAUCCACAUGAAAUGAGUAUUUUUGUCCAUUGUCAUAUCCUUACAAGGUAAUAGGAGGAGCACAAUUCUCCCAAUAAUAAACGUGCUCUCUCUCUCUCUCUCUCUAGAUCUCUUCAUCUCUUCCACGGUUGCCAGGAUGCCAGCUAUAUCAGUUCCAACGAUGCUCUCUCUCUCUCUCUCUCCUUUGACAUCAUUCAAAGUUGCAGUAGUUGAUUGUGAGAUUGGGAUCCACAUGAAAUGACCUGUACUUGUCAGCUAUGCCAGAGAUAAGAGAGUUUUUGAUAGAACCCAGUAAAGUCAAGGGCAGACUCCAAUAAGCAUGAGAAGAAAACAAUUGCUGUUCUGUACUAUCAUCUCUUUAUGAUACAUGUCCAGGGAAAAAGACCCCUGGGACCAUUGCUUUUCCACUUUACAUGGUGGAUUGGUGAAUAUAUUUUAUUUUAUUUUAUUAAUUUUACCUCCAUUUUGGGGGUUUUUUUCCAUGUGAAAUCUCCAUGUUCAUAUUGAGUUGUUGCUGAUUUGUUUAAUGACAUGCCUUAUUGAGUUAAUCCAUGUGUUGUGAAUUUUAAUGGUUUUUUUUUUCUAGUUUUUGGAACCAUUUGAUUUUUGCCAAAAAAACAAAAACAAAAAUUACUAUUCAUGAUGUAGAAUUCCAAUAUUUUUAAUCUUUUUAACUAACACUUCCAAAUUAUUAUGAAAAAAAUUAUUUUUUAAAAUUAAAAAAGAUAAAAAUACUUCCUAAAAUCACUAUCAAAUAAGUUUUUCAAUAGCAGUUUGAUAGUGAUUUUAAAAAGCGUUUCUAACAUUUAUAAUACUAUUUUUUUUAUUUCUUUAAGUAUUAAAAAUGGGUAAAAACACUUAAUAAAAUCAUUUCCAAACCGACUAUUAAUCUUUGAUCAUAAUUAAAUUAUAAUCCAAUUAUUAUCAUUAUGUCGCAAAUAUAUAAUUUAUGUAUUAUUAUAAUUCAAAAUAACAUGAAGAAGUUAAAAUUAUAUUUAAAUAAUUUAAAAUUUUAAAAUAUUUUAUUCUUUUAUCUUUAAUAUUAUUAUAUUAAAUAUAAAACAUAAAUGCAUUAAUAUUUCAUUAUUUUAUUUUCAAUAUUAUUAUAUUAAAUAUAAAUAAAAGUGUGUUACUAUUUUUUAUUUUGUUAAAUAGGAGAAUUAUUAUAUUUAAUUAUUAAGAAGAAAUAUCAUGUAUUAAAGAGUGAAAUAAAAUUUUAUUAUUAAUUUCAUUCACACUUCAUUAGCAUUUCAUUAUUAUUCAUUUGAAUUUCAUUAGUAUUAUAAUUUUAUCAUAUUUAGUUUUAGUACAGCUAAAGAGUCAUUUUUAGUGGCACAGAGGUAGGCUAUGGAUAAGUUUUUUAUGGCCCAAUGGCGGUUUUACAACUGUACAUAUCAUUUAUUGCCCAAUCAUCUGCUUACCUAAUUUCAGAGAUUUAAUAAUUUUAUUAAAAAAUUUGAUAGAAUAUUCUACAAAGCAGUUGGAUCUUCAUCUUGAGUUAAGCACUAAAAAAUAUUGAAAAUAAUUUCAUAAUUCUUUUGUUUUAAAAGGAGUACUCACGUUCAAGUCAUAAAGAAGGAUAAGUGGAGAAUUUUUAUUAAAAGUUACAAUAGAAAAGGAAUUAGUUGAAAAACCUAACUUGUAAAAUGUGCAGGGGGUUAAUGAGUGAUUUUUAAAUAUUUUAAUACAAGAGUUGAAAAUUUUAAUUUAAUUGAUUUCUUGAGAAUGAAUAAUUUAUAAAACAAUCAAUAAUAGGGGGACAAAAUUUUAUGUAGAAAACCCUCCACACAAAGUGUGAAGAUGAAAAAUCAUGGAGCUUAAGAUCUCAAAUCAAUAAUUUACUAUAUGAAAUCGUAAUACACGGUUUUACCUAAACAAACACUACUUAAAACUUACUCUUCAAUACAUAUAUCAUGAUACAUGUUGAUGCAGCACCUUGAGUGCUUAAAUGGAUUCAUCUCAACUCUUAUGGUGAUGCAAGUUUCUCCAAUAAUCCAAAAUUCGUUUAACAAAUCUUUGAGAGCUUUUGGGAAUGGUAGAGCAAAUUAGGGUUUUUCAAAAUAAGGACAUCCAAGUUUAAAACACAUUUAUGUAGAGCAUACAUAAGCUCAAGGACAUAGAGGAUUGGAAACAAAAUCUUAUUAAAAAUAAAAUAAAAUCUCAAAUUUUCAAACAACAAACUCCUAGAAUCUAGUGGAUUUUGAAACAAUGUUCAAGCAAACUUAGUCACCACUUGAGCACUUAAAUAAGUGCUUGAAUGUUGGCUUUAAUGAUGGAGAGCUUUGGUGAGCGCUUGAGCAUUACUACAAGUUUUCAAAAAUUGUUUAAAAACAUUUUAGCUUAAUUUUAAGUUUCUGAUCUAACCCAUACCAUUUCAAAAACUAACUCAUAUUUACCAAAAUAUUUUCAGACUUAUCUAUGAUGUUUUGAUUGAUUGAACAACAAUCUCAAAUCUUCAAUAAAGAGUAAGAGAGUGUUUGUUUGUUUGUUUGUUUUUUUUAUAAAAAAAAAAUUCCUGAAAAUAUUUUGCUUUUAGACUUUAGAUAAUUUAUUUUUAGGACUUAAUAUAAGUUUUUGAUUGAAUAGAAGAAAUCAAACUAUUUAGUUUUUUCUAAAUAUAAAAGGUAACAUAUUAAUUUUUUUAUACUUUUUAAUACUUAAUAAAAAUAAAAUGUUAUAAAAACAAACAACUUGAUAUUUAACAUUAUUAAACACUAUUUAAUUUUAAGUUCUAUUUAUAAUUAAGUUAAAACAAAAAACAAAUAUCACCUAAGUCGAUAUUUUAAAAGAUCCUAUGCUAGAAUGAUUAUCAAAUACAAUCCAUUAAAAGCAAGAGAUGGGUUCAAGUUAAGUCUUUAUUUUUUAACCUUUGGUUUAAAUAACUAAAAAGUAUUAAACAAGAAAAAUAGAAAUAAAUAGAGCUUUUAUUUUAAUAAAUAGUUAAAAAUUAAGAAUAUUUAUAAUAAAAAUCAAUAUAAAUUAAAUCAAAAUAUAUAGGUUAGUAUAGAGAUUGAACACUAUAAUUUUACCAUUUAUUUAAAUCUGGAUUCAUGCAUAUAUUUUGAAAGAUACCCAAAUGUAUAAAAUAGCAGGAUCAAUUUUUGAGACGUGAGGGCAUGUUCCAAUGUUAGCGACCCAAAAGAAGCCAUUUUCAUUUUUGGUAGUUAGGAACCAUAUUAUUGGAAUUAAUAUGCUUCAUUGUACUCUUUUUUAUUGCUUUCCUGUCACCACCAAUAUGAAAAUUUGGUGAAAUGAAUGAAUGUGCUUUACUAUUCUCUUGUUCACCACUUCCUUAUUGGCUUGCGGAGAGUGAGGGGUUGGAAACCCUACCAUGGAUGAUGGCCAUUUUUAUUUUUUAUUUUAUAACAUAUUGACAUAUAUAUUAUGUAUAUUUAUGCCUUAUUUUUUGGGUUAUUUGAUUAAAAGGUUCAUUGAAAACCCAAUUUUGAAAGUCCAUCUCUUCAUCCAUUUUUGGCCUCAUUUUGAUAAAAAUACCUUGGGAGAUACUGGGCUUAAUUGUUGGCCACCCACGAGUCUGCCCACCCAUUCAAGUGGUCGGUACCACCCCCAUCAAUAGAACUGAAGCCUUUAUUGAAAGGGUAACCAGAAUUGCGCGAUCUAGAUAGAUCUCCCUAGACGUAAUGGUUCUCAGAACCAAGUCAAUGAACCUCUAACCAAAAGAGAAUGACACCACCUCACCCAAUCCAAUUUUCCCAGGAUAAAUAGAGAUCACCCAAGAGACAACCACCAUGGGUCGCCCAUUGGGAUAGGAUGCUUGAAAAAUCAAAGCUUGGAUCACCUAGGGCCCCUAAUAGUCAAUCUAGAAAAUCUAAACAUAUGUGGUCUCAAGAACAACAUACUAGCCUACACCCUGACUUAUGUGGCAUAGACACCAAGGGCUACGACAAGACUGAUACAAGGAACGAGGAGUGGCAACAAGACUAGUAUGAGAAACAAGGGAUUGCGAAAAGAUUGAUACAAGGAGCAAGUCCCAAAGCAAAGCUUUAACAGGUUUUGUUAGAAACAAAUACUGGAAAGGUCACCUAUGCGUCGCCUAAAAUAGGUUCCGUCCACCCAACUGUGGAUGCCAUGCAACCUUUGAUGUCUGUCCCCUAACAUACCACUCCCCUAAGAGAAAGUUGACUUACUUGACUAGUCAGUUGAUAACUUGGAAGCCCUAUAAAAGGAGAAGAAGAAUAAAGGAAAGGUAAAAAAGCAAAGGCACAUAUCAGAAGAGAAGGUCACACUUAAAGGUAGCUAGUCUAGUCCUCCGAAUAGUCAUUAGAUCCUCGUAUUCAAAACGAUUGUGCAUCAACAAUUGAUGUCAUCUAUGGUAAUGUAACAAAAAGGUCAACCAUGAUGACUACAUGGGUAGCUAGCCACGCCGAUAAUACGUAUGUUGUCUUGCCAACUAUGGAGCAAUAGCUGGCACCUGAGCCCUAGCUAGUGGAGUAUCAGAGACAGCUAGAUGAGUUGAGAAGAACUGUUGAUCGGUUGAGGAAACAAAACAAGAUAUUGGUAGCCCAACUCAAUGCAGCUAUCCAAGAACCAUCGACAGAUGAUGAGGCCCUAGUUGGCCUUUCGAAAAAAAACCUCUUGGGUCUAUCGAACGAGCUGAUCCACCUAGGACCACAAACCCUCGAGAGGGGAUAUGUGACCGCCAAACCCUAGAAAGAGAACUCCUUGAGCAAAGUUAUCAGCCCUGCCCAGGGCUGAACCAAAAGGUAUCGCCCAAAAGACACCAACCGACCAUGAACUGAGCAAACAGUUUUCUUGUGUGAGGCCAUCGAGAAAGUUUCGCUCAGAACCACCACACACCUUCUUGAUGAUAUGUUGUCAACACUCCUGACUCCCCAUAUCGUGCAAAAAAGGCAUCCCCCAAGGUUCACGAUACCUAAAUUCACCAUGUAUGAUGGUACCAUAGACCAUUUCGACCAUUAUCACCAAGUAAUUACCCUGGACAUAGGAGACAAUGCACUUUUAUGCAAAGUAUUCCCCACUAACCUAUAUAGCCCAACCCUUGUCUGGUUCCAUCAACUCGCGGCCAAUCCAAUCAAUGACUUUCGAGAACUGUCAAAGGUGUUCGUGGAACACCAUUAUGCUCCUCUAGACAGAAACAGGGCCUCAGUAGCCUAAGCAAUUUGAAAAUGAUGGAGUCUAAGUCCAUUUGGGAUUUUAUGUGAAGAUUUGGACAAGCCUUGAUCUAAAUGGAGCCUUGCAGCACCAAUGUGAUCAUGCGAGCCUUCAAAUGAAGUUUCAUCUUGAGGGCCCCACUCUUCAAAUCUAUAUCAAAGAAGCCACCAUAGACAAUGGAUGACCUCUCACUACAACAAGUAUCGCUUUUUGCCACGAUAUAUAUUUUUUUUUUUGCCAUAAACUAAAUUUUGUGGCAAAAUGUCACUUUGAGCCACAUAUUUCAUUUUCGUCAUUAAAAAUAUGACCCAAAUAAUUCUUACAAAAUAUAUAACAUUUUACCAUAAACUCAUUUUUUGCCACAAAAUUAUUCAUGGUAAAAUAUUACUUGUUGAUAUGAAGUUAAUUUUGUUGCUAAAAGUAUGGUGGGAAUAAUUCAACUUUAUGCCUCAAAAUUAUUUGUAGAAAAUAUCAUUUUUUUAGCCACAAAUUUACAUUUCAUCUUUAAAAUUAUGGUAAAAAUAAUUCUCACAUGACAUUUGACAUUCUGCUGUGAACUUUACUUUUUAAUAUGAAAUUAUUUUUAAUAAAAAAAAAAUAUAAGAAAUGACUUAGAAAUUUCAAUUUUUGUUCAAAUUUUUUUUUUCACAAUCUAAUUAGAGGUAGAAAAUUACUUUUUAUUUUAAUUAUAUAUGCACCACUUUUUAUAUAAUAAAUUAAAUAUUAAAUAGAACUAUUAAAUAAUUAUACAAAAUAGUCCUUUAUUAUAAAAAUAAUUUUUUUCUUAAAACAUAAAAAAGUUUGAUGUUUGAUAAAAAGUGAAAAAAAGUCAUUUUAUAUUUUUAUGUGAGUUUAACAAUUAUAAUUUUUAAUAUAUAGAUGAAAUUUAUAAAAAUUUAAUAAAAAUAUAGACAUUUUGAAGUCUAAAUUUUAUUUUAAAAUUUUCAUGGAAAGAAAUUUACUUAUUAAUUAAAAAUAUAAUGAAUCAAAUAAAAUAAGAUUGUGAAAAUAAAAAAUAGACUCUCGGCUUUAAUGUAGACUUUUUUUUUCUUUUAAUUUUUUAAUUUACAUCACUAUUAAAUAUGUUUUUUUCAAAGAUUUCUUUACUAAGAGUUUCGAUUUUUAUUAUAUUUUAGUCUAAAUAAUUAUAUAAUUUUUUUUUAGUUUUUAUUUUUUAUUUUUAAAAUUCUAUCUUUGAAUAUUUUUUCAAGAAUAAUUAUGCAAAUAAGUAUUGAUAAUUUAUAAAGUUUGUUUUGAAAUCUUUAAUUUUUUUUUUCAAGUUUGUACUCGUUUAUUGAUAGAGCAUAAAAAAUAAUCGUAAUUUGAGAUUAGUAUAAAGAAAGAAAUAAUGUUGAACCUAAUUAAAAAUUUGUUAUUUUUCUUUAAACAUCGAUUGAUUUAUAGAAAAUAUGGUGAAAGUCUCUUCAAAGAAUGGUGAUAAAGUGAAGGGUCAUGAGUUCGAAUCCCAAUGAUUAUAGUUUAAUAUAAGAAUUAUUAGGAGGCCAAAAUAUCCUUCCCUAGGCUUGAAAUAGGUGUGGGGGUGUCAUCAUGUUUCUAGAAAUGGAUACUCAUGCUCCUAACCUCCAUAAAAAAUGAAAAAUAAAAUAUUAUCAUAGCAUUUUUACCACAAACAUAAAUUUGUCACUAAAGAUAUUAUGUUCCCAUAAAAUAACAUUCGUUGUUAAAAGAGACUUUUUGCCACAAAACUUUUCUCAAGAUAGAGAUUUUUUUUUUAUCAUGAAUAGUUUUUUUUUUUGCCACAAAUAUUAUUCAUUGCUAAAAUUUACUUUUAGUGACAAAAAAUUUUAUUUGUUGGUAAAACAUUUUAGUGACGGACUUGUUGCAAUUAUUUUGCGACGAAUGUUUUUUGUGGCAAAAAAUAUUUGCCAAAAAAAUUUAACUCUUUGUUGUAAAAACAUUUGUUGUGAAACAUUAUAUUUGUUGUAGUGUCUUCCGGAGAACCACCAAGUACACCAUGCUAAAAGAGGAUCUCAAAGCGGCAUCCUAGCAAAUUGUUGCGACAUCUAUGACGAUUACUUCCCGAUAGAGCGAACAUAACCAGCCCAUCGAAGGACUUUGUUAGCCCAAGGGUUCUCCUAAUCGGGUUUUGAUGAUAACAAACCAUGGAUAAGUAACUAAUUGGUUUAAUGUUUAAUAAUCUUAGGUAUAAACUCGAAAAAUCAUCAAAGGACCAAAUGGAUAUAAGAUCGAGACACUUGAAAGACUUGAGAUCAUAGGAAACUAAUGUAAGAUGAAUGCAUGAGUGCACUUAAGACUUUCAUACGUUUUCAUGCAACUUAGAAAACUCGGUUUAUUCUUUAAAACAUCGACUUCAUUAAAACCCGAGUUUUUAACUAAUUUACCUUAGGCAAAAUGUUUCAAAAUUGGCUUAAUAAUUUACUUAAAGACCUUGCCUAAGUGUUAGAAAAGAAAGGAAUCAAAAAAUAGGUUUCUCGGGGCCAAAAAGGCUCAACCAGUCGAGGCUAAGGCCAACCGGUCAACAGGUUGAGGAACCGGUCAACCGGUUUGGGUUGUCCGGUCGAGGAAGGUUAAAAACCUUCUCUCUCCCCCAAUAGCCUUCUCUUCCCAGUCGAGGUGAUUCCUUUAUCGGUCGAGGUCCGGUCGAGAACCGGUUGAGGUCCGGUUGAGGCAACGGUAACCUGUCAUACAUUAAAUGCUCCAACAGCUAGUGAACCGGUCAACCCCUAGCUCGACCGGACGAGGUUGCCUUUUGCUGAUUUUGAAUCCCGAGCUUAGAAACCUAUAAAUUGAGAGCUCCACUUCAUUUAUUGAUAAGAGAACACUUGCAUUCAAAGCCCACCUACCUGUUCUUGAUCAAAAAGCUCUCAUUUCUUUCAUAAGUGCAUUAAAUCACCACUUGCAUAUCCUUUAGUGCACUCUUGUUGUCAUCCUAGCUUUGCCUUGUAUUUGAGCCAUCUUUAAGCUAGGUUGAGUGAGUAUACUUUGUAACAAUCUGAGUGUUAAAGCCUUCAAGAGGGUUGAAUCUGAAGAGGUUGUGUAAGAGCCCAUUGGAGCCGGAAUCCAAGUGUAAGAAGAUUGGAAGCUUGGUUGAAGCUUCAAGUUAGUGGAACCCUCACUCGGUUAGGAGGUUGAGGAGAGUGGACGUAGGCAAGGAAGUGUCGAACCACUAUAAACCCGAAUUUGAAUUCUCUCAACUCUAUCUCUUUACUUUGUUUAUAUUUUGUUUAAUUUUGUUGUGAUUGAAAAGAUUUUAAAAACUCAAUCCCCCCCCCCCCCCCCCUUUUGGGUGUUUUUCUUAACUAAACAUAGCCUUUGUUUUCUCAAUUGGUAUCAGAGCUAGACUUCUUCUUUUAAGACUUAAUUGUCUAAAAGGAAAUGGCUAUUCCAUCAAGCUCAUCCCAAGCUGAAAUUUUUCAAAACAUAGAGCUCCAUUCUUUACGAGAAUCAACUAUCCCUAUUAGAAAACUAGAAUGACUUGGUAUUUGCAAUCUACUGAUUUAGAUGUAUGGGAUGUCAUUGAAGAUGGCCCAACUUUUCCCACUAAACUAGUGGAUGGUGUUUUGGUUCCAAAACCCAAACAAGAAUGGAAUGAGCUUGAUGGAAGAAACUUUCAAUUAAAUGCUAAAGUCGUUUUUACUUUACAAUGUGCUAUGGAUAGAAAUGAAUAUAAUAGAAUAUGUCAAUGCAAAUCGGCUAAAUAAAUUUAGAGGUUGCUUGAAAUAACUCAUAAAGGAACUAAUCAAGUGAAAGAGUCAAAAAUCAAUUUACUUGUUCAUAAUUAUGAAUUGUUUUCAAUGAAAGAAACUGAGACUAUUGUUGAGAUGAUUACUAGGUUCACCGACAUUGUCAAUGGUCUUGAAGCUUUGGGAAAAACCUAUAAGGAAUCCGAGAAGGUGAUGAAGAUAUUGAGGUCUCUCCCAUCAAAGUGGCAUACCAAGGUCACCACAAUUCAAGAAGCAAAAGACUUGACUAAGCUACCUAUGGAAGAGCUCAUAGGGUCAUUAAUGACAUAUGAGAUCAAUUUGACAAAGAAGCUACAAGAGGGUGAAGACGAAAAGAAAAAGAGCAUAGCCCUUAAAGCUACAACCAAGGAAGAAGAAAAUGUUGAAGAAGAAAAGCCAAGUGAUGAAGAUGAUGAUUUAGCCCUCAUCACAAGAAAACUCAAUAAAUUCAUGAGAUGUGAAAGGUUUAGAGGAAGGAAAUUCACCUCUAGAAAGGAUCCUUCUAAAAAGGAAUCUUCAUCCCAUGGUGACAAGGAGAAAUGGGAAGAGAAGAGAGAAUUGACAUGCUUCAAGUGCAAAAAGUCGGGACACAUCAAAUAUGAUUGUUCUCUCUACAAGAGUGAAGCCAAGAGAAGAAUGAAGAAGACAAUGAUGUCCACUUAGAGUGAAAGUGAAGAAUCCUCCAAAGAAGAAAAUGAGAAGGAAGUGGCAAACAUGUGCUUCAUGGCAAUAGAUGAUCUUGAUGAGGUAAACUCUAACUUUAGUGAUGAAGAUAUGCAUGAUGUUUUUGAAGGUUUAUAUGAGGAUUUUGAAAAACUUAGUUUGAAAAAUAAUUCUCUUAAAAAGAAAAUUCAAGAUCUUGAAAAGGAACUUGAAGAAGUGAAAGAAAAGUUUUCAAUUGAUGAAUUAUCUAAAACUCAUCUUGAAAAGGAAAAUGAGAUUUUAAGGAGUGAAAAUGAGAUUUUGAAAAAGAAAAAUGACUGUUUAACCUCCUCUCUUUCAAUUUUCUCUUGUGGACAAAAAUCUUUUGAAAUGAUCUUAGCUAGCCAAAAAUGUGUCUUUGACAAACAAGGGCUAGGAUUCAAAUCAUCAAAAAAUCAAAAGUAUUUUAAAAACUACUUUGUAAAAGAAUCCGCAAGUGCAAGUCCUUCCACCACUUGCAACUUUUGUGGAAGAGGAGGGCACAUUAGUAGUACAUGUCCCUUAAGAAAUGGUACUCAAAAGAUUUCUAAUGCUAAAGCUAAAAAGGUUUGGGUUGAAAAAUCCAAGGUCACUAACCCUCAAGGACCCAAAAAUAUAUGGGUACCUAAAUCAACUUGAAUUUUAUUUUGAAGGGAUCAAUGAAGGAUAAGUGGUUCUUGGAUAGUGGAUGCUCAAGGCACAUGACCGGGGAUGAAUCCAAGUUCGCUUUCCUUACAAAAAGAAAGGGAGGAUACGUUACCUUUGGAGACAAUUCAAAAGGAAAGAUCAUUGGUCAAGGCAACAUUGGUAAUGACACAUCUUCUCUUAUUGAAAGUGUUUUAUUAGUUGAUGGUUUAAAACAUAAUCUUUUGAGCAUAAGUCAACUUUGUGACAAAGGUUUUAAAGUGAUUUUUUAAGCAUCUCAUUGCAUCAUCAAAGAUAUUCAAAAUGAUAAAACCAUCUUCAUGGGCCAUAGAUGUGAUAAUGUUUAUGCAAUAAAUAUUUCAAAAUAUGAUGACCAUGAUAGAUGCUUUUCAAGCAUGCAUGAUCAAAGUUGGUUGUGGCAUAGGAGGUUGGGACAUGCUAACAUGGACCUCAUUUCCCAACUCAACAAAGAUGAACUUGUUAGAGGCCUUCCCAAAAUAAAUUUUCAAAAAGACAAAGUUUGUGAAGCUUAUCGAAUGGGAAAGCAAAUCAAAAACUCUUUUAAAAACAAAAAUUUCAUUUCAACAACUAGACCUCUUGAAUUGUUGCAUAUGGAUUUAUUUGGUCCCUUUAGGACACCAAACCUUGGAGGAAAAUCUUAUGCUUUUGUUAUUGUGGAUGACUUCUCUAAAUACACUUGGGUCUUAUUUUUAAGUCAAAAGAAUGAAGCCUUUUAUGAGUUUUCAAAGUUUUGCAACAAGGUUCAAAAUGAAAAAGGUUUUACAAUUACUUGUAUAAGAAGUGAUCAUGGAAGAGAAUUUGAAAAUAUUGAUUUUGAAGACUAUUGCAAUGAGCAUGGUAUUAACCACAACUUUUCGGCUCCUAGAACUCCUCAACAAAAUGGGGUAGUUGAAAGGAAAAAUAGAACUCUUCAAGAAAUGGCUAGAACCAUGCUAAAUGAAAACAAUUUACCAAAAUAAUUUUGGGCCAAAGUCGUUAACACUUCUUGUUAUGUUUUAAAUAGAAUUUUAUUAAAGCCUAUUCUUAAGAAAACUCCCUAUGAGCUUUGGAAAAACAAGAAACCCAACAUUAGCUAUUUCAAAGUCUUUGGGUGCAAAUGCUUUAUAUUAAACACCAAAAACAAUCUUGGAAAAUUUGAUGCAAAAUCGGAUGUUGGAAUUUUUCUUGGUUACUCAACUUCAAGUAAAGCUUUUAGAGUUUUUAACAAAAGAACCAUGGUAGUUGAGGAGUCCAUCCAUGUUAUUUUUUAUGAAUCUAACAAUUCUCUCCAAGAAAGAGAGAGCUUUGAUGAUGAUCUAGGCUUAGAGACCUCCAUGGAAAAAUUACAAAUUGAAGAUAGAAGGCAACAAGAAGAAGUUGUAGAGGAUCCCAAGAAAGAGAAAUCACCUUUGGCACUACCUCCUCCUCAACAAGUGCAAGGUGAAUCAAGCCAAGACCUCCCUAAAAAUUGGAAGUUUGUCAUCAACCACCCACAAGAUCAAAUUAUAGGUAAUCCAUCUAAUGGGGUAAGAAUUAGAUCAUCCCUUAGAAAUAUUUGCAAUAAUCUUGCUUUUAUCUCUCAAAUUGAACCUAAAAAUAUGAAAGAUGCUCUAGUUGAUGAAAAUUGGAUGAUUGCCAUGCAAGAAGAGUUAAACCAAUUUGAAAGAAGUGAAGUAUGGGAAUUAGUGCCAAGACCUCAAAAUCAAAGUGUUAUUGGAACUAGAUGGGUCUUUAGAAACAAAAUGGAAGAAAAUGGCAUAAUUAUAAGGAAUAAAGCAAGAUUGGUAGCCCAAGGUUUUAAUCAAGAAGAAGGGAUAGAUUAUGAAGAAACCUUUGCUCUCGUAGCUAGAUUGGAAGCCAUUAGGAUGCUACUUGCCUUUGCAUGUUUUAAAGACUUUGUUUUAUAUCAAAUGGAUGUGAAAAGUGCUUUCUUAAAUGACUUUAUAAAUGAAGAGGUAUAUGUUGAACAACCACCCGGUUUUCAAAGUUUUAACUUUCCUAAUCAUGUUUUUAGACUUAAAAAGGCACUUUAUGGUUUGAAACAAGCACCUAGAGCAUGGUAUGAAAGAUUGAGUAAAUUUCUUUUGAAAAAGGGUUUUAAAAUGGGAAAAAUUGACACAACUCUUUUCAUAAAAGCCAAAGAUAAUGACAUGCAAUUAGUUCAAAUAUACGUUGAUGAUAUCAUUUUUGGAGCUACUAAUGUUUCUCUUUGUGAAGAAUUCUCCAAAUGCAUGCAUAGUGAGUUUGAAAUGAGCAUGAUGGGAGAACUUAACUUCUUCCUUGGACUUCAAAUCAAGCAACUAAAGGAAGGAACCUUCAUCCAUCAAGCCAAGUAUAUAAGGGAUCUCCUCAAAAGGUUCAAUAUGGAGGAAGCCAAAACAAUGAAGACUCCAAUGAGUUCAUCCAUCACGCUUGACAUGGAUGAGAAAGGUAAGCCCAUCAACUCAACUAUGUAUAGAGGCAUGAUAGGUUCUUUGCUAUACUUGACCGCUAGUAGAGCCGACAUCAUGUAUAGUGUAUGCUUGUGUGCUAGAUUUCAAUCUUGCCCUAAGGAAUCUCAUUUAAGUGUUGUAAAACGAAUCCUUAGAUAUUUAAAAGGAACUAUGGACAUAGGCCUAUGGUAUCCUAAGGGUGAUAACUUUGAAUUAAUUGGAUACUCAGAUGCCGACUUUGCCGGUGGUAAAGUUGAGAGGAAAAGCACUAGUGGCACUUGUCAUUUCCUAGGACACUCACUUGUUUCAUGGCAUAGUAAGAAGCAAAAUUCGGUAGCCUUGUCUACGGCAGAAACCGAAUACAUAGCAAUCGGUUUAUGUUGUGCACAAAUCCUUUGGAUAAAACAAACACUUAGUGAUUUCAAUUUGAUUUUUGAGCAUGUUCCUAUAAAAUGUGAUAACACUAGUGCCAUAAAUAUUUCAAAGAAUCCGGUGCAACACUCUAGGACUAAGCAUAUAGAGAUAAGACAUCAUUUUCUUAGAGACCAUGCACAAAAGGGUGAGAUUACACUUGAAUUUGUAAGCACAAAAGAUCAACUUGCCGAUAUUUUUACAAAACCCCUAAGUGAAGAACAAUUUGUUGAUAUUAGAAGACAACUAGGGGUGAUUUCUUUAUGAUCAAAUGAUUGCUUGAUGAAUUCUUGUUGAUAUUACUCUUGAAUAUACCCUAUGAUUGCGUGAAAUUCAUAUCAUAUGCAUCAUAUAGAAAUAAUCAUAGGAAAGAGGUCAAAUUUUGACCAAAAAUCAAAAUUCCCGUGGCAUUGGACAUAAAAAAUUGGGGAUUUCAACUGAAAAGAGCAGGGGGAGGAUCACAAGACAAGAAAAUGCAAGAAAAAUUGGAAAAAUUGACCGUUGAUCAUGUCGUUGACCUUUGACCGUUGACCGUUGACUAGACGGUCGACCGGUUGAGGAACCGGUCGACCAGUUCUUCGGGGCUGAGAAUUUAAAACGCCCCCCUACACGCUUCAUUUCUCCCAUUUUCUCCUUCAGAGCUUGCCGUCCCUUCAUAUCAUUGCUUCCCGAAGAUUUUUUGACCAAAUUUCUGACCGAUUGCAGGUUGAAGACUUGAUUUUUGGACGGAUUUGCGCUAGGGUUUUGGUUUGGAACCCAGGGUUUCACCUCUUGAGAGCGUCUUCUCUCUGCACCGCGCGUCUCAGGGCUGCUUCUUCCUUUUUGCUUUCUUUCUCUCUUUGGGCUCCUUUUUCCCCUUUUGUUUCAUUGGAUGGCACCACGGAGAGAGACGGGCACUUCCAAGGCUCAGGGCAAGCGCCCUGUUGAGCCAUCUCAGCCCAAGCAGAUGGAGGCUCGCUGAAAGGCGAGGUUUGACACAGCACUCUUCAGUUCGAAUGAGGACUAUCAGCGCUAGAAGCAAAAAUUUGCUCAGAGGAAAGUCAUCCCAAGGAGAAGUGUCAAUUUCUCCCAACUUCAGCACUUCGGGUUUGAGGGGCUAUUCGGACGGAUGGGAUGGCUGCCCUUAGUGAAGAUCUCUGAGCCGGUCUUCCCGACUCUGGUGCGGACUUUCUAUUCUCGAGCGACCUACGAGCUUGGAGGACCCGUAUUAUCCACUGUGAGAGGUGUUGAGAUCCGUUUGAGUCCCGAGAGCAUCUGCCGCAUUCUCGACAUCCCUUCGGUUGGACUCCAUGUUUAUGAGGCCAAGGCGUGGCCCACUGUGCCGGGAUUUGAGCCUAGAGAGGCUGUUCAGAGGUUGUGCGGACUUGCUGAUCCUUAGGGGAUGGGCAAACCAUCGGCUCACAGCUUGACAGUGACUAGCCGAGUCCUUCACCAUAUGAUUUGUUCGAUUCUCUUGCCACGUGGAGGACAUCGAGACGAGGUCUCCUACCUCGAGGCUUUCAUUGUUGACUCGAUCCUCACCGGGAGACGGAUUCAUGUUGGCUACCUUAUGAUGAUGCAUAUGAUCUCCUGUGUUGAGAGGUCGACAUGAGUACUCCCCUAAGGCCGCUUUCUUACCAGUGCUUUCAAGGAUUUCGAGGUCGACUUGAGUAGAGAGACAGAUUUUGAGGCCCCCACCACCUAUGACACGUAUGAUGAGCAGUCUCUGGGACGCAUGAAGUUCGAGAAGGCACCCAAUGGCUCCUUGGUUAGGAAAGCCGAGCGAUAGGCCCGGGGACAUGAUCAAAUACACCCCGGAGUAGAGGAGGAGGCCGAGAUUAGAGAGAUGGAGGAUGGGUUGGACCCUCAGAGGGACUUUGAGCAGAAAGGGCCCGAGUUUGACAUUCCGCCUCCACAUCAGUCAGAGGGCAUUCAUGUUGAGGCUACCUUCUCCGAGCCUAUGAUGACUGAGCCGUCUUUCACAGCAGGCCCUUCAUCUCAGCCAUCAUUUACCGAGCUACCAUCUCAGGCACCUCAUGUUCCUGAUCAUACGCCUUGGAUGGAUCUCUCCGCGCAGAUCAGCUCUCUUGGGACUCGUAUGGAGGAGAUUGCCCUAGUCUAUGACUCCCACUUCUACUCUAUGGAGGAGCAUCUCGAUCAGUAUCAGACUGGAGUCACCUCUUGGUUUGAUCACUUCCAACAGCGAUUUGAGCGCAUAAAGGAGUGUAUGGAUCAACAGCAGGCUACCUUCGACCAUCUCGAGCAGCGCAUGGAUCGUAUUGAGAGUCGUCAGGCGAGUCAGCAUGAGGAGAUGAUGGCAUAUCUCCGCUCUGUGUCUCCUCCUCCACCUCCUUAGCCUUGAGGCUUUUUAGACAUCCCCCUUCGUUUCUUUUUUAUGUUGCCAAAGGGGGAGAUAUUUAUAGGAUCUAGGAUCUAUAGGAUCUAGGAGACUCUCAUGCAUGUCACAUGUUAUCAUUUUCAUCUCUAUCUUAUUGUACAUGUGAGAUUUCCUUUUAUAUAUGAUAUGAUAUUUUUAUCCAUUGAUUUUUCAUGGUUUACAUUGCUUAUCGUUUGAUUGAUCCAUGAUUGGUUUGAGGGGGAGAUUUCUUUCUCUCCUAGAUAACCAAGUUUGUCAUCAUCAAAAAGGGGGAGAUUGUUAGCCCAAGGAUUCUCCUAAUCGGGUUUUGAUGAUAACAAACCAUGGUUAAGUAACUAAUUGGUUUAAUGUUUAAGAAUCUUAGGUAUAAACUCGAAAAAUCAUCAAAGGACCAAAUGGAUAUAAGAUCGAGACGCUUGGAAGACUUGAGAUCAUAGGAAACUAAUGUAAGAUGAAUGCAUGAGUGCACUUAGGACUUUCAUACGUUUUCAUGCAUCUUAGAAAACUUGGUUUAUUCUUUAAAACGUCGACUUCAUUAAAACCCGAGUUUUUAACUAAUUUACCUUAGAAAAAAUGUUUCAAAAUUGGCUUAAUAAUUUACCUAAAGACCUUGCCUAAGUGUUAGAAAAGAAAGGAAUCAAAAAAUAGGUUUCUCGAGGCCAAAAAGGCUCAACCAGUCGAGGCUAAGGCCAACCGGUCAACAGGUUGAGGAACCGGUCGACCGGUUUGGGUUGUCCGAUCAAGGACCGAUCGAGGAAGGUUAAAAACCUUCUCUCUCUCUCCCAGUAGCCUUCUCUUCCCGGUCGAGGUGAUUUCUUUACCGGUCGAGGUCCGGUCGAAAACCGGUUGAGGUCCGGUUGAGGCAACGGUAACCUGUCAUACAUUAAAUGCUCCAACGGCUAGUGAACCGGUCAACCCCUAGCUCGACUAGACGAGGUUGCCUUUUGCUGAUUUUGAAUCCCGAGCUUAGAAACCUAUAAAUUGAGAGCUCCACUUCAUUUAUUGAUAAGAGAAAACUUGCAUUCAAAGCCCACCUACUUGUUCUUGAUCAAAAAGCUCUCAUUUCUUUCAUAAGUGCAUUAAAUCACCACUUGCAUAUCCUUUAGUGCACUCUUAUUGUCAUCCUAGCUUUGCCUUGUAUUUGAGCCAUCUUUAAGCUAGGUUGAGUGAGUAUAUUUUGUAACAAUCUAAGUGUUAAAGCCUUUAAGAGGGUUGAAUCUUGAAGAGGUUGUGUAAGAGCUCAUUGGAGCCGGAAUCCAAGUGUAAGAAGAUUGGAAGCUUGGUUGAAGCUUCAAGUUAGUGGAACCCUCACUCGGUUAGAAGGUUGAGGAGAGUGGACGUAGGCAAGGAAGUGCCGAACCACUAUAAACCCGAGUUUGAAUUCUCUCAACUCUAUCUCUUUACUUUGUUUAUAUUUUGUUUAAUUUUGUUGUGAUUGAAAAGAUUUUAAAAACCCAAUUCACCCCCCCUCCCCCCUUUUGGGUGUUUUUCUUAACUAAACAUAGCCUUUGUUUUCUCAGACUUCAUCAACAAUAAGGCAAAAGAAACCAACCGUGAAGGAUACUCAAAGCUCAACACUAGGAAGACAAGUCGACACCUCAUUUUACAAAGCUCACUCUCUAUUAUAGCCAAUUGUUCUCAAUGAUUCAGAAUCUAGAGGGUUUUCGCUAGCUAAAUCCUAUGAGAGGGGAUGUAAUUCAAAGAGAUGAAAAUCGCUUUUGUGAAUACCACAAGGACAAGGGUCAUGCUAUCGAAGAGUGCCACCACCUUCAUUUCUUGGUCGAAUAGAUGGUGCAAGCCGAUCAACUCAGCAAGUAUCUCCACAAUCGAACAUAAACUUCUCUCGCCUUCCAAGAUACUUUUGCCUCUAGAAUUGGCGUUGAAGCUAGAAAAGUGAUCCAUGUCAUACCCGAGAGACCAAUCGAUAGUCAAUGGAAAAAGAAAAUGACAUGCUAAAACAUUGAUAAAAGAUGCAAAACGUGUGACCCAGAUUUGCAAUGUGGGAGUCAUAUUUGUCAUCGAAAGCCUAGUUCCAAUGGACGAAACCAUUGUAUUUUCCAAAGCAAACCUACUCUGUGUCACUCAACCACAUGAAAAUGUCUUCAUCUUAACGUUGAACAUUGCCAAAUAAGAUGUGUGUUAUAUAGUGAUUGACCAAGGAAGUUUUCUGGACUUUGUACAUAUAUCUACCUACAAGUAGAUCAACCUUUCGAUGCAUGCGUUGGAAAGUCCAGGGAGGGCUUUGAUGAGCUUCAAUAGCUCAACCACCAUUUCCCUUUAUGACAUCAUGUUUUUCGUCUCUAUAGGACUCUUCAUCAUGAUGGUGAAAUUCUCGGUCGUAGAGGAUCCUUCUCCAUACAAUGCAAUCCUCGAUAGGCCUUAGAUUCAUGAGAUGAAGGCCAUACUAUCGAUGUACCACCAGAAAGUGAGUUACUUGAUGACUCAAGAGCAAAUAGACAUUUACAAAGAUCAGACGACAUCACGACGAUACUAGCAAAUGGUGAUGUUUCUAAUCCCCAGUACAGGCAAAGGAUAAGGGGGGGUUCCAGGGGGAAAAAAUAGGAACUACCAAAGGAUUCCAACCUGAAAUCGAACAAGCGGGAGUCCUUGGCCAUUGAGCCGCUAAUUACCAUCAAUCUAUUUGACGAGUCCUCCAUAAAGUGUUUUUGGAGGAAAUAUUGUAGGAAGAGGAAAAGAACAGGUUCACUUAGUUGCUAAGGCAAAAUGCAAAUGUCUUAGCAUGAAAACACUUCGACUUAGAGGGGAUUCACCUCUCAAUAGCUUGCCACCACUUGAAUGUGAAUGGAGGAUGGUGCUUGAUUAGACAAAAAUUGCAUAGAUUUUAUGAAGAAUGACAUAAGAUCAUUGUGGAGGAAAUAGACCAGUUGCUCGAAGCUAGAUUUAUUCAGGAGGUGCAGUACCCAAAAUGGUUGGCCAAUGUUUUCAUGGUCCCGAAGAAAAAUAGUAAAUGACGUGUGUGCAUUGACUUCACUAAUCUUAAUGAAGCUUUCUCAAAAAAUAGUUUUCUUCUCUACUGGAUAGACCAAAUCAUUGAUGUCACAAUAGACCAUGAGCUUUUCUUCUUUUUGGAUGCCUUUUUCGAGUACAAUCAGAUACCAAUAUACCUUCCAUAUGCGGAGAAAAUGACUUUCAUUACUAGUUGGGGCUUAUUAUGUUAUGACGUAAUGUCGUUUAGCCUCAAGAAUGUCGGAGCAACCUAUCAGCGAUUGGUGACGAAGAUAUUUCAACAUUUGUUAGGACAAAACAUAGAAUUCUACAUCGACGACAUGUUGAUCAAACGUAAGCUAAAGUAGAACUACCUUUAGGACAUUGCAAAAGCUUUCACUUUACUUAGCAUAAAUGACAUGACAUUGAAUCUAGAAAAUUGUGCAUUUGGAGUGUAGAUGACCAUAUUUCUUGGCUACUUAGUGAUGAAGCGCGGGAUAAAAGCUAGCUAAGAGCAAAUCAGAGCCUACAAGAAAUGGUUCCCCCCAUAAUAGUUAAAUAGGUCCAACGGUUAACGGGAAAAUAGACGACCGACAAGUUGUUACCUUUCUUCGAAGUGCUAAGGAAGAAAAAAAAGUUCGAGUGGGAUGAGCAGUGCUAUUAGGCCUUCACUACCAUCAAAAGCUAUCUGGCUCUCUUCCCGUUCUUAGCCAACUAUGUGAAAGCGAAAAAUUGUAUGUAUACUUAACGAUUACAAGUAUGGUGGUAAGUUCUACCUUAGUUUGUUCAGAUGAAUAAGGUACCCAACAGUCGGUAUACUUUGUCAACAAAACUCUCCUCAAUGCAAAGACCUAAUACUUUAAGCUUGAAAAUGUGGCCCUAGCAUUGCACAUUGUGGCUAAUAAGCUUAGGCUAUAUUUCUAAGCGCACACCAUGUCGUCCUUAUGGAUCGGCCUAUGUAGGUCGUGUUGUACAAGUCGGAUAUCUCCAAUCAGCUGGUUAAGUGGGCCAUCAAUCUAGGUAUAGGCCGCGACAUAGCCUCAAAGACUAAGUAUUAGCAGAUUUCAUCAUCGAACUUUUGGGAUGUGAGAGCUUGGAAACCGAGAGCAACAAGAACAGUGGGACAUGGAUUAUUUACGUAGGCGGUUCUUCAAAAAAGAAAGGAACUGGAUUCAGAGUUGUCCUCAAGUCCCCUAUUGGAGAUGAACUAGAACAAUCCAUCAACUUAGGUUUCCCAACAUCCAACGAUGACCUGGGUUCCUCCUAUUUAAAUAAGUAGAGUCAAGCAUUCCCGAUUGAGUUUUUGGAAGAAUAUUCUUUUAUGGAAAUGGAGGAACCGAUGAAUACACUCGACGCUCCCGCCAAUUCCUGGAUGAACUCGUAUGUCGAGUACCUAAAAGAUGACAUGUUCCCGAAAUAUGACAAAGAAGCCCAUAGGCUCUAGGUGAAGGCCACAUGCUUAUGCCUAAUCAAUGACCAUUUGUAUAGGCGCUCUUAUGACAACCCAUAUCUUAACUGCGUAUAGAAUGAUGAAGCUAAAUACUUGUCAAAAUCCAUGAAAGAUAGUGUGGUAGUCAUAGUGGGGGACGAUCUUUAGCUCAUAAGAUACUAUCCAAGAGGUACUAUUGGCUAACCAUCCACAAAGACGUUGCCGCACAUGUUGAAAAAUGAGAUAAGUGCAAACGAUAUGUGCUGGUAUGUCACCUUAUAAUCAAAUAGCUUACAUCCAUUGUGAGCCAUUGGUUGUUCGCGCAAUAGGGACUUAACAUUGUUGGACUGCUACCUAUGAUGCUCGCUCAGAAACAUUUCCUCUUGGUAGACACAUAUUAUUUAUUUAAGUGGGUUAAGGCGGAGACUUAUGCUUCCAUCAAGGACACUAACAUACGAAACUUUGUGUAUUGAACAAUUGUUUGCCGAUUCAACAUCCCCCAAGCACUAGUAUCUGGCAAUGGCAUCCAAUUCGACAAUUGUAUUUUUUGCCAGUUUUGCACUGACCUUAACAUCAGGAACUUCUACUCUACACAACGCUUCUCGUAAAACAACGACCAAACUGAAGCCACCAACAAGACCAUAUUAGACUGUCUAAAAAAAUGGUUAGAGAAGGCCAAAGAAAAUUGAGUCAAAGAGUUCCUGAGUGUUUUAUGGGCCUACCAGACAACUCAAAAGAGACUAAUUGGAGAAUCGUCAUUUUCUAUAGCCUUUGGAAUGGAGGCCGUCAUUCCAACCGAAAUUGGUCUACCCAUAAAACAUACAACUUUAGUAGACGCAAACACCCAUUUAGCCUUAAUCGAGUUUGCUUUGGACCUAACCAACAAAAGGUGGGAUGAGAUGACCAUAAAAUGCCUGCUUACCACCAACGGGUCAUGGCGUAAUACAACAGAAGGGUUUGGAGUCGAAAAUUUCAUCUUAGGGAUCUCAUACUCCAGUAUGUUUUCAAAAAUACAAAAAAGUCGAGAGAUGGCAAACUUGGCCCUAACUGGGAAGGACCCUACCAAGUGACAUGAGUCGGGCCUAAUGACGCUUAUCACUUGGAAGCAUUGGAUAGCAAGGCCCUUCUAAGUCCUUGAAAUGUACUUCACUUAAAGAAAUUUUGUCCAUGAAAGCUGUUUUUGAACAUAAACUCCAUGUCCUUAAAAUGUACUUUAGUUUUUAUCUAAUGAAGACAACUUAAGAAAAAAAAAGCAUUUGGUCAAGCCAAGUGCCUUAAAAAGUCUAAGAUACGCCAAAAGCAUCUAACCAAGCAAGUGCUUAAAAGAGCAUAAGGUGUGUUAAGAGCAUUUGACAAAGACAAGUGCCUUAGAAACCUAAGAUGCACUAAGAGCAUCCAACCAACCCAAGUGCCUAAAAAAACCUAAGAUGUGCCAAAAGCAUCAGACAAGAAAGUGCCUAAAAGAGCCUAAGGUGGGUAAAGAGCAUUCGGCUAAGCCAAGUGCCUAGGAAGCCUAAGAUGUGCCAAGAGCAUCCAGCCAAGCCAAGUGCCUAAAAAAGCCUCAAAUGAGCCAAAAGUAUCCGACCAAGCCAAAUGCCUAAAAAAGCCUAAGAUGCACCAAGAUGCACCCAACCAAAGCCAAGCCCCUAAAGAGCCUAUGAUGCAUAAAAACAUUUAGCCAAGAAGUGCUAAAAAGCCUAGGAUACACAAAACAAGCAAUGCCUAGAUAGUCGAAUGAGAAAACAUUCGACCCUAUCCCCUUAAUGCUGGGAAAAAGCAUUCGGCUUGGGAACCCCAAAAAUUCACAAAAGCAAUUGGACUCACAUACAAAAAUUACACUCGGACAAUGAACCUUAGAAAUUAACAAAAACGCAUCCAACAUGGGAAGUAGCGAAGAACAAAGUUUGAAUUUCAAUACAACUCACAUGGCAAUAAGAACAUCCAAAAUAGGAAACCAAAAAUAGUCCACUAAAACAUGUCCAAAAAAUACUACAAACCCAAGUCACACAUCUCCAUCAGCCCUAGAAGCCCCAACUUCAAUAGUCCUAACCGAAACCUCCUUGAUGGCACCGUCAUCCCCAACAUCACCAUUGUCAUCAGUAUCCUAAUUGUUCUAAAUAUUGUGCUUUUUCAGGUUGCGUUCAUAGCCCAACUCGUAAGCAUGAUCUACCUUAUCGGUGUACUAAGAAACAAGUUCCUUCAAUUCUAUGGAAGCCUUCUCUAAUUUUUCAUGAAGUACCACCACCCUUCUCUAGCCGGGAGUGUUCUUGAUUUGACAUGUCCAGUUCAGACUAGAGCUUUCAGUUCUGCUCCUCCAGUGUCUUUUUCAUUUUCGGUUUCUCAGUUUCCAUCGCCUAAAGCAUUUUGGUGAGGUCUUGGGCAUCACUUUCUAGUUCUAUGAAGGUAUGCUUCAACUGAUCUAUGUCAGAAAUGUAGUCGCAAAGAUCAUUCUCACGCCUCUCGAAAUCCCCAAUACCAUACUUCAUCUACAAAUGACAAAAAAAAAAAAAAAAAAAAAGGAAGGGAGGUGCAAUAAACUAAAAGCAUGAUAGGAAUUAGAGAGCACUGAAUAAAAUUAAAAGAAAACCUUACCAACACACUCAAAUCUCGAGUGGAGAAUUAUGGUAUAGCAAUAAACACAUCUUAAAAGGCAAAAACUCUCAAUAGUAGAGCCACCAUAGACGGGAUCAAUGAGGAAUCCGAUUGAACUUGUGCAAUAAGAUCCCCAACUGCCAAGGUCACAAUCAUUGAGUGGGUUUGGUGAACCUCUUCAGAUCGGCGAGGCGGGUCCAAUAUCUUAUUGUCGGGUAGUGCAUAGAAUUGUCCCCAGGAGUAUCACCUUAAGAGGUUGUCAAACCCUCUUGAGGAGCGACCACCUUUCUCUUUUUUCGACUUUGGUUUGCCCUAGAAAUAAUAGAUUUUGGCCUCAUCUGUUCGAGUAUGGGGCUAACUAGUUAAGAAGUUGCUGGCCUGCUUGAUGAUUGCGCCACUUGAAGGGAUCCCGAGGCUUACUAAAGUAAUUUUGUAUAAGUUGCCCGCUGAGCCUGUGUCUGUCAGAGCAUACCUUCUUGCCUCUUUCGAUCUCUUUUAGCUAGGAGCUUUUAGCGCGCCUCCAAUUCAUGUGCAUGAGCCUUCUCCUAAUUCUCUAUGUCCUUUAUUAUAAAGUGCUCACCUCGCACUUGUGGACGGAGCACCUUCCUGGGCAGAUCGACUCGAACGAAUCAUUCUGGAUGUCUUUGGAUGUCAAGCAAGUUCAAAGAAGUUAGCAACACCUAAGAAGUCCUUUGAGUCGGCUCAAUGUUUAGCAGCCAGCAUAUACAAACAAAAGAUGCCUUCUCCACCCACUUGACAAGGUGCCUUCAUUUAUCAUCUUCUGCAAUAAACCCACCAUUAGAAAAAAAUAAAUAAAAAGUAACAAAUGAAUAAAGGACAUGUCGAUGUGGUAAUAAUACCCAAAUAGACAAUUGACCGAUGAACCCCGAACUCCUUAUUGGGAUCACUAAGGAUCAUCUCCCAAGCCCUGGAAAUGAGCACGUUCCCUUUCAGCCGUUCCUUACCAAAAUUUGGUAACUCUAUCACAAACUAGAAAGUGCGACACUAUGCCGAUAAGGUGAACCGACCGACAACACCUAAUCAAACUAUAUACAUGAAUAGUACUUCAAGCAAUGAAGGACAUAUAACCUAUUCAAUACCGCACAACCCAUAAGUACACACACAAUGUUUGAGUACAUGUGCACGGGGUGCAUCUCAAUAUGGUGCAAAAAUUACCUCACUGUAGAAGGGCAACGACAAUUGAAGCCUUACCCGGAAUUGUUCCCAGGUAAAGAAAAUCUCCCCGUAAGAGGAGCUCAAUGUAGAUCUCAAGUCGUCGAGAUUUUCUGGGAAAACAACCCUCACAUCAUUCAAAAUAUCAUAAUAAGCAUGAAACUCUUCCAUAAAAGAAACCCUCCUAGAACGCAAUGGCUUGACAACCCUACGUGGAUUGACACACUUGCGAGCAAUUAAGCUCGACAAGGUUACUCAAAAUUGACGAUCAAUAAGGGGUUGCUCCUUACUAUCCUGAUUCUUGGAAUCUGAUGACAUCCUUGGAAGCUAUGGGACUACUUAGCAACACACAUGAUAUAAGACCACCACUGUGGAACACUAACAUAACUAGAGCUAAGGGGUAAGACGACGUUGACCCACCCCCAUCCACAUCCACUCGGGUAAGGGAGAAAACGCCUUGCACGAACCCAAAAAACCCCACUACCUAUAGAGUUUUAGUCAACACCUCCCCAAGACCAACAAAGAAGGGAAGAAAAAUGUGCAAUGUGUACUAACCAACAAAAAAAAAAGUGCAAGAAAAAGUUAUGGGACUUACUUUCAACAUAGUCACCAAUACCAGUACCACAAUAGAACAAAAUCCAAGGCUCCCAAAUCGCAAUUUGCAGAGGCGAUUAUAGGCAUAAAGUAAAAAUAUGCUUGGGUACCCUAAAAGUUCCCUCAUAAGAGAAAGAGGAGGUGCUGCACAAUCAUUUGAUGUAACACGCCAAUCAAGUUUGGUGUCUGCCAUCAUGGUGCCAUUCUAUGUGAUUCCCUAAGCGUUGCACCCUCCAAGCAACGUGUGUUUGGCCUAUGAUCCUCUACGUAGAGCUAGUAAAUAGGUUUUGUGCCUAAGUAACGCCCUACUAGCACUUUUCCUAGCUUUCUUGACUGUGAAAUGGGGUAUAAGAGGUACAAGGCUUAAUUGGUGGCCAACCCACGGGUCCACCCACUCAUUCGAGUGGCUAGUACCCCCCAGUUUAGAACUAACGCCUUCGCCAAAAGGGUAACCAGAAUUGCGUGAUCGGGAUAGAUCCUUUCGAAUGGACUGGUUCUCAGAACUAGGUCGGUAAACUUCUAACCAAAAGAGAAUGACACCACUUCACCAGAUCAAAUCUUCCUAGAACAAAUAAAGCUCACCUAGGAGACAACCACCAUGGGUCGCCCAUUGGGGUAGGAUGCCCUCGAAAAAUCAAAGCUUGGAUUACCUGAGACCCCUACUAGUCGAUCUGAGAAAUCUGAACAUAUGUGGUCCCGAAGCCAACGUAUUGGCUUGCACUCUGACUCAUAUGACAUAGACACCAAGGGUUGCAACAAGACUAAUACAAGGAAUAAGGGGUGGCGACAAGACUGGUAUGAGGAACAAAGGGCGACGACAAGAUUGGCAUGAGGAACAAGAGGUUGUGACAAGAUUGAUGCGAGGAGCAUGUCCCGAAGCAAAGCUCUAACCUGGUCUUGUUAGUAGCAAAUACUAGAUGGGUUAGCCAUAUGCUGCUUGACACGAGUUAAAAAUGGGUUACUCUUCAAAAAAAAAAAAACAUGAAAGAGGUUCAUUAUAAUAAUAAUAAUAAUAAUUAAGUAAUAUAUUAUUUUUCAAUAAGUAAUAUAUUAUGAUAUCAUAAAAAUAUAUUAUAUUAAAUUAAUAAAAUAAUUUUGAAUAAUGAAACUCAAAAUGAUUAAUUAAAUUUACAAAUAAUAAAAAAUCAAAUAAUUAGAAUCUACAUUUUCUUCAAAUUUCAUUCAUAAUAAUUUAACAUAAAUCACAUUAAAUAGUUAUUUAAAAAAGUUAAUAAAUAAAAAAUUAACAUACUACUUAAACCAAAAGAUUAGAACAUUUCAAUAAAAAAAUAGAUUUGUAAUUAAUUUUUUUAAGUAAAUAAUUUUAGAAGUUAUAUUUAAAAAAACUGAAAAAAAAAUCAUAAAAUAUUAUUCCAAAAAUAGAAAUAAUGAAAAUACAAAGAUCAUCAAACAUUGGGUGAACUCACAGCCUAACACUAAAGAGAAAAAAAAAUAUUUAUAAAAAUAAUUUUAAUAUUCUAAAAAUGAAAUGGGGAAGCCUUGUAGUUGUCAUUGUAGUCGGUGUUGUUGUUCCCUCAAAUCAUUAUAUACAUCACCCAUGCAACUCACCGGCCACACAAACACAAUCCUCAGUCACAGCAAUGGGGCAGCACCACUUCCUCAUUAUAUCACUUCCACUGCAAGGCCACAUCAACCCAGCCCUCCAAUUCGCCAAGCGCCUGAUCAGAACCGGCGCCCACGUCACCUUCGCCGUCUCCGUCUCCGCUCAUCGCCGCAUGCCCAAAGGUCCAACCCUCCCCGGUUUAACCCUAGUUCCCUUCUCCGAUGGCUAUGAUGAUGGGAUCAAGCUCGAAGAUCAUGCCCAACACUAUUUGUCCGAGAUCAAGCGUUGCGGAUCAGAAACCCUCAGGCGGAUCACUGCAAUAAGCUCUGACCAAGGCCGACCAGUUACUUGCUUAGUGCACACCAUGCUCCUUGCUUGGGCGGCAGAGCUGGCGCGUAGCCUUCAGCUUCCGUCUGCGCUACUUUGGAUUCAGAGCGCCACUGUUUUCAUCAUAUUCCAUCAUUACUUCGAUGGCUAUGGUGAUGUGGUUGGAAACUGCAGCAAUGAGGGUUCAGAUCCAAUUGAGUUACCGGGGCUUCCAAUGCUACUGUCUAGCCGUGAUAUUCCGUCCUUUUUUCUCUCUUCAAACAUAUAUGCUUCAUGGAUCCCAGCAUUUCAAGAGGACAUGGAGGCACUAAGGCAAGAGACGAACCCCAAAGUGCUGGUGAACACCUUCGACGCACUGGAGGCCGAGGCGCUACGAGCUGUGGAUAAGGUUAAAUUGAUUGGAAUUGGACCUUUGGUCCCAUCUGCUUUCUUGGAUGCAAACGAUCCAUCUGAUUCUUCUUUUGGAGGAGAUAUUUUCCAAGAUCCGAGCAACUGCAUCGAUUGGUUGAACUCCAAGCCCAAGUCAUCAGUCGUUUAUGUAUCGUUUGGGACACUUUGUGUUUUGUCAAAGCAACAAAUGGAGGAGAUUGCACAUGCUUUACUACACAGCGGCAGGCCUUUCUUGUGGGUAAUAAGAUCAGCGUCCGAAAACGGAGAAGUAGAAGAAGAGAAGCUGAGUUGCAGAAAAGAGUUGGAAGAGAAAGGGAUGAUAGUGGUUUGGUGUCCUCAGUUGGAUGUUUUGUCACAUCCAUCAUUGGGAUGUUUCAUUACACAUUGUGGGUGGAACUCAACGUUAGAGUGCCUAGCUUCUGGAGUUCCAGUUGUGGCAUUUCCCCAAUGGACGGAUCAAGGGACCAACGGGAAGCUGAUUGAAGAUGUGUGGAAGACAGGCGUUCGGGUGACAGCGAAUGAGGAGGGAAUAGUUGAAGGCGAGGAGAUCAAGCGGUGCUUGGAAGUCGUCAUGGGAGGUGGAGAAAGAGGCGAAGAAUUGAGAAGGAAUGCUGGGAAAUGGAAGGAUUUGGCAAGGGAAGCUGUGAAAGAUGGCGGAUCUUCCGACUGCAAUUUAAAGGCUUUUUUGGAUGAAUUGGGACAAGGCAGUAUGAUUUAGUGAAAGUUAAAUUGUGUUGAUAUAAAGUUGUGUUACUGAUUGAACUCGUUUCUGGUGUUUUAUGGCUUUCCCAAAGGCUUAGAGUGCUUGUUGUUAGUGUAACUGCAUCCGGAGAAAAGAGAAAUUUCAAAUUUGUAUUCUCCAGCCUAUGAACUAAAAGAUAUCCCCCUAAGUCAUUUGCUUGGCUUGAUCAAUUGAUUUUGAAAUAAAAUUCAUAUUUACUUUGAAGCUUUUGGAAUAAAAACAUCUUGCUUUCACGAAAAACUGUUCUCUCUCCUCAUGUACUCUGUACUCAAACCUGAUAUCUGUCUCUCUCAUCUCUCUCUACCGUGGUUGUCAGUUGUCACUAAUGUCGGUACUAAACCUGAUCUCUCUCUAGAUCUCUAUCAUCUCUCCCUACCUUGUUUGCCAGCUAUAUCAGUUGAUUAUGAGAUUGAGAUCCACAUGAAAUGAACUGUGUUUGUCAGCUAUGCCACACAGAGUUUUUCAUAGAAACCCAGAGAAUUCUAGGGGAGACUCCAUCAAGCGUGACAAGAAAAGCAUUUGUCGUUCUGUCCUAUCCUGGGAAAAGACAUGUGCGACCCACGCUUUUCCAUUUUACAUGGUGGAUUCGUGAAUUUUUAUUUUUAUUUUUAUUUUUUAUUUUACACCCAUUUUUGGGAUUUUUUUUUUCCAUUUGAAAUCUCCAUGUUCAUACCAAUUGAUUUUUUAACCAAAAAAAAAAAAAAAACAACUAUUGAUGAUUUAGAAUUUGUUUGAUAUAGGAUUUUUAUUUUUUAUUUUUCUACUACUUCAAAAUUUUUAUAUAAAAAAAUUAUUUUCAAAUACUAGAUUAUAUAGAAAUAUUUAUUAAAAUCAUUGUCUAACAAAUACUUAAUCUCUAUACAAUAAUUGGAUUACAGAUAUAAUAAUUUUAUUAUUAUUAUAAUUAAAAUUAAUACAAAGAAGUUAAAAUUAUAUCUAAAUAAUUUAAAAUUUUAAAAUAUUUUAUUCUUUUUAUCUUUAGUAUUAUCAUAUUAAAUAUAAAACAUAAAUGUAGUAAUAUUUCAUUAUUUUAUUUUUGAUAUAUUAAAUAUUAAAUACAAAUGUGUUAAUAUUUUUUUUUAUUUUGUGAAAUAGGAGAAUUAUUAAAAAGAAAUAUUAUGUAUUAUUGAAUGGUAAAAUAAAAUUUUAUUAUUUAUUUCAUUCACACUUCAUUAGUAUUUCGUUAAAGAAUCAUUUUUCAGAGGCAUGCAAGUCGGUUAUGGAUAGUUGUUUAUGGCCCCAAUGUGGCUUUACAACACAUAUCAUUUAUUGACUAAUUAUCUACAUACCUAAUUCCAGAGAUUUAAUUAUUUUAUUAAAAAUUUGGUAGAAAAUUCUACAAAGCAGUUGGAUCUUUAUCAUGUAUUAAACACUAAAAAAAUAAGAAGAAUAUAAAAAAAUAAAAAAUUUCAUAUUCUUUUGUUUGAAAAGGAGCACUCACGAUCAAGUCAUAAAUGAGGAUAAGUCAAUCAUUGAGAGAGUAUUUUAUAAAACUUAAUACUUAUUACUUGAUAAUUUAAGUUGACUUUAAGUUCAAUUAUAUUAAAGUUGUUGACUUAAAACUUAUUACUUUAAGUAUUAAAGUUGUUUAAUAAAAUUAACUUAAAACUAACUAUGAAUAAUAAAAUUAACAUAUUUAUCUUCAUAAAUUAUAAUUAUGGUAAAGAAGAUUAAGUAAUAAUGGAGGUUGUAUAUUAGAAAAAGAGAUCGAUGAGGUAAUUAUGACAAAUGAAGGUAAAAAGGUAAAACGAAAAUUUAAACUUAAGAAUAAGUUAAUUAUGUUUUCUUAAUAUUUAAAAUUAUUUUUAACUUUAAGUCGAUCAUACAUUUUUUUAUCCAACAUAUUUAAUUUAUUUAAUGACUUAAAUUAAGUUAUUAAGUUACUUAAGUUAGUUGGUUUAUCAAACAUCUACUUCGUUUGAAAGUUAUAAUGGAUAAGGUAUUGAUUGAAAUACCUUAAUUGCAAUAAAAUGGUUGAAUGAGUAAUUUUUAAAGAUUUUAAUAUAAGAGUUGAAAUUCUUAACCAAUCACAAGGAGAAUAAAUGAUUUUACUUAGAAAAGCCCAACAUAAAGUGUGGAAGUAAAAAUGAGAUCUUAGAUCGAUGAUCCAUAAUAUAAAAUUUUAAUAUACAAUUUUACUUGACAACCGCUACCUAAAACUUACUCUUUAGCACCUAUAUCAUGAUUCAUAUUCGUGAUGCAAUACCUCGAAUGCUAUAAUUUACCCCAAUGAAUAUGAGAUAAUAUAAUAACAUUUAAAUUUAUUUUUAACAGCCAUGAUUAGCAAAGAAGCAAGAAAUUAAACUAAGGGAAUUGAAUCAUGCUAACAUUAUUUUUCGCUAACUAAAUGAUGUCAUAAAAUAUAUUAUAUUAAAUUAAUAUAAUAAUUUUGAAUAAUGAAACUCAAAGUGUUGAAUUAGAGUUACAAAUAAUAAAUUUGCAAAUUUAAGCUUAUUGUUUAUUAUUACUGUUGUUGUUAGUGUCCCCUCCAAUCAUUAUAUAUAUCACCCAUGCAACUCACCGGCCACACAAACACAUCCUCAGCCACAGCAAUGGAGCAGCACCACUUCCUCAUUAUAUCACAUCCAAUGCAAGGCCACAUCAACCCAGCCCUCUUUAAUGAAUUGGGAGGAGGCAGUACUCUUUAAUGAAAGUUAACUUGUGUUGAUAUGAAGUUGUACGACUUACUUUAUGCUGUUUUAUGGCUUUCCUAAAUGCUUAGAGUGCUUGCUUUGGUCCCAAUCAGCAUGGGGCGAUCACAUUCAAAUAAAAGACAUUUGUACUCUGAACCAUGUCCUAGGUGCGAGUGUAACUGCUUCUGGAAAAAAGAGAAAUUUCAAAUUUGUGAUCUCCAGCCCAUGAACUAAAUGAUCUCUCUCGAAGCCAUUUGCUUGGCUUAAUCAAUUGAUUUUGAAAUAAAAUCCAUAUUUAUUUUUCUAUACUGUGGAUGAUUUAGAAUCGUUUGAUAUAAGAUGGUUUUUUUUUUUUUUGAAAAAUAAAAAUUUCUAAUGUUUGAAAUUUUUUAUUAAAAAAGUUGUUUUCAAAUAUUAGAAAAAAAUAAAAAUAUUUUUUAAAAUUACUUACAAACAAAUACUUAAAAUGCGUCUAUUCAAAGUGUUUUUAGUGGAAAUAUUUUUCUAAAACGUGUUUCAAAUUAAGAGAGUCACCUAUAAAGUGUUUUCUUAGAAAAUAUUAUAAGUAAUUUUUUAAUACUACAAAUGAUUUUUUUAAAUUUUAAAAAUAUUUUUCAAAUUUUAUGAAAUGCCUAAUAUUUUUCAAAAACACUUUUUAAAAUAAAAAUGUUUUAUAAAAUCAUUGUCAAAUAUACUCUUAGAGUACAUAUAAUAAUGAUCCUAGAAAACAUUUCUGUUUUCUCCAAUAUAUGAUCAAAAAAAUAAAAAAUUUCAAGUAUUAAAUUAGAAACACUUGUUAGAAUUACUAUUAUAAAGAAUCUUAAUAUCUUACCCGUAGUUAAAUUGAAAUCCAACCAUUAAUAUUAUAUUAUAAAUAUAUAAUUUAUGAACUAUUAUAAUUAAAAAUACUGGGAAGAAGUUAAAAUUAUGACUAAAUAAUUUAAAAUUUUAAAAUAUUUUCUCUUUUUAUAUUUAAUAUUAUUAUAUUAAAUAUAAAACACAAAUGCAUUAAUAUUUCAGUAUUUUAUUUUCACUAUUAUUAUACUUUUUAUAAAAUAUGAAUGUGUUAAUAUUUUUAUUUCAUUAAAUAGGAGAAUUAUUAUAUUUAAUUAUUUAGAAGAAAUAUCAUAUAUUAUUAAAGAGUGAAAUAAAAUUUUAUAAUUUAUUUUAUUCACACUUCAUUAGCAUUUUAUUAUUAUUCAUUUGAAUUUCAUUUGUAUUAUAAUUUUAUCGUAGAGGUAGGCUAUGGAUAAUUUUUUAUGACUCCAAUGUGACUUUAAACUAUACAUAUCAUUCAUUGACUAAUCUUCUGCAUACCUAAUUAAUUUGAGAGAUUUAAUAAUUUUAUUAAAAAAUUUGGUAGAAAAUUCUAUGAAGAAAUUGGAUCUCUAUCAUGUAUUAAACACUAAAAAGUAGAAGAACAUAAAUAAUAAAAUUUUUAAUAAUUCUUUUGUUUAAAAAGGAGUACUCACAAUCAAGUCACAAAGAAGGAUAAGUGGAGCAUUUGGUUUGUAAGUUAGAAUGGGAGAAGUAUUAGUAAUGUCAAACAGUAAUGUGAGUGAGAGGAAGAUGCAUGCGACCUUUAAUUUAUUUAAAUAAGAAAUUAAUCUGAAAAUUAAGAUACUUUUGUUUUAAUUAUUAUUAUUAUUAUUCUUGUUUACCACUUCUUGCCGCUGAAGGAGAGGGAGGGUGGGUUGGAAACCCUGGCAUUAAGAUGGCCAUUUGUGUUUUGACAACAUAUUGACAUAUAUAUUAUCUAUAUUUAGGCCCUAUUUGGUAAUUAUUCUUUAAAAUAGUUCUAAAAAAAUAAUUUUUAAGAAUAGUUUUUAUAAACUGUUAUAUGAUGUUUUAUAAAAUAAAAGUCUAUUUGGGAAUAUAAAAUAUUUCUAAUUUAUUUUUAAUAUUUUUAAAUAUGUUUUAAAAAUAAUUUUUAUGUCUAGAACUUUAUUUUUAAUUAUUAUACGUGUUUGUAUAAUUAUUUUUUUUAAAUAACUAAAAAAAAAGUGAAAAUUAAAAACAAUUAAAAGAUGUUAUCUGAAAGUACCCUAUUUUCUGUUCUUGACAACAAAAAAUACAAAACAGUUUUCGGCUCACCAAAGCCACCUAUUUACUCAAUUCUUAUCUCUUGUACUCAACAAAUGUAACCUUCAUUUGUUGAGAAAACAGAAAAGGUCUUCUUCUGUUUGUUCUGCUUGUUGCAUGAGAAAAUUCAUAAGUUUCCACUUUUUCCUUCAACCUCUUCAUAUACAACACCGUUAGAACAAAUCAAUUCUGAUUUAUGAGGCCCAGCUUAGUACCCUCUUUGAAUGGAUAUCAGUAUCAUAUUCACUUUGUUGAUGCCUACUUUUAGCUUACAUAAACUUACAUGCUGAAACAAAAGUCUAAAGCAUUUCAAUCCUUUCUUACCUUCAAGUCUCAAGUUGAACUUCAACUAGGAUACAAAAUUAAAGCUAUAUUACAAACUGAUUGGGGUGGAGAGUGUUGCACCUCCACCUAUUAUCUUCUCUCAAAUGGCAUUAUCCACAAAACCUCAUGUCCCUGCACUCAUCAACAAAAUAGGCGUAAACAUAUCAUUGAACAAAGACUUACCCUCCUAGCAUAAGACUCUUUUACCUCUCAAAUGGAUGAGGCCUUUCGCACGUGUGUUUUUGUUACCAAUAGAUUACCCACCCUGAUUUGGAAAAACAUAACCCCACUUGAACUACUUUUCUGCACAAAACCAGCUAACUCCCAGAUAAAGGUAUUUAGUUAUACUUGUCAUCCUAAUCUAUUGUUAUAAUUUUUUACAUAAAUGAUUUAAACACUUAUGCAGAAUAUAUAUUUUGGGUUGCUGGAACACACGUUUUAUUGAUGAAGAAUGUUGAAUUUAUACAUGAGUUUGUAACUGAAAUGAAAUUAGAAUAACAAAAAAUCAUGCUACUAGAUAAUGAGCAACUACUUUCUAUAAAAUAGAAACCAAAUAACCAAAUCUUGACCAAAUAAAAAAUAAGAAAACAUUUGGAUGUUGCAGAUUUUGUUAAGGACUACAGUUGCAAUAUUUAACUUCAAAAUUCAAAUUCCAAUAGAUACUAAGUCAAAAUUCAAAUUCCAGUAGAUACUAAGUCAAAAUUCAAUGGUUAUCCUAAUCUACAAUUUCACAACAAAAACAAGCUUUAAUGCCACUCCAUUCCCUGCACAUUUCUUGGCUACAAAUGUCUAAGCCCUGAUGGUUGUAUCUUUAUCUCUCGGGAUGUUAUUUUUUAUAAAUUCACCUUCCCUUUUGCACAAUAAGCAUCUCCAUCUUCCCCCAUUUCACGAUCUCCCUCCCCACUUCCUUCAUUCUCGUUAAUGGUUUUCCCCACUUCUACUUCUUACCUGGCUCCUUCACAAGUACCCCCUUCCUCAUUUGUCAGUCCAAUUUCCAAAUCACCCUACCUCACUCACGCCUCUCCGCCUGACCUCUCAUUGUAUGUUCAACUCCCACUUCCACCCCCUACUUAGCCUCUUUCUACUACCCAUCAUCACAUGACCACACACUCCAAGUUUGAUAUCUUUAAACCCAAGGACUUUACUAUCUCAACCAUACCAACUUCGGUCAUUGAAGCACUCCAACUUAGUCAUUGGAAACAGGCCAUGAGUGAAUAUCAGAGUGUUGUUACAUUGUUGGUCGAAAUUUCAUGGCUCUAAUCUCUUCUUCGAGAACUCCAUAUUACUUCCUCUACCACUCUUAUAAUCUGGUGCGGCAACCUAAAAAUAGUUCACCUUUGAGUAAAUCCAUAUCUAUCAUGUUCCCUCAUGCGCUCAACUUGUAGACCUCUUCACCUAAGCUAUUCCCUAGCUCUCAGUUCCUUAGCAUGCGAGACAAACUCAGUGUCCCUACUCAGUUUGAGGGGUCCGUUAGAGAAGAUUCGUUCAGCUACAACUGUUACAGUUGUUGAUUACUUGAGCUUAGUUAGUUCUCUUUUUGUUAUUAAAAACUCUUCAAGUAAUUAAUUACAGGUGACUUACUAUUGAAAGAACUAUAUUUUCUAUAGAAUAAUAAUAAGAUGAAAAACAUAGAAGAUAUUGGUAAUCUUCCUUCUUUCUUUUCUGCUUUUUCUCUUUCUUUCAAAUACUAUCUAUUUAUUUUGAUACCACAUUUUGAUGUCAAAUUGCAAACCAACAUGGGGAUACAAACGAUAGUGGCUUGAGGUCUACCGAUUGCUCACCACAUUUGGUAAGAGUAGUUGAUUUCAAAUCAAACAGUCAGAUCCCAUUAUGGAAGAAUAAUCUGACUCGGCGGUGAAUUUCAUUAUUUAAUAAAUAUUCAAAUCUUAUUUAAAGACAUCUAAAAAUUUUAAAAAACUCUCUCCACUUAGGAAAAAAACAAUAAAUAAAUAAAUAAACAUAAACUUGAACACACUGAUUUUCAGGUAAUAUAACUGCACUGACUAGGAGCUUUUUGUAUCCCAGAAAAUAUACUUUUCAUGAACGAAUCUAGAUGCACUGACUAGUUACAAUUUUUGUCCAACUUCAUCCACAAAAGCCUUGAGAUUAUUGUCCGACAUUCCACCAUUCUUCAUAGCUUCCCUCGCCAACUCCUUCCAUUUCUCAGCAUUCCUUCUCAAUCCUUCUGCUCUUUCUCCAUCUCCCAUAACAAUUUCCAAGCACAUCUUUAUCUCAUCACGUUCAACCAUUCCUUCUUCAUUCACCCACACCCGAAUGCCAGUUUUCCACAUGUCCGUGAUCAGCUUUGCGUUGGUGGCUUGAUCCGUCCCUUGGGGAAAUGCCACAACCGGAACCCCACAAACCAUGCUCUCCAAGGUUGAAUUCCACCCACAGUGCGUCACAAAACAUCCCAAUGAUGGAUGGGUCAAAACCUCCAAUUGGGAACACCAAGGUACUAUCAUCCCUCUCUGUUCCAAUUCUUCUCUGCAACCCAGCAUUUCUUCAUCUUUCAUUUCUCCCUUAUCGGGUUCUCUUAUGACCCACAAAAAAGGUCGGUCACUAUUUAGCAGACCACAGGCAAUCUCCUCCAUUUGCGGCUUUGACAAAAUAGCUAAGCUCCCAAAGGAUAUGUAAAUGACUGAUGAUUUGGGCUUGGAGUUCAACCAUUCUAUGUAGUCAGUGGAACCUUGAAAUUGGUCACCUCCGAAAGAAAUAUCAGUUGGAUCUUUUGCAUCCAAGAAAGCAGAUGGGAUCAAGGGGCCAAUUCCAAUCAAUUUAAGCUUGUCCAAGGCCCGCAAAGCCUUGGGCUCUAAUGCAUCAAAGGUGUUUAGCAGUACUUUAGGGUUUUCAUCUUGGCUAAGUGCUUCGAAAUUCUUUUGAAACGAUUCGAGAACAAAAGUCAAUUUAUUUGAAGACAGUAGAAAAGAGGGAAGGUCUCGGCUAGUGAACAGUGGCUCCAGUCCUGGAAGCUCAAUGGACGAUGAGGGAUCAAUGCUUUUAUUUCUAACUUCAUCUCCAUAACCAUUGAAGUAAUAGUAGUAGAUGUCAAACACUGUGGUCGCUUGAUUCCAGAAAUAAGCAGAUAAGACCUGAACCCUACGUGCCACCUCUUGCGCCCAAUCAAAGAUCAUGGUGUACACUAUGCAAGCAACGGGCCGACCUUGGUCAGCACAUUCCAGCACGAGCUCAGUGAGCUUUAGCGUUCCUUGGCGCUUAAUCUCUGACAGAACGUGAUGUAAAUUGUCUUUGUUUUCACACCCAUCGUCGUAGCCAUCAGAGAAGGGGGCGAAGGAUAAUCCACAAACAGACAGCGGUUUGACCAUGCGGCGUUGGGCAUAGACGGUAGUGACAAAGGUGACCUGAGCACCGGUUUGUAUUAGCCGCUUGGCCAACCGGAGAGUUGGAUUGAUGUGGCCUUGCGCUGGAUAGCUGACAAGGAGGAAGUGAGGAGGAGCCAUGGCCGGGGCUAGUUUACAGGGAAGGGGUGAAAUGUGGAGAAUUGCUCAUGACUGGUAUUGUAAAGGGGUGUGAAACCUUAAAUAAAGGGCUGCAGUUUGCAGAAUGAAUAAUAUUGUAUUAAAUUACAUUUGAUAUUGAAAGGAAAAAAUGUGUUUUCAGAUUUUAUGGAUGGAAACAGUAUCUGACCGGAUUCUACUGAUUCAACCAUGAAUUUAUUUCCUUUUCCUUAGUUCAUCAAUUUCAAUUCGAAUAAUAAUUAUUAUUAUAUUUAUUUUUCAAGUCUUUAUUGUGAAUCAAAGGAGAGAGGUGUAUUUUUAUAUUUUACCGAAAGUAAAUUUCAGAAGAUGGAUGAAAAGCAUACAUAAAUAAAAUAAAUAAAUAAAUUGAAAAGGUAAAAUAGUUUAAAAUUUUAAAUUUUAAUUAUAAAAUGACUAAUUCUAAAAAAAUUAAUUAAAAAACUUAAGUAAAAAUUAAAACAUAUAAAAUUUAAAUUAACUCCUAAGUUACAUCACAAGGGAGCAAAAUAAAGAAUAAAAUCGGUUAUCAUUGAUAUUUCAGGGAUCCUCAAGCCUCAUCUUCUUCUUUUGUAGAUUGGACAAUUUAGUAGCUAGAAAUGUUACCUAUUAUAAAUUCUCAAUAAGUUACUGCAUUGCCAACAUCUUUAUAAUCAUAAUCUCACAAUUCAACCUUCUUUAGAAGUUAUUACAAUUUUAAGUCCUUGCACUUGGGGGCUUGACACUAUUGAGGCAAUAUAUCAUCCCCACCAUAGUGAGCAAUCAAUCGAUCUCAACUUUAAUCAAUGACAAAGAGAACCACCCCUUAUUAGGUUCAUCUUCUUUUUCCUCUUCUUCUACUUCUACAAGUUUUGGCUCCUCAUUCUCAACCUUGUUAUUGGUGUAUUUGGACUUGUGGCACACAUUUUCUAUUAACAACCUUUCAAACAACUAGAAAGGAGGAUACAAAGUCAUUAUAACAUUAUGUUUGUUGAACUUGAUGCUAUCUUAGAUGAUAACAUUUAUUAGCAAGGCCUUUGUGUUUUUGAGAAAAAUGAGUUUUCUAUUUCAUAUAACAAGAUGAAAGUGAUUAACACUACAAAAAACAUUAUUUUCACACUUAAAAACAUAGAUUUUAUUAUCACUUUUGAGUAUUAAUCAUAUCUUUUUUUACUUGAAUUCUUGUAAGUCGUAUUUUAGAGCUAACAUGGGUAUGCAACAAAAUAGAAUGAAAUGAGGCAUUUUAGGUGAAUUUCAAGUAAAGGUUAUUACAUGAGGUUGAUGGAGGCAAAGAAAAUCGCCAAAGAACUUCCUUAAAGUUCAAACAACUAGUGGAAGCAAGGGACCAAAUUAUGAACUUUUAUCGUGAGGAGGAAAGAAAAUGAACAAUUAAGUGAAGUGUAGAACAAUCACAUGUUCAAAGAAGGGCAAUAAAUCAUCCUGAUGUAAAUGUGUAAAAGAAAGAAGGAAAGCAAGGCCAAUAUGUAAGGACAAUCAUGAUCGCAAUUGCUGGUGCUACAAUAUGUCCUCUAAUCAUCUUGCUUUGUUGUGAAGAAAAUGGUCAAUCCACCCAUGGCUUUGUUAAGAAGUUAAAAUGAGAGAUCUAGAGUAUUCACUUGCCAAGUUCAAAAGAUUUUCCACAAUAAUAACCACCACUCAACAAUAAUAGCAACCUAACAAGAAUCAAGAAUGAUAAUCCAAGAACAUUUAAUAAAAAAAAGGGACAUCAAAUAUAACAUGGAAAAACCCUCCAAAUGGUGAUACAAUAGUUAAGUCCUCAUAGGUUUCUUCACUUUGAAAACUUAUACAAAUAUAUCUCAAUAUUUGAGGUGGGAAUCCAUCACCUUAGAAAACAAUGAACAAAAAGAGAUUAGGAAGAAAUUAUUCGUACCACAGGGAUUUCCCCAAAAGGUUGAUGAAAGAACUUGUAACUUCACCCUUGAGCCUUAGAAAAGUGCCCAAAAAACAAUCCUAUAUAUAUAUAUAUAUAUAUAUAUAUAUAUAUACAUUCCUUUUCUCAAUCACCCCUUCUCUCAUAAUACCAAAACUUUAAUGUUAUUUAUAUUUGCGCUUAAGGAAUACCCAAAUAUAAAAUAGUCUAAUAUAUGGGCUCAUGGGCUGGACAAACUUAGCCCAACAAUCUCCCCCUCCAACAUAUGAAGGAGGAAUGCGAAUCCAUAACCCCAUCACAUGGAGUUCAAACCUAUUAUGUCAAUGCAGAACUAAAGCUUUUGCUUUGGGACAACCUUUGUCAACAUAUUUGAGACAUUUUUGUUGGUGUGAAUCUUUAUCAACUUGACUUAUUUUCUUCAACUAUAUCCCUCAACCACUUGAAUACCUAUUUGUUUUUCAAUGAUUUUCUUCCUUUAGGAAGUUGUACCAACUCAUAUAAUUUUUAUGCAAGAAAUCCAUCUCAUCUUGCAUGGCUCUCAAACAAUUGCAACUAUUCUCAUAAGACUUAGCUUUCUGGAAACUCUAUUGCUCCUUCUCAUCAAUUAUUAACAUGUACUCAGAUGAAGAAUAUCUAGUAGAAGGACGAUGCUCUCUAGUAGACCUCUUAGCUUGGGGUACCAAAGCCUCCUGAUGAAGUGAUUGUUUCCCCUACUCCUCAUGCUCAACUGGCUCUUGUGUAGCUAUGUCAUUUGCACUAUCAUCUCUUGGUAGCUCAUCAAUUUCCUCCUCUUCAUUUUUGGGCUGCUCUAAUGAUGAAGGAAUAAGUACCAACUCAAUAAAGUCAUCACUUAUAGCUUUGGAUUGAUUAGUGUGGACCCUGUAUUUUGGCUCAUGCGUUUUCCACUCGAUAGAGAGCUCGAUUUUUAUUUGAAAAUGAUUUUAUUUAUUAAAAAAAAUUACUUGGAGUUGCCACUUAUUUUUGUUUUAGUUUUACAAGGGUAAACAAAAUAAGAAAGAAAACCCUAAGUGUGACUCCUUAUUUUGGAAAAUGUGGUCUAUGAAAAACCGGAUCAUGCUCGGGGGUCAGAUUACUUAUCGGGAAGGUACGAUAAAGACUGUAGCACCCCUCUAAGUCCCUAAAGUCGGGUCUCUACUAAUAAAAUGAAGCUGACGUGGCAAUCAAUAGGAAAAUCAAUGGAUACUCAAAUCGGUCAUACACAUAUGGGAAUCAAAACAUGCAUAGAGAAUGACUAGAAUGAGAGUGGAUGGGUACUUGGGCCACGAACGAGCAAUGCGCUAUCAUAAAAAUGGAGUCAGUGUACAAUAAAGAGCACAAAACAUAUCACAUGCAUCACCAAACAUAAAUUAAAACUGCUCGAGGGAAAAUUGGAUUUUUGAAAUUUAUUUGAAAAUUGGAGUCUUAGAGAUUAUUUGAAAAUUGGAGUUUUGGAGAUUAUUUGAAAAUUGGAUUUUUAGAAAUUAAAUGUAAGAAUGAGAAUUUUAGAAAUUAAAUUUGAAAGAAAUUGGAAUUUUGAAAAUUAUUUGAGAGUUUGGGAUUUUUUAAAAAUUAAAUUACGAAAUUAGGGCUUUUGGAAAUUAAAUUUUGAAAGAAAUCAGAAUUGAAAAUUAUUUUAGAAGUAGAAACUAUGAAAAUUGAAUUAUAAAAAUUGGAAAUCUUGGAAAUCAUUCGAAGGCAGAAUUUUUAGAAGUAAAUGAAUAAAAUGAUAAUAAUAAUGAUAAUAAUAAGUAAAUAAAUGCGAGAAUUAUAAUAUUGGAAAUUGAAAAUUAAGUUCGAAAAUUGGAAAAUUGGAAUUUCAUAAAACUAAAUUUGGAAAUCGAAAUUUUGAAGAAUUAUUUAAGGACAGAAUUUUAAAUAAAUGAAUAAGUGAAUAAAUAAAUGAAUGGAAUAAUAAUAAUGACGAAAUAAUAAUGAUUGGACGAAUAAUUACAGAAGUUAGGAUUUUGGAAAUUGGAAAUUGAACUUAGGGAUUGGAAAUUUAAAGAAUCAUUUAAGGAUGAAAUUUUAAAUAUAUGAAUAAGUGAAUAAAUAAAUGAAUGGGAUAAUAAUAACGAAAAUAAUCAUUAAACAACAUAAUGUGAAUAGUGGAAUUUUUUAUAUUGGAAAUUAAAUUUGGAAAACGGAAUUUUGAAAAAUUGAACUUUAAUGAUUGGAAUUUUUAAAAGAAAGAAAUAAAUAAAUAAAUAGAAUAAUAAUAAUAACAACGAAAGCAAUAUUUAAAUGAAUGAACGUGAAUAGUCGAAUUUUUGAAAUUUGAAAAAUUGUUUAAAGAGGGAAUUUUUAGAAUAAAUAAACAAAUAAAUAAAUGGAAUAAUAGUAAUAACGAGAAUAAUAAUGAUUAGAUAAAUAAUUUUAAAAAUUGGAAAGUUAAUUUAGAAAUUGGAAAAUUGAAGAAUUAUUUAGAGAUGGAAUGUCGGAAAAUUAAAUUUUGAAAGCUGGAAGCCCGAAAAAUUAUUUUAAGGCUGGAAUGUCGGAAAAUUAAAUUUUGAAAACCGAAAACCCAAAAAAAAUUAUUUAAGGAUGGAAUGUCGGAAAAUUAAAUUUCGAAAACUAGAAAUCCGAAAAAUUAUUUUAAGGAUGGAAUGUUGGAAAAUUAAAUUCCGAAAACUGGAAACCCGAAAAAUUAUUUUGAGGAUGGAAUGUCGGAAAAUUAAAUCUUGAAACUUUUGUUUUGAUAUCAAAAUGUGAAGAAAUAAUAAAAACAAAUAUGAAUUGUGGUGAUCUUCACGUGCACGUCUCCAGUAUAAUGGCCAUGAACCCAUUUUACAUAUUCUUUUCCACCACCUGAGCAAACAACUUUUGCAUGAAGAUUGAUGAGUGGGUGUGGAGGUUGGUAUGGCCAUGCAUGCGUGAGGAUUGUUGGACGGAUAUGAAGGUUGGUGUGGUCAUGCAUGCGUGAGGAUUUUAAGGAUGGAAUUAAAUUUUGAAAACUAAAAACCCAAAAAAUUAAUUUUAAGCAUGGAAUGUCGGAAAAUUAAAUUUCGAAAGCUGAAAACCCGAAAAAUUAUUUUAAGGAUAGAAUGUCAGAAAUAUAAAUCUCGAAAACUGGAAACCCGAAAAAUUAAUUUAAGGAUGGAAUGUCGGAAAAUUAAAUUUCGAAAACUGGAAACCUGAAAAAUUAUUUUGAGAAUGGAAUGUUGGAAAAUUGAAUCUUGAAAAUUUUGUUUUGAUAUCAAAAUGUGAUGAAAUAAUAAAAAGAAAUAUGGAUUGUGGUGAUCUUCAAGUGCACGUCUCUAGUGUAAUGGCCAUAAACCCAUUUUAUAUAUUCUUUUCCACCACCUGAGCAAACAGCUUUUGCAUGAAGAUUGAUGAGUGGGUAUUGAAAACUGAUGACAUGGACAAGGUAAUGGAGUCAGCCACUAGCAGGAAAUAAAUAAAAAAUAAAAAUCCUACAAACCCAUUUAAUUCGACAUCAAACCAGAAAGCAAAACCAUGCAGUGGAGCUCACAUCAACUGGAUCACUCUUUCUUAUCAAACUUCUUUCGAAUAUAUCUAGGAAUCCUCUUUGGAAUUCCCAUUACCUCAAAAGGAAACAGAAUUCUAGAUGAGUUGUGACCCUAGCAGUAACCAUAUCUGGCUAAAAAAAAAUCUCAGAAACCGUCCUUGGUCUUGGUCCAGAUGAUAUCUUCAAUUCCAAGAAACAAAACUCCCUCGGUUGGUCUGGAUUCCCUUAUAGGAACUUGGGAAGCAUUCCGACAACAUGGAGAUGACAGUUGUUCAGUUAUACCAUUAUUUGUCACCUUGCUUUUUUUAUUUUCAGCAAGCUUAACGUCUUUUCUAGUUCACUAACAUGUCUAGGAUGAUAUACUGGUAUUAGACAAUUCGAUAUAUCUGAAAUGACCUUCACAUUGUCCAGGUUCGAUGCAAUACUAAUUUCCUGUCUCAUAGCCAACCCAAGCAUGAUACCCAACAUUCCAAAAGUGCACGAAACGAGGAAGUGAAGAAAAACAGAGCAUAUACAAACGAAAAAGAUACUACUGAACUCGGCUCCAUUUCAUAAUGAUCAAUGGGCUGGAUACAGGUGGCAUAGGAAGGAAGCAAAAAAAAAAUAAAAUGAUUUUGAUACAUCAAGUUCAGAGGAAGAAACAAAGCAUCAAGCAUUGACAAGAAAGAUAGAAAAAAAAAACACCAGAAACAAAACUAAAACAGAGUAUGCAUACAAAGGAUAGAUCCCUCAAAGCAAACGAGUGGUCUAGUAGUCAUACCUGGAUGUUUUCCUCAAGCCAAAAGUUUCCUGGCCACCCGCUCUGCUCUCUUCCCUUCCUUUUUCUGCUCAGCCAAAGAACCCCUCUUUCAGAAAGAAUCCCCUCACCUCCAAAUCUCCCCUGUUUCCCGUCUUCCUUAGCAAGCCACUACCUGCUCUCAUGUGCACCAUUCCGCCAAUGCGUCAUCCUCACCCAGCACCAUGGGCGAGCCGUGCUCUUGGCCACCUGUCCAUGCAGCUUCUGAUAACCAAACAGAUUCUAACCUAACCUCCUCUCCCACAGUUGUAACUGAACAACCAUGUAACAACCCCAAACCAACUCAUCCAACCACCUCACCUAGCUUAUAAAUACCCACACCGGUGUACUCUGAAGAUAAUAAUACAAUUCUUCUUCUUUUUCCUUUUGUAUUUUCUGACCUGUGUAACCACUUCUAUCAUGGUAUCAGAGCCAGCUUUGUUUUCUUGAUUUUUUUUUCAAGAUGCCGUCAUCUACUCACUCUUCUGAUCUUCAUUUACCUUCUUCUUCAACCUCCAGCCCCGUUUCUUUAUCCCUCAACCAUGCCCUCCCAAUCAAACUUGAUCGUAACAACUACAUUCUCUGGAAAACCCAGAUGGAAAAUGUAGUUUACGCUAAUGGCUUUGAAGAAUAUAUCGAUGGCACUAAGCCAUGCCCGCCUCAAGAGCUCCAUACUGGCGAACUCAAUCCUGACUUUGUGCAAUGGAGACGUUUCGAUCGCAUGGUUCUUAGCUGGUUGUAUUCCACGUUAACACCAGAUAUUAUGGGCCAAAUCGUUGGGUUUCAGACCUCCCAUGAUGCUUGGAUGGCUCUACACAAAAUCUUUUCUGCCUCAUCCAAGGCUCGUAUUCUACAGCUUCGUCUUGAGUUUCAGACAACAAAGAAAGGGGCUGAUCCUAUGCUAGAAUACAUUCUCAAGAUUAAGACUAUUUCUGAUAAUCUUGCUGCCAUUGGGGAGCCUGUUAAGGAAACUGAUCAUAUCUUGCAACUUCUUGGAGGACUGGGUUCUGAAUACAACUCUAUUGUGGCCUCCUUAACAGCCCGUGAAGAUGAUCUUUCUCUUCACUCUGUCCACAGUAUUCUACUUACCCAUGAGCAACGCUUAAACCAUCAGCAUACCUCAUCUGCAGACCUGCCAUUUGCGGCUGCCCACAUAGCUGCUGCCCCUUCCACCCAACAUCCCAGACCUCAUCACCCCAGAUUCCAAUCUCCUCAACCCCGAUUCCAAUCUCAUUACUCAGGAAAUCACCAGCAUGUCCCAUUUUCUCAUACCAGACCCCAUAACAGACCUCAUAACAGACCUGCUAACAGAUCCUCCUCAUCUGCUCCUCACCUCCCUACUCGCCCUCAAUGCCAAUUGUGUGGUAAAUUUGGACAUACCGUUGUAAAAUGUUAUCACCGUUUUGACAUCACCUAUCAAGGAACCAGUGGUGUAUCUUCUUCACAAGACUCUUCUCCAUUACAAGCCAUGCUUGCUGCAGCACCAAAUCAUCAAGAUUCUUGGUUCUUUGACACUGGAGCUACCCACCAUCUCAGUCAUUCUGCUCAAACUCUCUCUAAUGUUCAACCGUACUCAGGUGCUGAUCAGGUCACCAUUGGUGAUGGUCAUUCCUUACCCAUCCUAAACACAGGUAAUAAAUCCUUUUUCUUUCAUUCCAAGGUCUUUUGCUUAAAUCAAGUUCUUCAUGUUCCUCAACUCUCCACUAACCUCAUCAGUGUUUCCAAAUUUUGCACUGAUAAUGCUGUCUUUUUUGAGUUUCAUUCAACCCAUUUCUUUGUCAAAGAUCAGGUCACCAAGCAGACACUUCUCAAGGGAUGGCUUAGGGAUGGUCUGUAUGAGUUUCCUUCUUCAUCAUCUACUCUUGCUUUUGUGUCUACCAGCUCCGUUUCUGCUCUCACUCCUGGUGCAAUUUGGCAUUCCAGACUUGGACACCCAGCAGCUCCUAUUCUUUCCAAGGCUUUAGCCUCUUGUAAUCCUUCUGUUUCAUUUCAGAUUAAUAAAAUUGCUCCAUGUAAAAUUUGUCCACUGGCUAAGUCUCAUUCUUUACCUUAUUCUUUGUCAUCUUCUCAUGCAUCCCAACCCUUAGCUCUUAUUCACACUGACUUAUGGGGUCCUGCUCCUUCUCCUUCCACAUCAGGUGCACGGUAUUUUCUUCUUUUCAUUGAUGAUUAUUCCAGGUAUACUUGGAUUUAUUUUCUCUCCACCAAGGACCAGGCCCUCUCCACUUUCAUUACCUUUAGAAAAAUGAUUGAAAACCAGUUAAAUUCCACCAUAAAAUGCAUUCAAUCUGAUAAUGGUGGGGAAUUCAUAGCAUUUAAACCUUACCUUGAAGCUCAUGGAAUUGUUCAUCAGUUUUCGUGUCCACAUACACCCCAACAAAAUGGUCGGGCAGAAAGGAAAAUCCGCCAUCUUGUGGAAAUAGGCAUGGCCCUUCUGGCUCAAAGCUUCCUACCUUCAAAGUAUUGGUCAUUUGCCUUUCAAACAUCAGUCUAUCUCAUCAAUCUCCUACCAGCUAAACUCCUCAAUUUUCAAUCUCCUCUACAAGUUCUUUUUCAUAAAAUUCCAAACUAUCAUCAUCUCAGAGUUUUCGGCUGCUUGUGUUUUCCCUCCUUAAGACCUUAUAAUCACCACAAACUCUCCUAUAGAUCUACUGCUUGUGUGUUUCUUGGCUAUGCCUCAGCUCACAAAGGUUACAUUUGUCUUGAUGUCUCCACUAAUCGUCUAUACAUAUCCAGAGAUGUUCUCUUUCAUGAAUCCUCUUUUCCAUUUCAGUCAAUACCUGCUCAUUCACCCUUACCACAGCACACUCCUCUCACGUCUGCCUUAAUAAAUCCACCCCUCUUAUCUACAUCUUCACCCUCAACUGUGUCAUUUCCUGUUCCUACUUCAAGUACCAAUUGCACCUCCACUUCAGAUUCUCUUCCACCACUACUUCAGGUCCCAUUUGCACCCACUCCUUCUCCUACACCUUCCUCUUCUCCUUCACCCCUCAACACCCACCCUAUGGUGACCAGGGCAAAAUCUGGAAUUCAUAAGAAAAAGAGUUUUCUCAUACAGACAACAAGUGAGCCUCACACUUACAGUCAGGCAUCUAAGAGUGAACCUUGGGUUCAGGCUAUGCAACAUGAAUAUCAAGCUCUUCUUUGCAACCACACUUGGAGUUUAGUUCCUCCUCCGCCCUCAGCACACAUUGUUGGUUGCCGUUGGAUAUACAAGUUAAAAUAUCUCCCUAAUGGCUCAGUAGAAAGGCAUAAAGCUAGGCUGGUUGCUCAAGGCUUCACCCAGACUCCGGGAGUGGAUUACUUUGACACCUUUAGUCCAGUUGUGAAGCCCUGCACCAUACGCCUCAUCCUUGCCUUGGCAGUUUCCUUUCAAUGGCCAAUUCGUCAAUUAGAUGUGGAGAAUGCCUUCCUUAAUGGGGACCUUCAAGAGGAGGUUUUUAUGGCUCAGCCUCAAGGGUUUGUCCACCCCCAAUAUCCUCACUAUGUUUGCAAAUUACACAAGGCUCUUUAUGGCCUGAAACAGGCCCCUAGAGCUUGGUUUCAAAAGCUUCGAGUUGCAUUGGUUGAUUAUGGCUUUCAGUCAUCUUGGGCAGACACUUCUCUCUUCACUCACCAUACCGCUUCUGAUAUUCUUAUUCUUCUUGUAUACGUGGAUGAUAUCUUGGUUACUGGUAGUAAUCCCAAGCUGGUUUCCCAUUUCAUUUCCUAUCUCCAUGAAAAAUUUGCCCUCAGAGAUCUUGGCCCUUUAUCAUAUUUUUUGGGCAUUCAGGCUCAACAACAGGGCUUGGUUUUGCAUCUCAAUCAACAAAAAUAUAUUGCUGACUUACUUCACCGCACUCAGAUGGAGGCUUCUAAACCAGCCCCUACACCCGGCAGCCUUGGACGCACAUUGUCUCAGUCUGAUGGUGUUCCUCUCCCAGAUCCCUCAGAAUAUCGUCGUAUAGUGGGAGCUUUACAGUAUGUCACUCUCACUCGGCCUGAUAUUGCUUUUGCCGUUAACAAAGCUUAUCAGUUCAUGGCCAAGCCCUCUGAUGUUCACUGGUUGGCUGUCAAACGCAUUCUUCGUUAUUUAAAGGGCACCAUCUCUCUUGGUCUUCAUUUUCAAACUUCAACUUCUACGGAGCUUCAGGGAUAUAGUGAUGCUGACUGGGCCUCCUGUCCAGAUGAUCGCCGAAGCACCAGUGGAUAUUGUGUCUUCCUCGGCUCAAAUCUCAUCUCAUGGUCCUCCUCCAAACAACGCUUAGUCUCCAAGAGCAGUGCUGAAUCUGAAUACCGAGGAUUAGUCUCUCUCACGGCUGAGCUAGUAUGGAUUCAGUCUCUUCUUCAGGAGCUUUGCUUGCCCACUUCUCCACCAGUCUUAUGGUGUGAUAAUCAAAGUGCAGCUCAUCUUGUUGCAAAUCCGGUCUUUCAUUCUCGUUCCAAACAUAUCGAAUUAGACUUGCACUUUAUCAGGGAAAAGGUGUUGCGACAAGAGCUUCAAAUCUGCUAUGUGCCGUCCACUGAUCAACUUGCUGAUAUUUUAACCAAACAUUUGCCUAUUUCCCAAUUUUGUAGCUUACGAAGCAAGCUCACAGUCACCUCCCCGCCUAUGAGCUUGAGGGGGGAUGAUAACCAAACAGAUUCUAACCUAACCUCCUCUCCCACAGUUGUAACUGAACAACCAUGUAACAACCCCAAACUAACUCAUCCAACCACCUCACCUAGCUUAUAAAUACCCACACCGGUGUACUCUGAAGAUAAUAAUACAAUUCUUCUUCUUCUUCCUUUUGUAUUUUCUGACCUGUGUAACCACUUCUAUCAGCUUCUUCAUGGCAGAAAAGGGGUCCCCCCUCAUCUCAAAAAAAAUGAAUGGAAAAUUCUCUCUCUCUCUCUCUCUCUCUCUCNNNNNNNNNNNNNNNNNNNNNNNNNNNNNNNNNNNNNNNNNNNNNNNNNNNNNNNNNNNNNNNNNNNNNNNNNNNNNNNNNNNNNNNNNNNNNNNNNNNNNNNNNNNNNNNNNNNNNNNNNNNNNNNNNNNNNNNNNNNNNNNNNNNNNNNNNNNNNNNNNNNNNNNNNNNNNNNNNNNNNNNNNNNNNNNNNNNNNNNNNNAUUAGGUUUGUCAAAAUCUCCUAAAGUUUGAUCUUUUUGAAUGACCACAUCUCUACUUCUUACCAAUUUCUUAUUGGUUAGAUCCAAAAUUUGACUCCAAAGUCCUCAUCAUCAUACCUAACAAAGACAUGUGGAACUGCCUUAUCAUCAAGUUUGGAUUUCUGUUAUUUGGAAACAUGGACAAAAGUUUUACACCUUAGACAACUUUGCAAUCUUCAACAUACACCAACCCUCUCAAUGAUGUGGAGUGAUUCAUCAUUUCAACCACACCAUUAUGUCAUGGAGUGCUUGAGAUUGUUUUCUCAUGUCUUAUACCAUUUGUAGUGCAAUAAACUUCAAACUCCCUUGAGUUGUACUCACCUCCAUUAUUAUACCUAAGACAUAUCAAUUUCCUUCCAUUCUCUUUCUCAAUCAUGGCAUGAAAUCGUAGAAAAUACUAAAAUACUUGAUCCUUUGAUCUGAGCAAAUAAAUCCAUACCUUCCUAGUAGCAUCAUCAAUAAAGGUGAUAAAAUGUUUAUUUCCUCCAAGAGUUUCCACAUCCAUGGGGCCACAAACAUUAGAGUGUACCAACUCCAACUUUUUUAACUUCUUAUAUCUACUAUUAAAGGAAACCUUAUGCUGUUUUCCAACCAAACAAUGAUCACAAGAAGACAAGGAUUCAUUUUUGGCCAAGGGAAUUAAGAAAUUCCUUGCCAAAACUUGCAAUCCUUUCUCACUCAUAUGUCCCAAACUUUUAUGCCACAACUCCAAGGAAGUACCCUUUAUAGCAUGUAACUCAUCAUUACAAACUUUCCCUUGAGUCUUGUACAAAUUAAGUGCAACAUGCUUCUUCUUUUGCAACAACCAAUGAGCCUUAGUGAGCUUCCACACUACAAGAAAAAAAGCUCUUCAUUGACAGUUUUUCAUCAUCAAGAUAAGGUAGAUCGGUAUUCACAUAUGUCAUCUAUGCCAGUGUCAAGAAAUGAUAAAAGCUAGCUUGACAUAUGCAUAUGUUAAGGUAGACCUUAUUUCUAUCAAUGUAGGUAUCUUAUUAAUAUGAUAUAUGUUAAUGUUUCUUCCACUUCAAUCAAGGUUAGGUUAAACAUAUGUGAAGGUUGACUCAUUGUUUUGUCAAGAUUAUAUUCAAUAUAUCUUAAGCUUAAGUAUGACAUAUGUCAAUGUUGUUUUAUAUGCUUUUAAAUUUAAUUUACACAUAUGUCAAGGAUUUUUUUUUUCAAAGUUGAAAUUUUAAUAUGUUAAGGUUCCUUUAUUCUUAUGUCAAGGAAUACAAUUUCUUUUAUGUCAAGAUUUCUUUAUUCAUAUAAAGGAAAUUGUUUUAUUUCAUAUCAAGGUUGCAUAUGGAACAUGUCAACAACCUAACCUGUUGCCCAAAUGAUGUACAUAAAAAUUGAACCUAUUGUGUGUGUGUGUAUAUAUAUAUAGAUAAAUAGAUAGAUAGAUAGAUAAACUACAUGGAUGUAUAAAAUAUAUUAAAAAAUAUAUAUAUGAACAUGUAGGCAAAUAUAUUGACAAAAAAAAACUUAAUAUCCUUGCAUAAUCUUGUAUUAUCAUCACAUACAUCCAAAAAAACGCAAAUAUGUACCCAAAAAUCCAAUAGUUAUACAUGAUAAAUAUAAUGUAUGCAUGAUCUUGUGCCUUCAAAAGUGCUGUAAUUGCUGCAAAUGCCACCUAACCUUCUGCAACUAGGAAAAAACAUCAGUAUAUGUUUAUAUUUGAAAGAUUAAUAAAAUGAUAUAAACACGUAUCCAAAUGUAUUCCCAAACAACCUAACAACUAUAUAUAAUCUUGUUAUCUUAUCAAAAAUAUAUGAAAAAAGGAUAGAUAUUUACCCAAAAAUAACCAAAUAUCAAGUAAUUGUACAUGAUAACAAAAAUUUAUGUGUGAUAUUCUCCUCUAAAAACUGCAACUACUGCAAAUGUCACCUAACCUUUGGCAAGAAAGAAAAAAGUAACAUUAUUUUAUGUUUAUGUUUGAAAGUUCAUUAAAAAGAUAUAAAUAUUUAUCCUAAAUAUAUCAAAAUGUAUCCAUAAACAACUUAGCAAGUAUGCAUGAUCUUAUACUAUUAUCAAAUAUACAUAUAUAUAUAAGAUAUUUAUUAAAAAAGAACCAAAAUUAAAUAAUUAUGCAUGAUAACAAGAACUUAUACAUGAUCUUGUACUCAUAUCAAAUAUAUAUAUAUAAAUGACAGAUAUUUACCAAAAAAUCCAAUAGCUAUACAUGAUGACAAAAACUUAUGCAUGAUCUUGUACUCUAAAAAUUGUAAAUGUUGCAAAUAUCACCCAACCUCUUGCAAAUAAGAAAAAAAACAACAUUAGUUUAUGUUUAUAUUUAAAAGUACUAAUUAAAAAGAUAUAAACAUGUACCAAAACACAAAAAAAAAAAAAAACAAAAAAAUCUAGCAAUGAACUUUUAGGGAAAAAAUAUAGAUAAGAUAUGUACCUAAAAAUAUCCAAUAAAAGAAAAAACUAAUGGGAGAAUUGGGCUUUACACCCAUUUGGCUUUGAUAAUUAAUAAAAGGUCCUUCAAAUACUCAUAAUUGAUUAUAAGGAUAUGAUAUAAGAAUAGACAAAAAUACCCUUUUGACUUACACCCAUCAUUUUUGUUUUUAUACCACCACUCUUUAUAUGUCACUUCCAUAAAAUUCUUCAUUAUUUAAUCUUUUUUUAUUUUUUUAAAACUCUUUUAAAAAUAAUUGAAAAAUCAACUUUAUUUUCUAAACAAAAAUUAUAUUAAUGAUUCAAAAACUAUUUUGGAAAAACUUUUGAAAAAAAAAACUAUUAAUUUAAAUGAAUAAAAAUUAUCUUUUACAUUUUAGAAGUAAAUAAUUUAAUGAUUAAAACACUAUUUAAAAUAAAUGUAUUUACUAUUUUUUUCUUCUAUACUAAAAAAGUAUUUUAAAGUUUAUUUUUUUACUAUUAUAAAAUAUAAAAAAUUAAUUUUUUUAAUCUUCUUCCUUCUUUUUUUUAAUAAUUUUUUGAAUAUAGACUUUUGGUAAUAAGUUAUAUGAAAUGUUGCAAAUUUGUUUAUUAAGGAAUUUUCUUAAUAAUUUGACUUAAUUGAAAAAAAAAAUAAAAGAGAUGGAUGAAGAGUUUUUAUUUUAAAUAUCCAAUUAAAAUUUUUCGUAUUUAAAAAUGGAUUAUAUUAAUACAUAGUAUAAUAGAGAUCGAAUUUUUCUCAUAUAAAAGGGUUGAAUGGUAUAUUUACCCAUUUUAAAUGAAAACGGUAGUUAAAAAUUGUAUAGAUUAUAUUUGAGUUUGGUUUUAAAAUAUUUUUUUUAGUUUUUACUUCUUUUAUUUUUAAAAAUAAUUUUUGUUUUCUAUAUUGUCUCUUUUUAAAAAUAUGUUUAAUUAGAAAAAAAUUAUUUUUAAAAAUGAAAAUUGAAUACCUUGUUUAAUACAAUUUUUUUGUAUGAAAAUAAUAAAAAGAAUUAAAUUUUAUUUAUUGAUUAUCUUUAUAUUUUUUCUAUUAGUUAUUUUAAUAAUAAAAUAAAAGAUAUAAUAUGUUCACAAUUAAAUAAAUGAAUCGGUUAAUUGUAUAUUUUUUUCACAAAAAUAUAAUAUGUUCACAAAAAAAAAAAAUUUGGAUUUAAGUUUUCCACUUUUUUUCUUAAUCAAACUACUGAAAUUAUAUUUAAUUUGUAUCAUUGUACAAAGGUAUUCACUAAUUGCACAAGGGAAAUGUACUAAAUGUACAAGGGGUGUAAAAGAUUACUAUUUGUAAAAGAUUUUAAUCAAUUCUAAACCACUUAUUUAUCUUCCUCGUCGCCCAUGAAUUGCAUGUCCAUAUCAUGCACUUUAUUUAACUGUCAUAUAGAAAUUCCGAUACUUUCCCCAGUAAUGAUGUUUGAGGAAAAAAAUUUAACCCUAAUUCAUCUACCAUUUUCUUAGCUAAACCAUUAAAAAUAUGGUUAACACACGUACGUGGAUACAUUACUUAGAAGGAAUAUAUUGCAUUAUUGUACAAUGGUAUUACACUAACUGUACAAGGGAAAUAUAUUAAGUGUACAAGGGUGUACAAGGCUAUCAUUUGUGAAAGAUUUUAAUCAAUUCUAAAUCACUUCUUUAUUUUCCUUGUCACUCAUAGAUUACAUACCCAUGUCAUGCACUUUAUUUAACUCCCACAUGGAAAUUCUGAUACUUUCCCUAGUAAUAAUAUUUGAGGAAAAAAAAAAUUAACCCUAAUUCAUCCACCAUUUUCUCAGUCAAACCAUUAGAAAUAUGGUUAACAUACCUACAUGGACAUAUAACUUAAGAGGGAUAUAUUGCAUUAUUGUACAAUUGUGUUACACUAACUGUACAAAAGAAAUGUUCAAAGUGUACAAGGUUACCAUUUGUGAAAAAAUUUAAUCGAUUUUGAAUCACUUCUUUAUUUUUCUUUUCAUCCACGAAUUGUAUAUGAAAUUUGUACUACUGUACAAGUGUGUUAUACUCACUAUACAAAGCAAAUGUACUAACUGUAUAAGACAAAAAUACUAACUAUACAAGGGGUGUACAAGGCUACCUUCUAUGCAAGAUUUCAAUCAACUCUAAACCUUUUUUUUUUCUUGUCACUUAAGGAUUAGACACUUUCCCCCCACACAUUGCUUCACCUAAAAAUUGUUACAAUUUGAAUUUUUAAAUUUCAUCAUCCAAAAUUUGUAAUUGCAUAUUUUGUUUGAGUAGUUUUAACAAUUUUUUUAGUACAUUUACAUCUCAUAUAAAGGAAAAUUAAUCACAAUAUUUAGGUACUACCUUUUUUGUGAAAUCAGGCAUGAGGAAAAAAAAGAAAAAAAAAAGAAAAUUAUGAUACAUUUGCUUGACUUGAUGACAUCGUGUUUUAAUAAUUUAAACCAUGUCAAGUUCACAUUUAUUCCAUAUUUAAAAGGGUAUUUUAAUACUUUUCAAAUUAUUAAAUUAUAAUACAUUAUUCAAUUAAAAAUUAAUUAUCACCAUUAGUUAAAAGAUGGCCAUGUUACAAAAGAAUAUAUUAAGACAAUAUCUAUGUAUUAUUCAUAAAAUAGAGAAAAUAUUCAAAUAAUUGUCUAUAACCUUAAAGAUAUUUAUAUAAAAAAUAACUCAUAUAUAUAUAUAUAUAUUAGAUAAAAAAGAAUAAUACUAUUUUUUAAGGUGUUUAAAAAAUAUUUAUUAUAUAUUUUGUAAGUUUGAAAAAAAAUUAUGAGGGUUAAAAAAUAUUUACUUAAAAAAUGUAGUAAUAAUCAUUUUUAACCAUUGAUUUCCAAUAAUUUUUUUGAGAGAAAAAUAAUUGGUGGAAAUAGUGACACUUCCUUAAUUAGGAAUUAAUUUACAUGGUCCCACCAAUUACAUGGUCUCAAAAUUGCAAUAGCAGCAAAUGUCACCCUAUACCUUGCAAAGAGAAAAGAUGCAACAUUAAUUAAAAUUUAUGUUUGAGAUUUUAUAAUCUUGCUUAUCCAAGGCCAAACCUAACAUCAAAUUAAGGCAUAAAUCUGGAACAUGCCUUAUAUAUUUCAAUGUCAACUUACACUUCAUAUUGGUUGCAAAGAAAACAUCACAUAUCCCUACAAUCUUGGAGUGACUAGGGUUUCCCAUCAUAACUGUGCCAAAUUUUCUAACUCUGUAAUAAGAAAACAACUCCAAGUGAGGAGUAGCAGGGUAGGAGGUUGUAGUGUUUACAAUCCACUCAACUCUUUGCUCAUCUAUAUGCAAACACUCAUUUGAGAGCACUAAAACUUAAUCACUAUUGGAUAUAGAGGCUAUGAUAUUCUUGUUAUCUUAUUUUUCCUGAUUUUGUCUAUUCUGUUCUAUUUUCCAAAUUCGAAAGUUCUUUUUCAUAUGCUCAUCUUUUCCAUGAUGGAAACAUUUUAUUUUAUCUCUGGACUAAGACUUCCCCUCAAACUUGUCAUGACCUUUCUAUCCUCAAUUCCUAGUUCUUCCUCUACUUUCUAUGAUGAGGACUUGUGCAUUUUCUGGGUCUUAAGCCUUCCUUCUUGUUUUUUCAUUGAACAAAUUUCCCUUCACAAGCUCCAUAGAUAAUACAUCAUUCGAAAUAGAGUUACUAAUAGUCACAAAAAAGGUUUCUCAACUGUCUGGUAGUGAACACAAUAACAAAGAAGCUUGUAUAUCAUCAUCCAUAACCAUUUUCAUAGCAACCAACUGAUUUGCAAUACUCUAAAAAACAUUCAAAUGAUCUAUCAUUAGUGGUCAUUCCUUUAACUUCAUGUUCACUAACUUCUUUAACAAGAAAAUGUUAUUCCUAACAAUUUUUUGUUCAAACAUUGAUUCCAAUUUCUUCUAGAGAUUAUAGGCAUUUGUUUUAUUUGCCACGUAAUGACGUGAGGUUGUAUCAAUCCAUUGCCUAAUGUAGGCAAUUGCUUUUUUGUUCAUCUUAUUCCACUCUAAAUCAGAAAUAUCUUUAGGCUUAACUUCUUCACCCUCAAGAGUAUCUGGCAAAUCUUUGAUGGUGAGAAAAUCUACCAUCAUGGACUUCCCAUAGCCCAAUUUGAAUUAUUAAGUUUUACCAUGGAUACUAAGUUCCCUUCUAUUUCCAUCCCUUUCAAAAAUAAAAGUUCCUACAACUAGACUUUGAUACCACUUGUUGGGAAGUUAAAGGAAGAGAUAGAGUAUUCACCUGCCAAGGUUAAGAGAUUCCUCCACAAUGAUAACCAUCACCCAACAAUAAUAACAACUUAACAAAAAUCAAGAAUGAUAAUCCAAUAACUUUCAACCAAAAAGAAGGGACACCGAAUAUAAUAUGAAAAAAAUCAUGGAGAAAUUUCUUUUAAUUACCAUGACAUAAAUUUCAUCUUUAAAACUCUUUUUUUUUUUUUUUUGCAUGAUUGUAACUUCAUCCCUAAAAGAAUAUUUUUUUUAUCCAUGACUAUAAACCUCAUCCUUAAAAGUUUUUUUUCUAUAAAUAAAAAAUUCAUGUAAAAAUGUUAUAAAAAUUAUUUGCCAUGAAUACAUGAUGGGAUGAAAUGUAAUCUUUUUGUCAUGAACCCAACCUUCAUCAUUGAGAAGACCUUUAUUUUCCAAGAAUAUAAACUUCAUCGCUCAAAAAUAAUUAUUGUGACUAUAAACUUCAUCCCAGGUACAAGUGUAAUAGGAGCAUCCAUUGACAAAAGGUUUACCUUAAGAUGACCAUCUCACGGCUAUUGAGAACGAAUCAACCCUAUUUCUAUGUAAAAAAAUUUUGAUUGCAGAAACUUCUUUUUGUGCCUUAAAAUUGCAUUCAUGAUUAAAAUUAUAUGAGAAGUUUGUUGUAGUAUAAGGACAAUAUUUUUUGUGGAGGAAGAGUUUUUUUUGUUCCUUUUUUCGAUGAGAUGUUACAUGUUAAAAAGAAGAAAGAUGAAUUAUGUACAAACUAACACCAACCAACUCCAUACAAACCAACAAGGAAUAACAGAGCUAGAAAUAUUUGAGGAAAUAUUAUUUGUUUAGGGAUGGAGAAAUAUUUUCAUUUCAGAAAGGUAGAAUAGUUGUUUUGGAUUUUUGGAAUUAUUUACAGAUUAUCAAUCGAUUGUUUAUGGAGGAUCUGAGCUGUGACCUGGUGUCGAUCUGAUUGGAUUAUGUCAUUUUUCAUUCUAUGUUGGAAAAUGACAUUCUAUACUUGUUUUUCAUUUUAGAUUGCUUGAUUGAACUGGUUCCUCUCUAAAAUUCAAAAAAUACAACACCAUAUAAUUUAUUAUAUUAUUUAUUUGAAAUACAAAAACAGAUUGAUAAAUUACACCAAUUAACCUUUAAAUACAAAGCAAAGAAUAAUUUAUUUGUACCCUAUGUUAUAAGCAUCAAGCCCAUAAUGGAGAGGAAACAACAAAAGAAUAUUCAUGGCUCACCCUUAAUUAUACAAACUCCACCCAAACAGUUCUAGAGAUUAAACCUUGAGUGCUUACACUCAGGAGGGACACCUUGAGGGAAGCGUUUGAGAUCAGUGCAGUAGUUGUAAAUCAUGAAGUUCUUCUGAACCCAUCUCAGCCUUCUUCUGCUGUAGGCAUCAAGUUCCUGGGUCUGGAAGGCACUGUCAGAGAAUGUGCUUGUGGAGGUGGAAGUGCUGGCUCUGAAGUUCCUGUAGUAUGCUGUGAAGGGUGCCUUGGACCAGUCAGUUUUCACCAACCCUCCUCUUGUGGCCCAGUCAUCCGCAUUCCAGAGGCUUGAGUAUAUCCUCAUUGGCUGGUUCUUUGGGAAGGGAACCCCCAUUGAUUCUGCAUUCUUGAAUAGCCUUAUGGGAACGUUGUCCACCAAGAAACUGAUGAAAAAACCAACACCCAGUUCAGUUUUAGUUUAUAGAAAAAUAAUGGAAGUAGCGUUGGAAUGUAGGGUUACGUACAUGAUGUGUUGGGCGCUCCAGGCGAUGGAGUAGGUGUGGAAGUUACGGGUGGGGUCGAACCAAAGGUAGAAUUGUUGCUCCCUGUUGCCCUUCCCUUGAGUGAAUACAUUGGUGUGGAGGAUAUAAGGAUCUCCACUUAGGUUUCCCAAGAACUCGAAGUCGAUCUCAUCAUGGGUUGGCCCUUGAGAAGACAACUGCAUCACAAAUAUAACCUCAAUUUCCAAUUUCAUCCUACGAUUUCACGUGCCCAAAAAUAUACAUAGCAGGUAUCAAGUUAUGUUCCUUAAAGAAGUUUGGAGAGAGAGUUGAUGAAACAGGACUUGUUGGUUGAUAAUAAAAACGACAACUGUUUUCUAUUUUUAAAACUAAAUACUGUUUUUGACACACUUUAAUAUUUCAAAACAAACAAAAUAAUACCUUCUAUAAUAAUUACUCUAUACCCUGAGGGGACAAAACUACUCCCGAGUUCCCAAAAGGAAAAAGAAAGAAAACGGUCACCCACCCACCAUUUUAAAGGAGGUCACGAGAACAAGUAUGUUGAGAAAUCUUAUCUUUUACGCAAACAUAUAUUCAAGCAACUUUCAUCUUUUGUGAACAUGAGAAAAGCACUAUCAUCCCUAACAAAAUAGAGUUUUGUAAUGAUAUCGAAGUAGAAGAGGAAUGAAGUUUGAGAAUGAUGACAUACGUAGUAGGCAGUGACAGUGCCAGCGGAGUUACCAGCAACAAGCUUGAGUUGCAUAUCAAUCCUCCCAAACAAAUACUCCUUCUUGGACUGAAACCCAGACCCAGAUGUCUUGUCCAGAGAGAGAGACAGAAGCUGUCCUCCAUUGAAGAUCUUAGCACGAUGAUCGCCCCAUGUUAUGUCAAAGUCUUGAUAGAAGUUACUAGCAGAGGCAGUAGCCAGAACCAUUGCAAAAACCAAGCCAAAAAAUGAAUACCCAUUUGAAGAAGACCCCAUUUUGAGAAGAGAAUAGUGGGUUUUGUAGAGUAUUGGAUGUGAGGUUUAGAGGAAGAGAGGGAUUGGUAUAUAUAGGGUUGAGAGAGAGAGCGUAUGAUGUGGGAGACGCGUGAGUGACCAACAACUGGAGACAGCUGAGCAAAGUAGCAGAAGCUGGAAGGCAUUGGUGUUAUCUGAGGGGAGUUGGGUGGUUUUAGGCAUCGGGUUGUUUGUGGGAGAGAGUUUUUAAAGAAUGAUUGGGAUUCUCUCUGUGUAGGGUCCUCAAGCCAUGAUUUCGACAGCUGGUCGAUAACAACUUCUUUUAUGCGUAGGUUCGGCUCACCGCCAUCCCCCCUCUUUCCUUCUCCUUUCUAUUUUUCAUAUAUAUUUAAUUUUCAUAUACAUCUUAUCAUUCUUCAGAAUAUUGAAAACUCUUACUUUUGUGGGCUCAAGAUUUUAAUUCCAAAGUCAUUAUACUUGGUAAUAGAUACUAAUAGGUUUUAAUAUAUCCAAAUAAAUAAAUAAUAUAAAUAAAAACUCAUUUAUUUUAAAUUAUAUUUAAUUUAUAAAAUAUUAGAUAGUUUUAGAAGCAAAUGAUAUAUAACAUUUAUUUAAAAUUUAAUUCACUAAGAUAGGAAAUAAAAAAUUUGUUUCAAAAUCAUAUUAAGAAAUAAUAUCCAAAUAUUUUUAUAGUUGUGAAUGAGUUUUUAUUUUUCAUUUUUUUAAUAUAUGAAGCAAGACAUAUUUUUCCCAUUUAGUUUUAGAAAGCAGUAAAAAAAAAAAAGUAUUGAGAAAAAUAGUUUUUCAUAUUUGGUUUUACCAUGAAAAAAAAAAUCAUAUAUAAUUAAAAUUUAUAUAUUUUAAAAUUAUUUAAUAUUUAUAUAAUAAAGAGAAAUAACUAAAAUAAAUUUUAAAAAUCAUAUAAAAAUAAUUUAUUAAGUUUAAACCUUUUUUUUUUUCACUUUUUUUUUUCUGCAUUUCAUUUCUAUUUUCUUUUCCUUAUAUUUUUCAUCAAUUUUUUUGGGAACUAAACAAAGGCUUAAUUUUUUUUCUUUCUCAAGCUACAAUACCAUCAUCUCAUUAAGCUAAGUAAAAUGUGUUAGAGAUAUAAACAUUACAAAUUGAACCAUUGUUUAAGCUAUGUUUGAUUCUCGAAAAUUUUAAGAGAAAAUGAAAGGAAAAGAAAAUAUAAAGAAAAAGUAGAAAGAAAAUAAAAAAUAAAUUAAAAGUUGAUAAAUUAUUUUUUAUUUAUUAUUUCAAACUCAUAUUACUUAUUUUAACUCAUCAAUAUAAAGAUUAAAUAAUUUAAAAAUAUAUAAGUUUUUAACUAAUUUUAAUUAUAUUUUAUUUUAUUUUUUUAUAUUUUUCAUAAACAACCAAACAUGAUAAAAUAAUUUUUCUUUACAUUUAUUUUCUUACCUUAGUAAUUUUCGAGAACCAAACAUAAGCUUAAUAUUUUAAGCUUUUAAAAUGGAUGUAUAAACUAAUGGCCAUAUUUGAUUAUCACAUGGUACUAAGGAAAAAAAAAAUAUGAAGAAAAAUGACUCUCUUGGGUUUGAUUUUACUAUAAAAAAAUAUGAAAGGAAGUCAAAUAUAAUUAAAAUUAUUAAGAAAUUUAUAUAUUUUAAAAUUAUUUAAUCUUUAUUUUAAAAACUUAAAUAAGUAAAAAAAAUUUAAAGUGGUACAUAAAAAUAAUUCAUUAAUUUUAAAUUUAUUUUUUAUUUUUUUCCUUUUUCUUUCAUUCUAAUUUUCUUCUUUUUCAAACUUUCCAAUAACUAAACAUGAAGAAAAUGUUUUACUAAACCACUAAACAAAAAAUAAUAAAUUUAAAAAUAAAGUGGUGUAAAGUAUUAAUAUGAUAAUAAUUAGUUAAUAAUAACUGAAAAAAAAAUUCUUUGAUAUUUUACCGUUUGAAUGUAAAAUUGAAAAAAUAAAAUAAAAUAAAUUCAAAAUGUAUGAUUAUGGCAUUGGAAACAUGUGAAGGCAGAAGAUAAAUUCCAUGUCGCUUUCAGAUGUAGUAAAUAGGAUCACGGGACACGACAUUGUUAUGUGGGUCGAAUGAAUGACUUGUCAAUUCCAAUGGCCGUGGGAUAUGUUUCUCAAUUGCUUUUCCCUUACUCCAAAAUGUAAGAAAAAGAAAAUAGGAAGGAAGAAUACGAAGGAAAAAAAUUGAAGAAAAAUAAAAAUUAAAUUUUAAAUUAAUAGAUUAUUUUAAUUUUUUUUAUUUGUUUAAUUCUUUUAUAUAAAUAAAUAAAUAAUUUAAAAAUAUAUAAAUUUUUUAAUAUUUUUAAUUAUAUUUGAUUUUUUAUAAUAAAAACAAAUAUGAAAAUAUAUAUAUAUAUUUUCUGGAACCAAUCGUACCCUCAUGUUUUUUAAUUCUCUAAUUCUUUGUUUCCUUUUUAUAUUCCAUAUUUCUCUUUUUUAUUAACUUGAUAUUUGAAUUAAAGUCUUAUUUCAUGAGGAUAAAAUUGUUAAAAAGGUUUCUAAUUACUCUUUAAGGUAUAUUAAGGGUGUGUUUGGCUGUGGGAAUGUGAAAAAAUAGUAAAAAAUUCAUUUGAACUUUCUAUUAUUCUAUAAUUUUUUUUAAAUAUAUAUAUAUAUUUAAACAUAUUUUCAAAAUUUUCACUUUAGUUAGAGUAUUUUCUUGUGUUUCACAAUUAAAAAUUGAGAUUUAUUUUUAUUUUUUCUUUUUUCUAUUAUUUGGAUUAAAAAGAAUUAUAAAUAUUUAUUAUAGUCAUUUAACUUAUAUAAUACAUUAAAAUUUUUAAACAGAUAGUCCAAAAAAUAAGUCAAAUUAAUUCCAAAAAAAAGUCACUAACGUAAGGUUCAAAAAUAAUUUGAUCUUUAAUUCUUAAGUAAAGAUCCAUUAAAUAAUAGUUAGAUAUAGAUGGAUGGAUAGAUUUAAGGUGGUAACAAUACGGGAUUGGCUUGCCUCCACAACUGUAACAGAACAAUGUUCUUCCCUUGGAUUAGCUAACUACUAUAGACGGUUUAUUAAGGGAUCGAUACUCUAAUAUGGCUAUCCCUCUCAUUGACUUGAAGAAGGGGAGGGAAUGGAGGUGGGCACUGGAGUCUCAGACUAUCUUCCAAAGGUUAUAACCUCAAAGCCAGGGUUGAGACUACCAGACCUUAUGCUUUUACUCCUCCCUUUUGUUUAUAAAGGCAUCAUUUCAUUGCAAAGCUUGGAGAUUGUGAGAUUUAGAUGAGUUAAUUUCACUCAAAAUUGAAUUUUAUAAUUUUAAAAUAAAUUAUAUUAAUGUUUUUGUUUUUUUUUUGUUUUUUUUUUUAAAAAAAAAACCAUUGCAAUUACAAAAGCAACCAUUGUGUAUUUCUUUUGUUUGGGAUCGAUUUUUUUUUUUUCCUCAAAAUUUGCCUCUUCUUAAUUAUCAAUUUAGUUUUGAUAUUUUUCUCAAAAGCAAAUUUGAAUUGAAUAUAUAAUUGAUGGGUGGCGGUGGAAAAGGGUUAUUUCCAACUAGCUGUCAUGUACAUUGAAAGAAAAAGCUAUGGGCCAAAACGAUGUUGACCAAAACAGGGUCUCUACAUUCAUUGGGUGGAGAUGAGUUUGGAUUCACAAAGCAUUAAAUUUAUAGUGUAAUUUCCACCAUCAAGGGUCCUUCCUUUUUUUUUUUCCUAAUAAAAUUGAAAAAAAAAAAAAAGGAAAAAAAGGCAACUAAUGAGAGAAUUUAGAAAAAAAAAAAAAACCAUUUAAAGUACAGCCAACAUUUUUGUUUACGCGUAGAAAUAAGAUUGGAAAUGUUGAUAUGGAGACAAGGAUGAGGUAGUUGCCAUGAAACAUUAAAAAACAAAGGCAUUGGUAGUAGGAAAAAGGCCAGGAAUAAUCAAUGGGUAUGCUAUUAUUGAAGAGUGUUUGUUAAGGAUUCCUUCUAAUUUGGAUUACUUCCAUUUCACAUAUAGAUGGGUCUUCCUUUCCAAAUUUUCCAUUUUUAAGUGCUUAUUUAUCACAUGCAACCAUUUUCUUUAUAGAUAAAAAUAAAAGUAUUAAGUGUUACAAACUUUUAUAUUAUGUAUAUGACAUUAAGAGGGUAUUCGUUUUUUUUAAUUUUUUGUUGAAAAUAAUUUACUUUUGAUUAUUUUUCUUUCUUUUUCUUUUUUUUCUUAAGAUUUAUUAUAAAUUUUUGAAUGAAUAAAAGACAAAAAUAUUUAGUUUUUUUAAAAUAAAAAAAUAAUAUGUUGAUUUUUUUUAACGCUUAAUAGAAAUAAAAUAUUAAAAAAAGAAUAAUGUAAUAUUUAACACUAUUAAACAAUGUUUAAUUUGAAGUUCUAUUUAGAAUUAAGUAAAAAAGAAACAAACAAACACCACAUAAUUAUUUAAAGUAGUUGAUAUAAUUGCUUAUUUGAUUUGAUUGAUGAUAAAAAUUUAUUUUCUAUUUCAUAAUAGAAAUAUUUUACUGUGACAUUUUAAAAAUAAAUAAAUUAUUUUAUAAAAUUAAUAACAAUUGUUUUUUUCUUUUUUUCAUAUGUUAGGCAAAAGAAAUGCCUUCAUACAAUUGAUUGAGAAGUGAUUCAGCCUUACUCAGUGCUAUAUAGGAUCUAUUUUUGUUAAAAUAAUGUAGAAGUCUAGGUUUUUUUUUUAUAGAUAUAUUUUAAAAUUAUAGACAUUUAAUUAAUUAUAAACCUAGAAAAGCAUUUUAGAGAGGAUGUAAAGAGAAAGUAACACUAAUUAAUGACAUGAUUAAUCCAUACCACCACUCAUUGUAUAGGUGCUCAUCUUUAUGGUAGGACCUACUAAGUUUUGAAAUCCCAUUAUUCCACCAUGUACAGAAGAAAUUAUUAAAAAAAAAAAAAGAUAAAGUAAUUUUUUUAAUAUUGAAUAUUUAUUUUUUUCUGUAUGAAAUAAUUUAGUAAAAAUUACAAUUCCAUAAAAAAUAAGCAUAAAAAUUUUAUAUUUGAAUAGCUCUUUAACAACUUUAUUUUAAUUUAUUUAUUUUUUUCAACCAUUCCAUAUAGUUGUAAGUAAUAAUAUCUCAAUUAUUUCUUGUAAUUGUAUUAUAAAAAAGGAUAAAUGGAAAAAUAGAAAUAUUCCCUUUCUCUUGGGUACAUGGAGCUAAGGUAGUAGGUUUCUUUUCUUUUUCUUUUCAUUUUUAUUUUGCUUUUAUUUGUUCUUUGAUGAGCCUUUCCAACAUGUUUCAUUAGUGGAAAAGGUCAGGCUGGGUGUUGUAUUCAUAUUCCAUUAAUUCUCUUAUUUGAUUCAAUAUUUUGAAUUUGCAAGUUUAAUCCAAGUAUCUAGAAAUCAUCUCCUAGAAGUUUGGAUUUUAUGGAUAUAUUAAGAAAUAUCGAUCAAAAAAUAAUUAAUAAAAUAAGAAAUAAUACAUAUGUUCAAGUUGCUAUCAAGUCUCAUAUUUUUUUCUUUCAUGAGCAAGAUGAAAAUAUAGGUUUUCAUCAAUAUAUUAUAGUUAGAUUUUAUGAAUAUAUAAAUAAUACCAACCAAAGAAAUUUUGAGAAAAAAAAUUGAUAAAACAAGAAAUAAUAUAAAUGUUCAAAUUGUUACUUUUAAAUAAUAUAUGUAUAAUAAAUUUGUAAUAUCGAGUAGUAAAUCAAUAAUAUGUAAAACUUUAAAACAUAUUUUAUACAUAAAUAUCUAUUUUAGAUGUAUUUGAUGAUAUAAUAAAAAUGAUGAUAUAGGUAUGAUUUUUAAAAUGUUUAUAAUUUUAUUUUAAAAUUUAUAUUUCUAUUAUAUAUAUAUAAUGUUGGUUAUACAAAAAAAAAAUAUCCACAAAAGUUGAGGAUCAACAUUCCAUAAAAACUAGGGCUUCAACCAAAAUUUUACUUACCCAAAAAAUUUGGAGUAACAUCCAUAAAAAUUGGAGCCUCUAAAUAAAAAUAAGAGGGAUCAUUGGGAUAGUUUUCACAUAGUGAGUGUGCUACUGUGUAUGAUUACACAUUGGAUAAGACUUACAAUGAAUCGUGACAUUAGUUAUAAGGUAGUCAUGAUUCAUCAAGAUACUAGCUAUGUUGCAUAGGGUCCCAACCUUGAGAGAAUUAAGCUAGUAUUGAAAUUUUUAGUGGCUUUGACUUAUGUGUAAGAUCUGAAAGUGGUUGUAUAUUAUUUAUGGAUUGAGUCACCACUAAUUAAGGCAUAUGACAAAAGAUAUUCUCAACAUAGACACCAUGAUAUCUUAUGGGAUUGAGAUAGUGUAUCCCAUUGGGUGAUUAUAAGGACUAGUAAUCAUGUAAAUUAUGGUCAUAUAAAUUCUUUAAGUGGAAUUUGACAUAUGCUCAUAAAGAGUUGAAGUAUGUAAGUUGAUUAAAAAAUAGAAGAAUUUGAAACUCGAGGAUUAGAGAGCUAAUCUUGAGAGGUUGAUAGUAUUUAUCUCGUCAAAUUAUGGAUACCAAUUUAUAGGAAGUUUUUUAUACAAUUGAUUAAUAGGUCAUGGAGUGAGCUUCAUAUCUUGAUUUCAUAUUGAAGAAUACUAGAGUGCGGUUGACUAUCUUGAGUAUGAGGUUGAGUAAAACUUCAAAAUUAAAUUAUGAGGGAAUCAAUAUUCUCCUAUAGUUUCUAGUGAUCUCCACUCAAGCUCACAUUCCUUGGUGGCACAUCAUUUGAGGAAUAAAUGAGUUUUUUUAUUCACAAGUGCACUAAAGGGAUUUUAGUAAAACCACAAGGUUGCAUAGGAGUUUAUCAAUGGUCUUUCUAAAUUAAGCUAAUUAAUUAAUUGGAACCUAAUAGAGCUAAUUAAUUAAUUAAGGCCCAGCGAACUAGAUUAAGUGACCUAAACUUAGGAUGAGCUUAACUUAUUUAAGCCCAUAGGUAGGUCUAUAUAAACCCCCUUAAGGAUUAGGACUUAUAUGAUAUAAGUUAUUCUAUUUUCCAAAAAGAAGAGAGAACUCUAGUCUUCAUUUCUAUGGAGAAGAUUACAUUUUUCUCACAUGCCAAGGUUCGGGAGAAAGUUAUGAAGUAGAAGAUCAUGAGGUAAAUUUUCAAGAUCCACAUCAUCUUAUUUUUCGUUUGGAGUUUGAUUUAGGAACAUUUAGAUCAAAGUUAUACUUUUAGGCCUUACAUAUAUAGUUUCUAUAUCUUUAUCACUUAUGUUGUGUAGAUCUAGCGUCCUUAGGUUGUUAGAGAGCAUGGACCUAUGAUCUAGGGGUUUCCCAACAGUUACCUUGAUAUAUGACUCCUGUGGACCUGCAUUUUUCACAUGCGUUCCCACUCAAUCGGCGAGACUUAUUUUUAUUGGUGAAAAAUUAGUUUUGAAAAAGUUGGAGUCGCCACUUAUUUUAUUUUAUUUUAAAAGGGAAAAUAAAACAAUAAAGAAAAUCCUAAAGAAGUGACUCCAUAGUUUUGGAAAAGCAAGUUUUGAAAAACCUGAGCCUUGGUUUGGGAAUCAAGUUACUUAUCAGGAAGGUACCUCUAAGAGGUAGCACCCCUCUAAGCCUUAAAGAGGUCUCUAGUGACUAAGUUGAGGGGAAUGUGACAAUUAAUUAAUUGAUUGAAAAUACCUAGGUAGACUAAGGUGAUUUUAGAAUUAACAUGCCAAGCCAGAAAGUCAAAUCUUGAUCAUAAAAGAGAGUCAAAGUGUGUAUCUGGACUGCUUCUUAAGUGCUAUCAUAAAACAUCAAAGUUAGUAUAAAAAUAUAGUAUACUAUGCAUUUUUAUCAAAGAUAACCAAACGAUCCAACCUAUAUCAAGGCAAUCAAAAGGGCAAAGUGUUAGAGAUGUCCAUGGUGUGCACUCUCCAUGGUGCGUGAUCAAUCCCAAAUUGGACUGUACAUCCAUUGAAUUGCAGCCCAUGGAGGUUAUGGACUGGCAGUAGAAUGAAGCCUUCAUCCAUGCGUGUUGCCUUGUCUCUUCUUACCUUUGGAAAAUGCAACCUACUCGCUUUGGAUCAAUGGCGUACAUGGUUCUCUUGAAGAUACCAUGGAGAUCUUUAUGGAAAUUGGGAUAUGGACCCCUCAAAAGUUGCAACCCUGGGGAUGCUUGUGCGUGGAUUGGUUGUCUUCAACCCAUAGUGCGUUCCAUGCUUAGUGAACUCUCCCAAAAAUUAAUCCCAUUCAGCAUGUAAGUUUGAGCAAGGUGAUGUUCGGAGUCCUGAUGGAUGCAGCCUCAUCCAAAAAUUUGGCCAUAAUCUACUUUUAAAAGUCAUCCCAAGCAUGAUUCCCCUUUAAAAGAAUGUCAACCAAUCAUUUUUUGUUUGAGAUGGUGUUAUGUGAGUGAUUUUUCCUAAAAAAUCCAUUACUGUGUGUGCUGUGUAGAAUGGAGAAUCAUGGUCUCCCAUGUCCUCCCUUAUGGCAACCUCCUUUUUACUCUCUCAUAGCCUGGAAUCUCCCCCUACCCCAAAUAGAACUAUCCAACAUUCUUCAUUCAACAUACAACCUUGCCAUUCUGUUUGUAUCCAAAGAUGAGAUUUAUCCAAUGAUGUAGAUUUUCUGAAACAAAAUCGGAUUCUAGUGUUUUUCUAUGCUUCUUGAUAAACUUUCUAGCACUGCGUUUGGCCUAAGGAGGUAACACAACAUCACCGACCUUUUCUCCUGAUCAUUUUUAUCCCAGGUCAAAAUUGAAACGAUUUCCCAAGAACUCUAGCAUGUAGAAGAAUUAUGGAAUUAGUUCAUUCACAUUUGAUGUGUUGCCCUUUCUAGCUGCACUUAACCAAGUAUCUCUUACACUAUUGAAAAGACGAUCAACAUGGUCAAACUGACCACCUUGUAACUUUUGGUUGUUUGCACUAAAUGGUGGCAGGCAUAGUAGAUCGAAUAAGACAAUUCUUGCACUAGAAUAAUGAGAACCAUCAUAAAAAUUGGGGACCUCCCAUUUUUCCUUCUUUCUCCAAUCUUCCCAUCCCCCGAGUAGAUCCACUCUUCAGAAUGAAUCUCUUCCCAACGUCUUCUCCAACAGCUCCUCAUUGGAAAAUCCUUUCCAAGACUAGAAUUUGCCCACAUACCUCUCUGCUCCAUUUUCUUUCCCACCUAGCUCUUCCUAUGUCUUUAGAGUUGUGAACAGAAGAGACAACCCUAACCCCCUCUACAUUUUCACUGAUUAGACAGUCUCGACUCCGAUCGCUUGGCUUCCCGUUGUCGUUCCUCUCCAAAAUCCCUUCAAAACCAAUGUACCACCAGUUCUGUUCCUUCCAAAAACAUUCUAAAUCUCCCUUCAUAACCUACGCAUCUCGUCAAAGAAUUUUUCCAAGAUACAUUUGUCUGGGAUCACCUUCCAUACCACCAUUUUUUCCUAUCAUUUCCUUAUUCCAAAAAAAAAUCUCUGCCACUUUCAUUUCUCGAAAAUUCUAGUGAUUCUCUUUCCAAAUAAAUGGCAACCCGUUUUCUCAUGCAAAAAAGCCAAGAAAUAUUAGUUAGAAAACUUAUAAAAUAAUAUAAUAUAAUAUAAUAAAAAUAAUAUAGAAAGCCAUACAAUCCACACAAGUCAUGCAGGUCAUGCAAUCAUGCAAGUCAUAUAAAAAGUGAGCCUAAAAGUGCCCAAGUGACCUAGGGUGAAUGUGUGCAAGAUGGAAGGUGUCUAGGAUGUUUAGGACAAUGCAUAAGUCUAAAUUAGGGCUGCCAAGAGUCACAACGGGGUUAGAUAAAUCAUUCAAUCAGAGUCUCCAAGGUGGUUAAAAAAGGGUAAGUAGUAUGAGUAAUAAUGAGCCACCAGGGAAUUGUUGUAAAGCACCAAACGAACACAUAAUGCGACAUAUGCUAGAAGGACAAAAUGGAGGGUUUGCACUCCUUACCAUUUCAUCAUUCUAUUAUUGUAGCCAAUGUUGCCUUUAAUCCUAACCUUGCUCAUGUUCAUGGAUGAGACAAAAUCAAUUGAUUUUACAUGCCAUAUUAGCCUCCCUGUGAUAUGUUAUAAUUACUUUGAUGUAAUUUGUUGGAAAUACCUAGAUAUCUCCAUUCCUAUCCCUAGAUCAUUAGGGUGCAAGCAAACUAUCCUAAGGGUUCUCUAAAUAUAAAGUAGAAGCAUAGUACACAUUCAAACUUAGAUAUAGAGAAAAAGAAUGUUUUAUCUAUGACUUGGAUGUUCUUAGGUCAAAUCUAAUUAGUGAAGAGUCAAUGUGGAUCUCGUAGACUAGUAGAUUUUCCACUCGAUAAGACUUUUCUAGAUUUUGGCACAUGAAGAGGUGGAAUCCUCUCUUGAGGAUGGAGACUAGGGUUACUCUUUGUGGAAAAGUGAAUGGAAUACUACAAGUCUUAAACCUCUAAGGGGGUUUAUAUAGGCUUACAUGUGGGUUUAAGUGACUUAAGUCCAUUUUAGGCUUGAAUCACUCUUGAAUCCUAAUCAAUUAACCCUAUUGGACUACAACUAGCCAACUAGCUCAAUCCACAAAGAUAAUUCAUAAGCUUUUGUCCAGCCUUGCAUGUUUGACCAAAUGCCCUCAUGCACACCAAUGAAUAUAGAAUCCACAAAUCCCUUAAAAACCAUGCUAGCAUGGAAUAUGAGCUCAAGUGGGAAUUAUUGAGACCCAUAGGAAAAUAUUGGUUCCCUUAAAAUUCAAUUAUGAAGGUGAAUUAACAUCCCAUUAUAAAGAGUCAACUGCUCUUUUAUAUUUUACGAUAUUAUAACGGAAUACUAAUUUUAGGUUUGUGACAUACUAUCCAUUAUAUAUAGACUCCCCAUGAACUAGUAUCUAUAAUCUAAGGAGGUGAAUGUUAUCAACCUUCCAAUACACCUCUACAAUUCUUCAGUCUUAGAUUCUCUUAUUAUGUGAUCAACUAACAUACUGUAACUUUCUAAGAGCCUAUGUCAAAUUCCAAUUAAGGAAUUAUUAUGGCCAUGGAUUUCCUAUUCAUAUAUCCUUAGGAUCACCUAAAAAGACAAAUGAUUUCAAACCUAUGAAAUAUCAUGAUGUUUGUCUUGAAUAUACUUGUGCCACCAACUUUUAUCAACAAUGACCUAAUUUAUAGAGAAUACAUGGGAACCUUAAGGUUUCACCCUUAGUUAAAAGUCAUUGAAAACUUUAGUACAAGCUUAGUACCCUCUCCAGGUUGAGAGCUCAUAUAAUAUAGUAGCUUGGUGAGGUCAAGACCAAUUGAUAGCCAAUAUCAUGACUCACCCUAGGUCCUGUCCAAUGUGUAAUCAUAAACACUAGUGUACUCACCAUGGGCAAACCAUUUUGAUAACUAAGAAAAGUCAUUCCUCCUAUUAGGAAUUAGUACAUUGCAACCUUAAAUGAAUUGCCUAAGUUUAUGAACCAGUUGUGAAUAACUCAUCUAUUUCCAAGGAACCUAUGACUUGGAUCAUUUGUGCAACUCCUAAUGCAGCUAGGUUAUAUGCACUGCAAGAUAUGUCAAACCUGAAUGCUUUGAUAAUGUAAUGCAUGAAGAGGAUAAAUAAAAAAGGACAUUAGAAUCAUAUUAUAGAUAAUAAAAUCCUUUAUUGUUACAUCAUGUCAUGCUUUUUAGGGUUUUAUUCUAAUAAUCUCCCAUUAGCCCUUAAAACAUACUAGGAAUACAUUUGACACCUAUGCUACGCUAUGAUCACUAAAAUGAUCAAAGGCUUUUGACUUUCUCUUGGAAAUGUGAAAAAUGAUUAUACUAAGAGAAGUCAUCAACCUAACUACGACAUACCUCUUACCUUCCAUGUUCAUUGUCUUUAUAGGAGCCAUAAAGUACAUGUGAAUCAAAAUUGGUGGCUUAUUAGUAUUGACUUCAUUAAUUCUUUUGUAAGGCCUUCUAACUUGUUUUGCAUUGAGACAUUCUUCAAAAAAUGGGAUUAUUAGGUUCACUUAGCUUAGGGACAUCUCUAGUAAGAUUUCUAUUUUCCAUGGUGAUUAAAGUCUAAUAGUUAAUGUGUCUUAACCUUUUGUACACUAACUUAAUUGAAUCUAACUGAGCAUUGUUUCAAUCUACCGAAGGACUAGAACUAAAUGGUACACUAAAUAUGUUGGAAUAGAGCCCUCAAAAGCAUGACAUGAUGUAACAGUUUUAGAUAAUUAAUUAAUUUAUUUAUCUACUUUCCUUUAUUAUCUUAUUUACAUUAAUUGGUUAUUUAAACAUACACGCUCAUAUCGUUUACAUUGUACGUGACUCAGAUGCAUUAGGAGUUGCAUAAACGAUAUAAGUCAUGGGUUCCUUACAAGAUAGUAAGUUAUUCACAAUCGAUUCAUGGAUUUAGGUAACUCAAUAGAGGCUAUAGUACACUAUCUCCUAAUUAGAGAGAUGACUUGUCUUAUCCAUUGGGAUGAGUUUCAAAUGGUGAAUGCACUAGUGCAUACGAUUACAUAAUGGAUAGGACCUAUGAUGAAUCAUGAUGUAAGGCUAUUGGUUGUCAUGAUUCACUGAGCUACUAUAUUACAUAGACUUUCAACUUUGAGAGGAUAUUGAGCUUGUGUCAAAAUCAAUAGAAGACUUUGACCUAUGAGUGAAACCCUAAUAUGGUCAUAUAUCCCUAUGGAUUGAGUCACUAUUGAUGGAGACUAGUGGCAAUAGAUAUUCUCAAUAGAGGUACUAUGACAUCUCUUGGGAUUGAGAUAGUAUGUCUUAUUUGAUGAUCUGAAGGACAUGUGAUCAAGAAGACCAUGAUCAUAUCAAUUCCUUUAGUGGAAUUUGACAUAUGCUCUUUAGAGUUUGAAUAUGUCAAUUGAUCGCAUAAUAAGUGGAUCUAUAACUCAAGGAUUGUAGAGCUAAUCUUGAUAGGUUGAUAGUACUACCUUGUUAGAUUAUGUGCAUUAGUUCAUAAAAAGUUUGCAUGCAGUGGAUAGUAGGUCACAGACCUGAGCUUCACCUUAUUGUAAUUUCAUAGGAUACUAGAGUGUAGUUGAAUUUUUUUAGUGGAAUGUUAAAUUGACUUUAAAAUUGUAUUCUAAGGGAGCGAGUAUUUUCUCAUAGGUCACAAUGGUCCUCGCUCAAGUUUCUCAUUCAUGGAGGCACAUUUUUAUUUAAGGGAUUUGGGUAAAAAUACAAGAUUGCACUAGAUAUUAUGAAUUAACUUUUUGGAUUGAUUAAUUAAUUAAUUAAUUGGAGCCCAAUAGAACUGAUUAAUUAAUUAGGACUCAUGCAUGUGGGUUGGAUUAGAUGAACCAAGCUUAAUUUGGGCUUAAAUCACUUAAACCUAUAGAAAGCCCUAUAUAAACCCCCUUAGAGGUUUAGGGUUAAAUAUUUUUGCCAUUUUGUCUUCUAGUAAGCCACUAGAUAGAAACCCUAGCCAUACUAUAAAGAAAAUCCUAUACUUUUCUCAUGCCUAAAUUUGUGUGAGAAGAGAUUUAGUGGAAGACCAAUAAGUAGAUGAGCUCUACAAUGCUUUCUAUGGUUUUAGAAUCUUCAUCAAUAUCUUCUACAAAUUAGAAUCAAUAUGAGAAAAUCCAUAUUGCAAGUAUGGUUUCUAUAUUCUUAAGAUCUAGGUCCUUUUAUGGUUUUUGAAUGCCAUGUUUCCACUAUGUUAGAUCUAGAGAGCCAAGGGUUAGAUUGCAUGCACCCUAUACAAUCCACAACUAAGGAAUGGAGUAAUUUGGGUGUCCCAGCAUUAUACUCAAUCUAGUAAGAAAACACUUCCCUCACUCAUCCUAGAUUUCGCAUUUGUCCUAGGAGAACAUUGCACUAAACAGUUAUCAUAAAUUUGGAUAAUAUUAAUCAAAUUAGCUUUUAGUCCAACAACAUACAUCAUUUCGUAGAGCCUAAGGCAUCCAAGUAACCAAAUAGACUUUUUUCCUUUUUACAUAGGUCAUCUCCAAAAUGCCUCCUUAGGAAUCAUUACAUCAUUUUUAUUAAGUACAUUGCAAUCUUUAAACUUUAUAAAUUUUAUCUUAUCAAACAAACUAAAUUUUUUAGAUUCCAUAGUGUGGACUCGCAUUUUUCACAUGCGUCCCCACUCGAUCGACGAGACUUGCUUUUUAUUUGUGAAAAAUUAAUUUUAGAAAAGUCAGAGUCGCCACUUACUUUAUUUUAUUUUAAAGGGAAAAUAAAACAAGAAAUAAAAACCUAAAAAAAAUGACUCCGUAGUUUUGGAAAAAAACAUGUUUUUUAAAAACCCAAGUUUAGGUCCGAUGAUCAAGUUACCUAUUGGGAAGCUACCUCUAAAAGGUAGCACUCCUCAAAGCCCUAUAAAGGUCUCUACUGACUAAGUUGAAGGAAACGUGGCAAUUAAUUGGUUAAUUAUAGAUACCUAAGUAGGCUAGGUGAUUUAAAAAAAUAGCAUGCCAAACGAGAUCAAAUCAAUCACAAUCAUAUAGAAGAUUUAGGGUGCAUACCUGAACCACUUCUUAAGCUCAAUCACAAAACAUCAAAGGUUAGUUUAGAUAGUAUAUCACCCAACAUGCACUUCAUCGUAAAUAAUCAAAUAAUAUAACAAUAUAUCAAGACAUCCAAGCACUAUCAAACAUAGACAUAAUUUACAAUGACAAUCAUAUUUAUAGAAUUCAAAAAGUGGGUGUUAGGGGGCAUACCCGGAUAGCAUAGACAACUCAUAAUAUGCUUCCUCAUGACAUGGGGGGUUAGAUAAUAAAUAAUAAAUAAUAAAAUAAGAAAUCCUAACAUGCUUAGUAUCUAAUUAGCAUAGCAAAAAUGAUCAGAAUAUACGAAAUAAUCAAUUAUCACACACAUCUUGUAUACAAUUCCUAAAAAAAAAAAAAGAUAGAUAUGAUUACAACAAAUGGCAAGGGUGGUAGCAAAAAAAGUUUUGAAAAGAUUUUUUUAUGUAGGGUUUCACCAAUUCCCCAAUUGAUAUACACAAAUUUAGCCCAAAAUUAGCCCAUUUAUUUGGGACCACAAGCUUUGAUUCGUGUUUUGUUCAAAACCAAAAUUUUCAUUAAAAACUAAGAAGGAUGCAAACCGAUCAAGACAUGGUUGCAUGCUAUUUAAGAAGACGAGAUUUUGAUUCUAAGAACUCUAGAUGAAUUUUUUUAAAAUAGAUUUCCAAAGAGAUCUUUUGAGAAAAAAGUGUUUUGUUUUUAAAAUAAAAGAAAUUAAUUUUUAAAAUAACAAAACAUAGAAAACAAAAUACCAACCAAAACAAAAGGAAAUGAAGAUCACAAAAUAAAGAUUUAGACAAUCAUGCCAAUCAAAGUGGUGAGAGUAGGGCCAACCUUCAUGGGUUUCCAGUGGCCUUACAAAAAAAAGGAUUUGGCCAACAAUCACUAAGGCAACAAACUAAUGACUUCCUAAUCAAACAAAUUAACAAAAAUAUUGUCCAAGACUAACAUCUGGAUUUCAAGAAACACAUGAUAAAAAAGAACAAUCAAGGAUUAAAGUCAACAAAUUAAGCAUAUGGAGAUAAUAAUAUGGGAUCAAUUAAGGUAAAUUAGUAUUCUAACAAAAUAUGAUAAAUCAAAAACCAAAAUUUAGCAAUCUUGAAAAUAUGAAAACAAUAACAUGCAAUUAACUAGAUUGACUAUCCAAAAUUCCUAAAACUCAUACUAAAUAUUAAUAGAUCAAAGCCAAAAUUACCAUACUUAAAACAUGAAAAUAAUAACACGUGGAAUUAACUAAAUUAAAUGACUGAAACUCUAAAAACACUAAAAAUGAAUAUUGAUGGAUCAAAUUGAAAUGGCCAUACAUAAGACAUGAAAAUAAUGAGGAAUCACUAAAUUAAUUAAUUAAAAUUAUGAUCAACUACAAAAUUGGAUGUAAAUGGAUUAAAAUCAAGAUUAAUGAAAAUCAUAAAUGCACAAACUCAUUCAAACUAAAAAUAAUAAUUAAUACUAGAUUAAAUUAGAAUUAAAAACAUCAACAUCAUCUAAAAGAUUGGCUAAACUAUCCAAUUGAAAUUGCAAAGACAUUUAAACUAGAACAAAUAAAUAAAUCAACAAGUUAAAACUAAACUAAAAUCGGAAUUAAAAAUAUGGAAUUCAUCUAAGGGGGUUAAUUAAAUAAUUGAAUUAAAAUCAUAAAUGCAUUCAAAUUAUAAAAUAUUAAAAUUAAACUAAAUUGAAAUUAAACUCUAUCCUAUGAGAUUAUUUAAACUGAUGAAUUAAAAUCAACAAAUGCAUUUAAGCUAAAAACAAGUUAAAAUCAAACUAACUGAAAAAAAAAAAAAAAACAUACUUUAUUUGACAUGAUUAUUUGAACUAAAGAAUUAGGAUCACUAGAUGCAUUUAAACUAAAAACAAAUUAAGAUCAAAUUAAUAGGAAUUAAAGACGCAAACUUUAUUCAAUAAAAUUAUUUAAACUAAGGAAUUAAGAUCAAUGAAUGCAUUUAAACUAAAAACGAAUUAAGAUCAAACUAAUCGGAAUUAAAAGCACAAACUUUAUUUGAUAAAAUUAUUUAAACUAAAGAAUUAAGAUCAACUAACACAUUCAAACUAAAAAUAAACAUAGAACUAAACUAAUCCGGAAUUAAAAACAUAAACUUUAUCUCACAAAAUUAUUUAAACUAAUAAAUUAACACCAUAAGUGCAUUUAAACUAAAAUCAAACUAAUCGGAAUUAAAAAUAAAUAAAUAAACUUUAUCUCACAAAAUUAUUUAAACUAAUAAAUUAACAUCAUAAGCGCAUUUAAACUAAAAUCAAACUAAUCAGAAUUAAAAAAAAAAAAAACUUUAUCUCACAAAGUUAUUUAAACUAAUAAAUUAACAUCAUAAGCGCAUUUAAACUAAAAUCAAACUAAUUGAAAUUUAAAAAAUAAACUAUAUCUCACAAAAUUAUUUAAACUAAUAAAUUAAAAUCACUAACAAACUUAAACUAAAAGGUGGAUUAGAACUAAACUAAUUGAGGAUUUAAGAAGAAAAUAAUAUAAACUUUAACACAAGGAAUUAAUCAAAAACUGAAAUUUCAAAAAAAUCUAAGCUAAAUAAAAAUACUAUAUAGAAAGCUAACCUGUGAAGUGAAAGAGAAAAUCCUCUCGUGAUGCGUCAAAAUAACAGCCCAUCCCCGCCCGAAAUCCUUUGUUCUCCUCCAAAAUCCCACGUACUUCUCUCUAGAAAAAUUGUUCUCAGUGUGUCGAUCUCCCUAAAAAAAUCUGUGCGCGUCCUCUCUAGAAGAAUUCUGCUUUAUGUCUUGAUCUCUCCACAAAAAAAAAAGUCCCUUGCGUGUUCUCUCUGACCCUUAUUUAUAUGGAAGUACCUUCCUUCUAUCGGAUAUUCUAUUUCCUUUUUUAAUGCACAUGGAUAUGGAAAGCGCAUACAUGGUGGCUCACUGGGAGAUUCCCUCAAGGAUGCAGCCGUGUCUUAUUUGGUAAGUGAUCAAAUCCUUACCAUGUUGACUUUUCUUUCUAGAAAAACAAAAAAGAAUCUCCUCACAGCCCACCAUAUGCGUGUUGUGCACAAAGUGGCCACUUCUUACCUAUUUUCAUGCUAUUUUCCUUUCUACUCAUCCAUCUGCACCGCAACGCUGCAUCCCAUUCCAUCUCACUCUGUAGUUGCAUGGCAAUCUUUGCAUACCAAAUUAUAUUUGAUUCUGAGGCAAACGCGCUGAGCAUUGCUUCCAGAACCGAUUGCUCCACCGCAGUCCAAUCCGUUGCGAUACCCAGAUUGUGUUUCUUCGCCAUCCUGUUGCAUGGGUGUCCCUAAUGCGAUACCGAAGAUGAAGCUUUUGGAGCAGGCGACCAUCUCCGUUUUGGUCAUUGAUGAAGUCCGGAGUCUUCUUUUUCUGAUACAAUCGAGGCAUGAAGUCCCCAUUCUUUCGUAGUUGAUGCACGUGGUGCUGAUGCUGCUGCGGAAUUGAGGAGUUGUCAUCCACCAGAUUGGGCCGUAGGCACAGCUUUGAGCUGCUUGGAUGGAGCUGCGUGCGUGUGAUUUUUUUGGCCCGUUCCUCUUCAUCCUGGGUGCGUGUUCCAGAUUUUCUGUAGGCGACCCCCCAUUGACCAUUCCUAAUGGCUUAUUUAUUGAACAAUUACCAUUUGCCACAGAAUUGUCUAUUAUUGUAUGAGGUAUAGUGCUUGUUGCUUAAAGGCUCCUGUGGACAAGUUAUUUUACUGUCAUCUGCAUAUUUCUUGAUCAAGUUACUCCCUGAAUAUGCAUUCUCUGGCAUGACUGAUGAUUGCACCCGGUUAGGAAACAAUCGAAUGGGAGAUAUGAGACUUUUUGAUGCAUGUUUGCUUUUUGCCUUUUCAUGAUGGGAAAGAGAAGUAUCAGAAUCAUUUUCAUUGUUUGAAGAAGCAUCCCGGAAACUCCCUUUCAAAAAGGAAGAAAUCGUAUCAUCUUCAUCCCCUUCAUUUAAUGAAGUUCCUAAUUCUGGGUCACCAAGGAGGCUCCUUGCUCUUAGCAAUGCAUCACUAGAAACUGAUAUCGACCUUCCACCUGCAGUAUGAAACUUGAUUGGUGGUGGAUUUUGUGCAGGACUAUACAUUUCAGACUGCUUAAGGUUGGGAGCAGCCUCAUUUGUUGAUUCUGUUCUCCAAGAAGUGCUAGUACUAAAAGGUCUUGGAACUGGUUUGGCAUUCUCACUUUUUAUACUGUUCAAAUCUUCUUGCAUCUCUAAAUGAGAUGAAUUUUGUCCACCAUCUAAGCCAUUCAUCACACUUUGCUUUGUGAUGUGUUCUUGACAAGAAUGGUGAUUAUUAUUUUCUUCUAACCCCAACAAACCUUCUACUGUAGCAUCUCUUAUAUAUAGAUCUAGCUUCAUUUAUCUGGCCUGCUUCAAGUUCCAUCACAUUAUAGCCUUCCCAGGCUCCGAACAUUGAACUACUGUUCCUAAGUAAGCUCUCCCAAACUCCACGAGCUGCAACUAGAUCUUUAUUCAGAUUUAGCUCUAAAGGAGCCCAAUAAGCAUGCAAUCGCACCAAAUCAUCUGUGCAAUGCAUACUGAAAAGCGUCCUCUAUCAAUGCAUAAUCUAAAACCUCUUCUUGCCGAGGUAUUGAAAUUCUUCUCCUCCAGAUCUGUCAGUCUCCACUUUCUAUAUAUAAAAAAUAAAAAUAAAAAUUCCUUUCCUUUUACCUUCAGUUGUGAUCUGCCUUCCUUUUUUAACAAUAUAAAUCUCCUUUACAUCCUCCAUUCAGCCGUGAUCUGCCUUCCUUUUUUAACAAUAUAAAUCUCCUUUCCAUCCUCCAUUCAGUCGUGAUCUCCUCUACUUGAUGGCUCCAAGUCUCAUACAAAAUUAAAAAUAAAGUGGAGAUAAAAAAUCAUAUAAUUGGAAAUUGAAUAAAAUAAAAUAGAAAAUCAAAUCACAUUGUCACGAAAAUCCAAUAUGUCAAUUCAUGGAAUUAAAGAAUGAAUGGAUAAGUGAGUAAAUAAAUAAAUAAAUUGAUAAGGGUAUAUAAAUAAAUAUUAGAUGUCUGCAAUUAGAAAAAAUCAAGAAAUUAUAUUAAUGCAACGGAUUAUAAUAAUUUAAAUGUCAAACUCAAACUCUCAAAAAUUUUAAAAAAUAAAAAAUUCAUUUCAUCAAUAAAUAGUCAAGUCAAUACUCAUCCUAUCUCAGAAAAGGAAGUAACCAAGAUCAAGAACACGCCUAAGUGGGCUAUGCCAAAAGAAGUGUCCAAGUGACCUAUUCUGAAAAGGUGCUUAAGUGACCUAAGGUGAAUGUGUGCAAGCUAGAAGGUGUCUAGGUGAAUCUAAGUAGGCUUGGGUGAACCUAGAUGAGCCUAAAAAUGCAUAAGUGACCUAGGGUGAUAUGAAAAGUCCCUAAGGUAAUAAAAAAGGUAUCUAAGUGAAUCUAGGUGAAGUGUAAUGUGCCUAAGUGGCCUAAAAUGAGUGAGUGUAGGCUAGAAGGUGCAUAGGAUGUUUAGGACGGUGUCUAAGUCUAGAUUAGGGUUGCCAAGGGUGCUUAAGUGGGCCUAAGGUGGUGUCUAAUAGGUUAAAGGUGGUGCCUAAUGGGCCAAGUGUACCUAAGUGGGCCUACGGUGAGACUAGGUGAGCCUAACUAGGUCUAGCCUAAAGUGCACCUAAGAACUAUCCUAAAAAGGAAGGAAAAAACCAAACUCUAAAUUAAGGUUGCCAAGAGCACAAAGGGGUUAGAUAAAUCCCUCAACCAAAGUCCCCAAGGUUGCUAAAAAAAAAAAGAUAAGUAGUAUGAGUAACUAUGAGCCAUCAAAGAACCAUUGUGGAACACUGGAAGUGAACUUAAAGACAUGUGCUAAAGGGACAAAAUUGAGGGUCUACACAUAGCCAUAACAUUGUUGCACAAACUAUUAUUUUUAUAAUUACAAGAAUCUAGAAUACCAUGCAUUUCAUGAAUUUUAACAUUCAAAAAUUCAAUAUUACAAAUUGUUUUUGUCAUUUUUUUAUUUUCACAUUUUCACAUUUCAUUUUGAAGCUUUCAUUCUAUAGAAAAUUAUAAGUAUCUUAUAAAUUUUUAGGUUCUUGCUCUUUAUUUUAUUCAAAGGAAUUUCCAUAUUCCUUACAAUAUUCUUUUUUUUUUUAAUUUCUAAUUUAGCUACUUUAAGAAAGACUAUAAAAACAACAAAAUUUGAGCUUUUAUUACUCUCACUAGAGUCAUUUGAUUUAUUCCCAUUAAACUUUGAAUCGCAUUAAGUCACUUCCAUUACUUUCUUGUUUCUUUUGGGAAUAGAGUAGUAAAAAAAAAGUGCCUUUUUGUACCAUCUUCAUAGAAAUUGGAUUAGGAUGAUGGUUUCUAUUUCCCUUUAUUCUUAGUGAUAUUUCCUUUCUUUUUCUUGAAGUUAAUUUUUUGUUAUAUUUCUUUUAAAGUUUCAUAGAAGAUUUAAAUUUCCUAAUAAACAUUGAUAUUUCGAUUUUAGUAAGGAUUUGCAUCUUUAAUCAUGAGCCUUUAUUUAUUUUAAUCUUCCAUAGAAGCUUUUAGACUGGACUCUUUUGACUUCUUUGAAGAUAGAAGGAUUUGACUAGCUCAUACACUCUCAAGGUAUUUACAUUCUUGUUUUUUUUUUCUUUAGUGAUAACCUCAAGCCUAAAUCUCAAAAGGAGAGAUCUCAAUAUUUUUCUUACUACCUUAGAUUCUAGGGUCCUUUUACCUAGAUUAAAGCUUGAAUAACUUAGUUUAAUGCAAAAUUUAGAGAAAUAUUCAUCUUUUUUCAUUCCCAUACUCUCAAAUUUGGAAUAUAUAUAUAUAUAUAUAUAUAUAUAUAUAUAUAUAUAUAUAUAUAUAUAUACUUCUCAAUAGAAAUACUGUUAUGAGUAACAACCAUGAUAUCCCAAACUUCUUACUAUAUUUACAAUUGUACUUUUCUUCUUCAAUCAUAACAACAACAUAUUCAAAUUUUACAUUAAAUAUCACAUAACUUUCUUUACCAUUCUUUGAUCAUCACACUUCUAACAUAUGGUUUCUGUAGGACCUCAGGCGCUACCAACUCUCCUAAAAGCAAUUGCUUGUAGGAAAGGCGCAUACCNNNNNNNNNNNNNNNNNNNNNNNNNNNNNNNNNNNNNNNNNNNNNNNNNNNNNNNNNNNNNNNNNNNNNNNNNNNNNNNNNNNNNNNNNNNNNNNNNNNNUUUGGGGAAAGGGCCCUUCCCUAACCUUUUUGGGCCUUCCCCCAAGGCCCCCCGGGGAACCAAAGGGGGGUUGGGGGGGGGGGCCCACCCUCCGAUUUCCCAAAAAUUUCCCCCCCCCCCCCCCCCCCCCCCCAGCAACACCCCUGGGGUUCGAACCCGUAACCUCAGCUCUGAUACCACUUGUAGGACCUGCUUUUAGGAGAGUUGGUAGCGCCUGAGGUCUUACAAUUGGUAUCAGAGCUUGGGUUGAAGAUUUCUGGAAGAGUAAAAGAUCACAAAGCACACAAGAUGAAAACAAAGGAAUUUUCACUGAAGGUGGAGUCGAUUGCUCUUUCGUGGUGAUAUGAUACAAAAAGGUUUGUGUCAUAGAGAGAUUGAAGAUUAACUUCAUGUAAUUUGGUCCAAGGUGGAGAUUGUUGGGAAGUGUCCCAAAUUCCUAAUUAGUAUAGAUUCCUUUUUGUAAAGAAUAUUGUAUAGAAUAUUUCUAGGUUGAUAUAUUAUUGUAAUAUUAGACUUCCUUAUAGAAUAAGGAAGGUUGUUGGAAAUAUCUCUAUAAAUAUUCUAGGUCAUGAGGGGAAAAAGUUAUGAGAUGGAGAUGGGCCUAUAGAGACUAUACGAGGUGGCUAGAGAUGUGAGGAAGAACGGGAGGUACCUGGUGGAGCGAGAGAGCUCGUAGUAAGGUAUGGAUACAAGGAGUGGGGAAACAUGGGAUGUUUCGGGAACCCAAUAAUUGUAUCUGGUUCUAUCCUCUGUAAUAUUCUCUAUUGUAUAGUGGAAUUAUUCUCUCUCAUCCGUGGACGUAGGCAUGGUUGGCCGAACCACGUUAAAACCUCGUGUACCGUAUGUGUGAUUGUUUUAUCUUUGUGUUCUUGAACUAACAUUGUUGGAAUCAAAGCUUUCGCUGGCGCUACAGUUUCCAAUUAUUUACACCUUAUCAAAAUAAUUUGAGAUUGAUUUCGAGUCAUUCAUGUGGAUAUACUCAAAUUUACUUAUUCCUAUUUGCAACUUCAUUCUUUUGAUGUGAUCAUCAACUUUGUAUAAUUUUUUAUUUUUUUUUAGUACCGUACGUGUUUUUUUUUUUUUUUUUUUGUUUACUAUUAAGCCCUUUAUUAGUAGGGUUGUUGGGAAUCAAUCCCUCCUUGAAAGCAAACCACUAAUACUCAAUGGCUAGAUUGAAACCUAUGGAAUUACCCUAGCAUUGAUUUAAGGAUCCUCUUGACCCAAAUGAUCAAACAAAAAAUAAAACCUCUAAUUCCAAUCAUUGGAGAUAUUAAUGGAAAAUGAAUCAAUAACUGUAUUCCGGAUAAAUGGUUGACUUACAAUAAAAUGACAUUAGAACUAAGAGAAUUGGGUAGCUAUUAUGCUAUCAAUUAGAUCACUAACCCUUGUUAGUUGUUGGUUAGGUUCUGGUGUUCCUCUAUUGCUUUGAAUAUUGCAUAGGGUGUUUUUUUUUAUCUUUCUUUAGAGAAUCUUCAAAUAAAUAUUUAUGCUCAUUUGAUGGUGUUUUCAUAUUAGCAAACAUUGUUGUAGUUAUUAUUAGGUUGUAUAAAUUUUAAGAUAUAAAUAAUACAUACAUCUUAAUACAUCAAUUGUCGAAAUUCUUAUAAGUAAAAUUGGGAAUUGAAAUUGAAUUUAGUUAUUAUUUGCAUCCAUAAUUUAACUAAUAAAAAUUGUAGAUUUCUUGAUAUUCUAGCAACUCCUUAGUAUUAUAGCUUUGAUCUUCUAGUACAUUUUUUUAUUUUAUGACUUUAAUAUCACAUGUUUGAGGAUCGUUUCGGCGCCGUUUUGGAGCCGUUGAUAACGCCGCAGUCGGGGACCUUAGGAUCGUUUGGGGUUGUAGUAAAUAAAUAAAUAAAUAAAAUAAUACCACCCAACCCUAUCUGCAAUGUGGCACUAAUAGAAUCAACCCCCUGGUCCCACAUAUAUUAUAUAUAUAUUCAACCGAAUAUAUAUAUAUAUAUAUAUAUAUAUAUAUAUAUAUAUAUAUAUAUAUAUAUAUAUAUAUACCUACCACAUUGGACCUCUUUAUUGUGCUUACAAUACAAAUUUGAAAACCUUGCACACGUGUCGUAGCUUGGUGGCUAGUCCAAUAUUGGAAAUAGAACAAAUGGACAUGCUAUAAUAAUAAUAAUUUUAAAAAAAAGGGCCACUGUGGGGCUUGAACCCACGCGAGCCCAAGAUUGAGAGCCUUGCACUCAACCAACUGAGCUACGAGAUCCUUUUGUUUGUUUAUGAUUUUAUACCAAUGAAAUUAUGAUUUUGAUAUAGGAAUUUACCAUUUCUUGUUACAUUUAUGUUUAAUAUUUUUAAAAUAAAUAAGUUAUGUAUAUUUGUUGUCAAAGUAACUUAUAUUAUAUAAUUUUAUUUAUUUUUGAAAUAUUUAACAUAUUAUUAUUGUAUAAAAUAAUCGGACCAAAGGAAGAUUAUUUUAGUAUAAUAAUAAAUAAAGUAUUCAUAAAUAUAUGACAAAUAAAGUUUACCUUACUUGCUGUAUGUCAGUCUAAAGACAAGCAUAUUGCUUCGGUUAUGUUGUCAAUAUUUAUGAAUUAAUUUUGUAAAAGGAUAUCAAUUACAAGUUGAUAUUUUUUGUCCAAAGACUAAAUAUUAAUGUUUGUGCUAGGUAGCUUGUAAUAGGCUCACAUGCAUAUAUAUAUAUAUACGUUAAAUUUUUAUUUAUUCAUAUAUGUGUGAUAUUUUUGUGACUGAUUGUGAACUUUAUUGUUAUGAAUUCAACAUUUUCUAUAUCUGCUAAUGUGAAUAAUAUUCCUAUGCUUGGCACAAACUUCAAGAAAUGGAAAGAGCACGUUAUAAUUGUGCUCGGAUGCAUGGAUUUGGACUAUGCAUUGAGAGAGGAUCACCCUCCAGACCUUAUUAGUGCCAGCACUGCUGAGCAAAGGGCUGCUAUGGAAAAAUGGGAGCGGUCCAAUCGCAUGAGUCUAAUAAUAAUGAAGCACUCAAUUCCAAAAGCUAUAAGGGGUGUAAUACUUGAGGAAACUCGAGCCAAGACAUUCUUGGACUAGAUAGCAAACCGAUUCGCUACAAACGAAAAUGUUGAGACAAACACUAUUCUUAGUAAGCUUGUCUCCAUGAGGUACAAAUGAAAAGAGAAUAUAAGGGAGUACAUAAUGGAAAUGUUCAAUCUUGUGACUAGAAUCAAGGCACUAAAGUUAGAGUUGUCACAAGACAUACUCGUGCACUUGGUCUUGAUCUCUCUGCCUACACAAUUUAGUCCAUUCAAGAUCAGUUACAAUACACAAAAGAAAAAAUGGACUCUGAAUGAGCUUAUUGCUUAGUGUGUACAAGAGGAGGAGAGAUUGAAACAAGAGAAGAUAGAAAGUGCUCACUUGGCUUCCACAUCUCAAGGAUUUAGUACCAACAAGAAAAGAAAGAGGGACAAUAAAGGAAAACAAACUGCAUUUUUUGGGACAUCAAAGCAAAAGGUGCAGAAGAAACAAGAUAAGAAGAUCACUUGUUUCUUUUGCAAGAAGGUUGGUCAUAUGAAGAAGACAUGUACCAAAUACGUUGCUUUGCAUAAAAAGAAAUGUACACUUCUCAACCUUGUUUGUUCAUAAAUUAAUUUAGCUAAAGUACCUAUUAACACUUGGUAAAUAGAUACGGGUGCAACUACUCACUUAAGUGUCACAAUGCAGGAUUGCCUAAGGAGUCGAAUGCCAACUAAUGGUGAAAGAUACAUCUAUGUGGGAAAUGGAAACAAGGUUGCAAUGAAGGCUAUUGGUAUUUUUAGGUUACAAUUAGACUCUGGAUGUACUUUGGAUUUGGAAGAGACUUUUGUAGUACCAUCGUCUAGACAGAAUUUAAUUUAUGUUUCAUGUCUGGACAAAUGUGGAUAUUAUUGUUCCUUUAGAAAUGGAAUGGUUAGUCUUUAUUUAAAUUCAAAUAUUAUUGGUACAGGUAGUCUAACAGACAAAUUAUACAAAUUGAACAUAAAGGCCUCUAAUGGAAAUGAAACCUUGCAUUCAAGUAAUUAUGGUAUUAAGCGAAAAUUAAUAAAUGAGAAUUCAUCAAUGCUAUGGUACAGACAUUUGGGUCAUAUUUCAAAUCAACGUAUUCAAAGACUUAUGUCAGAAGGAAUUCUUGAUUCACUUGAUUUCUCAGACUUUCAAGUCUGCAUAGAGUGUAUUAAGGGUAAACAACCAAAUAUGAGGAAAAAUGACACCAAUAGGUCCAGUGAUGUCUUGGAAUUGAUACAUACGGACAUUUCUGGUCCAUUUCCUACCCCUUCUUAGAAUGGACAACAAUAUUUUAUCACUUUCAUUGACGAUUACUCAUGCUAUGACUAUCUUUAUUUGAUUCAUGAGAAGUCUUAGUCAUUGGAUGUGUUCAAGAAUUUUAAGGCUGAAGUUGAGAAUCGACUAAGCUAGAAAAUAAAGACCGUUAGAUCUUACCGUGGAGGUGAAUAUUAGAGUAGAUAUGACGAAUCUGGUGAACAACGUCCAGGGCCAUUCGCCAAAUAUUUGAUGGAGUGUAGUAUCAUUCCUCAGUACACCAUGUUGGGGACUCCAAGCCAAAAUGGUGUAGCAAAAAGGCAAAAUUGUACUCUUAAGGAUAUGGUAAGAAGUAUGAUCAAUCAUUUCACCUUACUAGAAUCACUUUGGGGCGAAGCUGUCAAAACUACAGUUUACAUUUUGAACAGAGUCCCAAGCAAAGCAGUAGCCAAAACCCCAUAUGAGUUAUGGACUAGCAAGAAACCUAGUAUUAGGUAUUUACAUGUCUGGGGUUGUCCAGUUGAGGCUAGGCCUUACAAACCAAAUGAAAAGAAAUUGGACUCCAGAACAAUGAGCUGCUACUUUGUAGGGUAUUCUGAAAGGUCGAGAGGUUUCAAGUUUUAUGACCCCUCAUCUAGAUCCUUCUUUGAAACGGGUAAUGCUAAGUUUAUUGAGGAUGUUGAGUUAAGUGGGAGAGAGCCAUUAAGAAAGGUGGUCUUUGAAGAGGAAUCUAUUAGUAUUCCUAUUAUUACAACUAGACAUGGUCAUAUUAUGUUUGAUGACACUAUCCAAAAUAUACAACUAAUAACAAAGAUUGAAGACACACCUGAGAUUCUUCCUACGCAAGUUAUAGAACCAGUUCAAGUUCAUGAAGAGGUAACUCAACAACCUCAAGAACCUCAAGUAUAAGUGCCACUAAGAAGAUCCACUAGAGAAAUGAGAAGUAUAAUUUCAGAUGAUUAUGUUGUAUAUCUCUAGGAACAUGAGUUUGACAUGGGUUUGGAAAACAAUCUAAUUUCAAUUAGUGAAGUCAAAUAAAGUUCUGACUCUGAAAAGUGGAUAGAACCAUGAAGGAUGAGAUGAAAUUAAUGAAAGACAAUGGUGUUUGGGACCUAGUAGAGUUGCCUGAAAGUGUAAAACAGAUUGGUUGUAAAUGGAUUUUUAAGACCAAGCGGGAUUCAAAAGGCAACAUUGUUAAGUAUAAGGCACACCUAGUUGCAAAAGGUUUCACUCAAAAGAAAGACAUUGAUUAUAAGGAGACCUUUUCGUCGAUUUCGUCAAAUGACUCCUUUAGAAUUAUCAUGGCACUUGUGGCUCCUAAUGAUUUAGGGCUGCAUCAAAUGGACAUUAAAACUAAGUUUCCUAAUGGUAACAUUGAUGAGACAAUAUACAUGGUGAAACUGGAGAACUUUGAGUCUAAUGAUUCAAAACAACUUGUAUGCAAAUUAAAAAUGUCCAUAUAUGGUUUAAAGCAGACAUCUCGACAAUGGUACCAAAAGUUUGAUCAAGUGAUUACUUCAUUUGGUUUUAAGGAGAACACCGUUGAUCAAUGCAUACAUCUCAAGUUCAAUAGGAGCAAAUUCAUUAUCUUGGUGCUAUAUCUAGAUGAUAUUCUACUUGCCAGUAGUGAUAUAGAACUCUUGCAUGAAACCAAGCGAUUUCUAUCUAAUAAAUUUGACAUGAAGGAUCUUGGUAAUGCAUCUUUUGUGCUGGGUAUACAAAACUAUAGGGAUCAUUCAAGAGGUAUACUUGGGCUAUCACAAAAGUCCUACAUCGAUAAGGUGUUAAGUAGGUUUGGCAUGAGCAAUUGUGCACCAAGAGACACGCUUGUGGCAAAAGGUGAUAAAUUUAGUUUGCACCAAUGUUCGAAAAAUGAACUUGAGAAGAAGGAUAUGGAGAGGUUUCCCUAUGCCUCGAUAGUAGGAAGACUCAUGUAUGCACAAGUUUGUAAGCGUCCGAAUAUUACAUACAUUGUUGGAAUAUUAGGUAGAUAUUUGAGUAACCUAGGUAUGGAUCACUGGAAAAAGACAAAACGGGUUAAGCGGUAUUUACAAAGAACUAAAUAUUAUAUUCUCACAUAUCGUAGAUCGAGUCAUUUAGAGAUCGUGGGAUAUUCGAACUCUGAUUUCGCGGGAUGUCUUAAUAGUAGGAGAUCCACUUCAGGCUACAUCUUCAUGUUGGCUGGAGGAGCAAUUUCAUGGAAAAGUGUUAAACAAACACUUAUUGCCUCUUCCACCAUGGAGGCAAAAUUAAUAGCUUGCUACGAGGCAUCAAAACAUGGGAUAUGGCUGCAGAAUUUUAUCACUCAGUUGCGAAUCGUUGAUGGGAUUGAGAAACCAUUGAGAAUCAACUGUGAUAAUAAGGCCGCAGAAUUAUAUUCUAAGAACAACCGAAGUUUGUCAAAGUCCAAACACAUUGACAUCAAGUUCUUGGUUGUGAAAGAAAGAGUUCAGAGUCUUCAAGUAUCAAUUGAACACAUAAGCACAAACUCUAUGAUUGCGGAUCCACUCACUAAGGGUUUGCCACCCAAAGUAUAUCAUGAGUAUGUCACACAUAUGGGUGUUGUAAAUAUUAAUGAUGUACUAGUAUAGGGAGAGUUUGCAUUUAGAUUUUGAGUAUUGUUAUAUUUGCGUUAUCUGUACAGACCUUGGUUUUAAAGACUAUUGUGUUUAAAUACUCUGAAUUGAAAUGAUGACUUUCAGAAGUAGUUUAGCAUCAAGUGUUGAAAGUGCAAUUUGACUAUUUUUUUAGUCAUAAAGUAGGACCAAUUGGAAAUAGACAUAUUAAAUAUCACAUUCUAUGUAAUUUCCAUGCUACACAUCCAUACUUGAUCCAUGUUGCUAAUUUUGUUAAUGUUGUGAUCAUUGAUGGGUCUAGUUAUAAUUAUGAUUAACAAAGGUUGCUUUAAUCCUAUGUUAGCAUAAUUAGUAGACCGGAUUGUUUAAGGAUAUUUAUAUAUAAUAGUUAAGAUGAGCUCAAUAAAGUACUAUCAUGAACAUUGUUCUGUAAUAUAUGUGGUCCAAGUGGGAGAUUGUUAAAAUAACUAUGAACUCACAUAUGGAGCAUAGUUUAUGAUUAGGCUAUUCACAUUCACGUAUUUAUUUUUUUAUUUUUUGUUCUAAGGUAUGGGCCACCUCAUGUGUAGAGCCCAAUACCAUAUGUGUCUUAGAUGAUGGGCCUAAGACACAUAUGGCCAAAUAUUUAAAGGGAAUGGUCCCUAAGGCAUAGAGGAUAUAUAAGGCAAGUGUCUGCUCAUUUUUUAAUAUAUUUUAGAAUAGAACAAAACGUGCUCUCUCCCGGUUCCCAUCAUCAGAGAGAUUACAAAAGGGUGGUUUCCCUGCUAUAGCCUUUGAAGAUCCAUACCUCAUUCAACAAACGACAAUGGACUUAGGUUUGUUUUCUUUCUAUAAUAAACGUCUGGUAUAAUUUCUUCACAUGAUUAAACAUACGAUUCUUGUCUGAUGUUAUUGGAUUUACAAUGGAGUUCCUUCACCAAGUGCAAUUGUAAAGGUUGGGCUAAUAACAGGUGAUAUGCAGGUGUUACUAAAAGUAAUUAUUAAAGGUUCUCACUUUGUCAAUACACUGAUAGAAUUGGUGGGAACCCCACUUUCUCUCGUAGCAGUUUAAAGACUUUUCCUAUCCAUAUUAGUAAAAUGAUAUGUAUGUGCUAUGCACGUGACUAAAAAUAAUAAUAUAGAGAGAAAAAUAAUAUAUAAUAAUAAUAGACAAUAAAUUAUUUAAUUUAAAAAAAAAAAUUUAAUAAUACUAAAAUAAUUUGUAAGAGUGAUUAAUAUGUGAUAUCAUAGGAGAGAGUUUUUAACGCUAUAUACAUAUAGGUUCCUUAAUUAUGUAGGCGCAUUUUAAAGUUGUGAGGGCUCUUGGAUUCAAAGCAGACAACAUCAACAUAGUUGGAUAUGAGUUAUUACAAAUUUUAUCAGAAUCGAUCUCUGACUCUGGUAUGAGGGUUUGUUUGGCCCUAUGAGGGGUGCCUAUUUGUUUGGCCCAACAAUUUCGUAGGAUACAACGAAGACGUUGUAUUUACAUGAGAAGUGUUUGUGAUAUCCCACAUCGGAUAUGAGAUAAAGUUCUUAAUACUAUAUAAAUACAAGUUUCUUAAUUAUAUAGACGUGUUUUAAAACCAUAAGAACUCUUUUGAAUUCAGAGUAAACAAUAUCUACAUAAUUGAGUAUGGGUAUUUAUAAAUAAUACUAAAGUCAAUCUCUGACCCUGGUAUGGGGGUUUGUUUGGUCCCAUAAGGGCGUUUGUUUGUUUGAAUCCUAUGGGAAACAACGAAAAUGGUGUAUCUGUAUGAGGGGUGAUUAUAAUAUCCCACAUUAGAAAAGGAAGAAAGUUUAUGACACUAUAUAAAUAUAAGUUCCUUAAUUAUAUAGAUGGGUUUUAAAACUCUUAAUUAUGUAAACGUGUUUUAGACGUGUUCUAAAGCAUCAUAUGCGUGGUUACAUAGUAUGUAAUUAUAUAUUAUUUAAAAUUCCUUAUAUAAAGAAUAAUAUAUUAAAUAAAUAUAGAAAAUAAUAAUAAAUAAAAAUUAUUUAAAACUCUUCAUAAAAAGAAUUUAAAGAAAUAUGAAAAAAUAAGUAUUAGAAUAAUAUGAUAGUUUGUUUAAUUUAAGUUGAUAAUUUUAUUUCAUUUAUCCUAAUAAAAUAUUUUUCAUAUUUAUCAUGUUUUAUAAAUGAAAUAAUGUGAAUUUUAUGUCACUUUUAAUUAAGCAUAAUAUUUUUUAUUUUUAUAAUAAAAACAAAAAUCAUUUGGAGUGCUCAAGCUCUCGAACCCUAGCGACCAAGCACUACUUUGCAAUAAGAUUUUUCGUGUCAUGAAGUAUGACAUGAUGCGUCACCAGACUCACCACCAUCCACAUACCAUGGUUGAUCGUCAAUGAUAGUAGGUGGUACGUCGGAAGAUUAGGUAAGACUUCGAGUGUGAGAGUUGUCCUUAACGUAGACUUGCACUCUCUCCACACAAUUGUUUUUGACGUUUUCCAAAAUCAGUCCUUUGUAAGCUGGACCACGUAAAUGUAAAUUCUUUAAUUAAAAAUGGACUUGGGAUAAUAAGGGAUAUUGUGAUUUGGUAAAGCCACCAAGUCGAUCCACAGAAAUUUUUGUGUACCUAUAGAACUCACAAAGCCUAGCAAAAGGUCAACAUCUUUAUCAAUGUAUCAUACGGAAAUACUAGUGAGAACUUUUUUGAUGUUGUUUUGAGAAGAGGUUUGAACGCCAAAUUGAAAUAGACUAUUUUGUAAUUUACCCCCAAUGAAUAUGAGGUAAUAUGAUAAAAUUUAAAUUUAUUUUUAACAUCAAUAGUUGAGAAAGAAGCACAAAAUUAAACUAAGGAAAUUGAAUUAAACUAACAUUAAUUUUCGAUAAUUAAUAUAUUAUGAUGUCAUAAAAAUUUAUUAUAUUAAAUUAAUAAAAUAAUUUUGAAUAAUGAAACUCAAAAUGAUUAAUUAAAGUUACAAAUAAUAAAUUUGCAAAUUGAAGCUUAUUUUUUAUUAUUAUUAUUAUUAUUGUUGUUGUUGUUGUUAUUGUUGUUGCCUCAAAUCAUUAUAUACAUCACCCAUGCAACUCACGGGCCACAAACACAAUCUGCCUCAAAUCAUUAUAUACAUCACCCAUGCAACUCACGGGCCAGAAACACAAUCCUCAGUCACAGCAAUGGGGCAGCACCACUUCCUCAUUAUAUCACAUCCACUGCAAGGCCACAUCAACCCAGCCCUCCAAUUAGCCAAGCGCCUGAUCAGAACCGGCGCCCACGUCACAUUCGCCGUCUCCGUCUCCGCCCAUCGCCGAAUGCCCAAAGAUCCGACCCUCCCCGGUUUAACCCUAGUCCCCUUCUCCGAUGGCUAUGAUGAUGGGUUAAAGUACUCCAAUGAUCAUGCCCAGCACUAUAUGUCCGAGAUCAAGCGUUGUGGAUCAGAAACCCUCAGGCGGAUCACUGCAAUGAGCGCUGACCAAGGCCGACCAGUUACUUGCUUACUGCACACCAUCCUCCUAACCUGGGCGGCAGAACUGGCGCGUAGCCUUCAGGUUCCGUCGGCGCUUCUUUGGAUUCAGAGCGCCACUGUUUUCACCAUUUACUAUCAUUACUUCAAUGGUUAUGGUGAUGUGGUUGGAGACUGCAGCAAUGAGGGUUCAAGUCCAAUUGAGUUACCGGGGCUUCCAAUACUGCUGUCUAGCUGUGAUAUUCCGUCUUUUUUACUCUCUUCAAACAUAUAUGCUUCGUUGCUCUCAACAUUUCAAGAGGAAAUGGAGGCACUAAGGCAAGAGACGAACCCCAAAGUGCUGGUGAACACCUUCGACGCACUGGAGGCCGAGGCGCUACGAGCUGUGGAUAAGGUUAAAUUGAUUGGAAUUGGACCUUUGGUCCCAUCUGCUUUCUUAAACCUACUAUUUGUCUCUCUCAUCUCUUUCUAUUGUGGUUGUCAAUAAUGUCGGUACAAUAAUAGAUGAAUUGUAUUUUGAGGUCAGAUGGGUCUUGAUCCAAGUACUCAUAUCCCUAUUUGAGCCUAAAACCUAACGGGGCAUUGUCUUUGGCCCUUGCCUAUUAAAACGAAAAAUCUCUUCCUCUCUCUCUCUCUCUUAUUAAUUGAUGGACCAUGUACAUGAUUCCCAAUUUUUACACUAUCUCUCUCUAUUAAUUGAUGGACCAUGUAGAUGAUAAAUGAUUCCCAAUUUUGACACUAUUUUCCCAAUUAUUUUUUUCCUGUCUCUAUUCACUUCAUCUUUCUCCCACUUAUGAAAUGGUGGGAUUACGGAGAUUGAUUCCCAACAAAUCAUGCCCAACAAAUUGAAUAUUGAAAAUUAAUGAUUAAAAAUUAUUAUUAUCAAAUUUAUUUUUUAAGUAAAUAUGUUUAAAACACCUCAUAAAAUAUUAUUAUUCUUUUUUUUUUUAUCUAACUUACAAAUUACAUAUAUAUAUAUAUAUAUAUAUAUAUAUAUAUAUAUAUAUAUAUAUAUAAUAUAAGUUAUUUUUUAUAUAAAUAUCUUUAAGGUUAUAGACAAUUAUUUGAAUAUUUUUUUAUUUUAUAGAAAUUACAUAGAUAUUGUCUUAAUCGAUUAUUUUGUAAUAUGAUCAUCAUUUAAUUAAUUGUGAUAAUUAAUUUUUAAUUGAAUAAUUGUAGACCCCCAUUUUGGGAGCCAUUCUUGCAGCUGAUGCUUGACAAGUGUCACCAUCUUGCAUGGCCACGAGUCACUCCCGGAUUAGUCAAUAUAGGAUCAAAAUAGUGGAAUUGAUGAACCAACUAGAGGUCGACAUGUGCCCAAAGAAUCUACAAAAAGCUGCAGACGGUUAGAGGAGCGGGGUGGCCAGCUGCAUGGUAGUGGAGGGGGGUUUUCUUUUUUUAGGCUGUUAGAGAUAUUUUGGGGGUGCUUUUUGAGAGUGGGUGAGAAGAGAUUUUAGGGGAUUACAAUUUUUUAGAGAGGGUAGGGGACCCCCAACUGAGAGCUUGAUGCCGUCUGCAUGAAGCGUGCAGCAAUAGUGAGGGUAGUGGGGCAGGCCAUACUGGCUGAUGCAUGAACAGGAGGAGGCAGGUGGUGACUUGCUAAGGAAGGUGAUUCCAAGAAAAGAAAGAGGAGGAACAGGAAGAGGAGAGAGGAGAGUUUAGCUUGAGAGGACUAAGGGAGAAAGAGGCAUUCCUGGGCUGGUUGCUGGAGAGGAAGGAUAGUUGUCCGAUUUCUUGUCCACCUAGCUGGGGAGAGUUAUUUUGAGGUACGUUUAUUGUGUAUUCUUCAUCAGCUUCUAUUGGUGUGCUUUUCUACUCUGUUUUUACUGAUUCUCGGAUGAUGAUUGUUGAUUGGGAGUGAAUACGUUCAUAUUUUUGCUAAUGGUUUUGUAGUGGUUUAGUUUGCUCUGGUUUUGAUUUCUCCAUGAGAUAUUUUUGUAACCACGUUUUACCUUUCAUUUGAUACUCAUUUAAUCUUACCCACCAUCAUCUAAGCCUGUUGGUAUGAUAUGAAGCAUAGCUUGUCAGGCUCAUUUUCUUGUAUCUACUCUUUGUGCUCUGUUUUGUUAUCCUCCUCUGCUCUUGAUAUCCGUCCAUAGUACGCAUCCAUUUUCUCAUCCCUGCUUGAAGGAGAUCCUAGAAAAUCUGGAGUAGUUGUAAUGGCAGCAAAGCUCACCUCAUCAGCAUCCCCAUACCCAUUCUGUGGGAUCCUCCCUAAAAAGUGCCGCGUGGUUUCCUCUCCCUUGGCCACGCAGACGGCCCCCUCGCGAUGUGUGGCAUAGCUCAUUCCACCCGGGUAUCUCACAUCCGGAAUUUUUCUCCGCCGACAUUCCAUCCGGACAUCUCACAUCCAGAAUUCUUCCCCGCCGACAUUUCACCCGGGUAUCUCACAUCCGGAAUUCUUCCCCGCCGACAUUCCACCCGGGUAUCUCACAUCAGGAAUUCUUCCUCGCUGACAUUCCACCCGGACAUCUCACAUCCGGAAUUCUUCCCCGCCGACAUUCCACCCGGGUAUCUCACAUCCGGAAUUAUUCUCCGCCGACAUCCCACCCGGACAUCUCACAUCUGGAAUUCUUCUCUGCUGACAUUCCACCCGGACAUCUCACAUCCGGAAUUCUUCCCCGCCGACAUUCCACCUGGGUAUCUCACAUUUGGAAUUCUUCUCCGCCGACAUUCCAUCCGGAUAUCUCACAUCCGGAAUUCUGUCCGGCCGACGUUCAACCUUCCUCGGAUAUCUCGCAUCCGGAAUUCUAUCCGGCCGACGUUCCACCUUUUUCUUCAUCCUUAGAGCAUUUUCUUGAAGUCCCCAAGAUCUCAUUUUCAAUAAAUUUUGCCGCCAUUUUCUUCUCGGCAUGUAACUUUAACAACUUCCAUGAUUUUAAAAUAAGUGUGAAUUUAUUUUCGUAAUUCUUAGUGAUAGAAUUUGCGAAACUGAUUCACCCAAUAGUAAACGGGCUUUGGUGGGGGCCCCACAUAUGUGACUGAUCGAUUGAUUGACUGACUGAUUGACUUGAUUAUCAUACAUAAUUGAUUUAUCAUGUUCUUUGAUAUGUAUGCUAUUGUUUCUUAAUUAAGCACUAACCUUCCUUCUUGAUAGCGCAUGGUGGCUCAUUGCCUAGGUACGUACCCACUUUCACUCUGAUUAGUGUCUACGCAUGUUCUAAUUUUCACAUGUGCAUGAUUUAUUCUGAGUAUUCAUUGAUUCCCUCAUCAAUUUCCAUGAUUGCUUCAUUUUAUUAGUAGAGACCCGUCUUUAGGGACUUAAAGGGGUGCUACGGUCUGUACCGUACCUUCCCGAUAAGUAACCUGACCCCCGAACCCGAUCCGGGUUUUCGCAGACCACCUUUUCCAAAAUUAGGAAUUAUACUUAGGGUUUUUCUUUCUUAUUUUGUUUACCCUUUUAAAAAUAAAACAAAAAUAAGUGGCGACUCCAAGUCAUUUUCAAAUAAUCAAUAAAAAUCAUUAACACUAUAAUAUAUUAUAAUUUAAAAAUAUUAAAAUACCCUUUUGAAUCUAAAAUUGAUGUGGAAUGUCCCUCAUUCUUGGCAAAAGGAAACGUGUGAGCUAAUUUUUUAAAAAUCAGCUAAAUUCCUUCAAAGAAGAUAAUCUUGUAUACUCUUGUACACUUAGUACAUUUACUUUAUACAUUUAGUGAAAUACUUUAUACAUGUGUACAAAUUUCAUAAACCUAAAAUGAAAUGUAUGCAUAUGGAUAGGUUAACCAUGUUUUCAUUGUCAUGACUCAAGAAAAAAAAGAAAAAUUGAACCCAAUUUAUGUUCAUAUUCAUCAUUAAUGGGGUAGAUAAUCGAAUAAACAUAUACGAUAUCAAAAAUAAAAUAGAAAUACAUGAGAUGAGUAUUACAAUAUUAUAUCUUAUUUCUUUUUUAUCAAUAAUAUCUCAUAUUUAAAUUAGAAAGUAAUUUAUUUUAAUAGAUCAAAAUGUGCACAAUUAAUCUAUUACUUAGUUAAUUAUGGAUAUAUUAGAAUUUUUUAUUACACAAAAAAAAAAACUAAUAGGGAAAAUAAAAUUAAAAAGAGUAAUAUAUAUUAAUUAUUUUUCAUGUAAAAGAUAGUAUAAAAAAAACACAAAAUUGAUUGAUUCAUUUGUUUAAUUAUGAACAUAAUAUAUUUUUUAUUUUAUUAUUAAAAUAACUAAUGAAAAAAUUAAAAAAGAAUAAUUAAUAAAUAAAAUUUAAUUCUUUUUAUUAUUUUCAUAUAAGAAACAAUGUUUUCAAUUUUCAUUUUCUAAUUAAACAUAUUUUCAAAAAGAGAAAAUUUAAAUGUAUAAAAGAAAAGAAAAUAAUGAAUAUGUUUAUUUUAAUAGUGUUUUAAUCAUUAAAUUAUGUACUUUUAAAAUAUAAAAAAUAGAUUUUAUUCAUUUAAAUUAACAUGUUUUUUAAAAGGAUAUUUUUCAAAAUGGUUUUUAAAUUAUUAAUGUAAUUUUUGUUUAUUUAUAAUUUAAAAAUAAAAAAUAAUGUUGAUUUUUAAUUAUUUAUAAAAGAAUUAUAAAAAAAAUAAAAAAUUUAAAAAUGGUUGAAUAAGGGAGAGGUGGAAUAAAUACUAGUUCCCGUGAUCACCACAUGAAAUGACCCGUACUUGUCAGCUAUGCCAGAGAUAGAGAGUUUUUGAUAGAACCCAGUAAAGUCAAGGGCAGACUCCAAUAAGCAUGAGAAGAAAACAAUUGCUGUUCUGUACUAUCAUCUCUUUAUGAUACAUGUCCAGGGAAAAAGACCCCUGGGACCAUUGCUUUUCCACUUUACAUGGUGGAUUGGUGAAUAUAUUUUAUUUUAUUUUAUUAAUUUUACCUCCAUUUGGGGGUUUUUUUCCAUGUGAAAUCUCUAUGUUCAUAUUGAGUUGUUGCUGAUUUGUUUAGUGACAUGCCUUAUUGAGUUAAUCCAUAUGUUGUGUAUUUUAAUGGUUUUUUUUUCUAGUUUUUGGAACCAAUUGAUUUUUGCCAAAAAAACAAAAACAAAAAUUACUAUUCAUGAUUUAGAAUUCGAAUAUUUUUAAUCUUUUUAACUAACACUUCCAAAUUAUUAUGAAAAAAAUUAUUUUUUAAAAUUAAAAAAGAUAAAAAUACUUCAUAAAAUCACUAUCAAAUAAGUUUUUUAAUAGUAGUUUGAUAGUGAUUUUAAAAAGCGUUUCUAACAUUUAUAAUACUAUUUUUUUUUAUUUCUUUAAGUAUUAAAAAUGGGUAAAAGCACUUAAUAAAAUCAUUUCCAAACCGACUAUUAAUCUCUGAUCAUAAUUAAAUUGUAAUCCAAUUAUUAUCAUUAUGUCGCAAAUAUAUAAUUUAUGUAUUAUUAUAAUUCAAAAUAACAUGAAGAAGUUAAAAUUAUAUUUAAAUAAUUUAAAAUUUUAAAAUAUUUUAUUCUUUUAUCUUUAAUAUUAUUAUAUUAAAUAUAAAACAUAAAUGCAUUAAUAUUUCAUUAUUUUAUUUUCAAUAUUAUUAUAUUAAAUAUAAAUAAAAGUGUGUUAAUAUUUUUUAUUUUGUUAAAUAGGAGAAUUAUUAUAUUUAAUUAUUAAGAAGAAAUAUCAUGUAUUAAAGAGUGAAAUAAAAUUUUAUUAUUAAUUUCAUUCACACUUCAUUAGCAUUUAAUUAUUAUUCAUUUGAAUUUCAUUAGUAUUAUAAUUUUAUCAUAUUUAGUUUUAGUACAGCUAAAGAGUCAUUUUUCAGUGGCACAGAGGUAGGCUAUGGAUAAGUUUUUUAUGGCCCAAUGGCGGUUUUACAACUAUACAUAUCAUUUAUUGACCAAUCAUCUGCUUACCUAAUUUCAGAGAUUUAAUAAUUUUAUUAAAAAAUUUGGUAGAAAAUUCUACAAAGUAGUUGGAUCUUCAUCUUGAGUUAAGCACUAAAAAAUAUUGAAAAUAAUUUCAUAAUUCUUUUGUUUUAAAAGGAGUACUCACGUUCAAGUCAUAAAGAAGGAUAAGUGGGGAAUUUUUAUUCAAAGUUACAAUAGAAAAGGUAUUAGUUGAAAAACUUAACUUGUAAAAUGUGAAGGGGGUUAAUGAGUGAUUUUUAAAGAUUUUAAUACAAGAGUUAAAAUUUUUAAUUUAAUUGAUUUCUUGAGAAUGAAUAAUAGAUAAAACAAUCAACAAUAGUGAGACAUAAUUUUAUGUAGAAAACCCUCCACACGAAGUGUGAAGAUAAAAAAUCAUGAGGCUUAAGAUCUCAAAUCAAUAAUUUACUAUAUAAGAUUGUAACACACGGUUUUACCCAAACAAACACUGCUUAAAACUUACUCUUCAACACAUAUCAUGAUACAUGUUGAUGCAGCACCUCGAGUGCUCUAAUGGAUUCAUCUCAACUCUUAAGGUGAUGCAAGUUUCUCCAACAACCCAAAAUUUGUUCAACAAAUCUUUGAGAGCUUUUGGGAAUAGUAGAGUAAAUUAAGGUUUUUCAAAAUAAGGACAUCCAAGUUUAAAACACAUUUAUGUACAACAUACAUAAGCUCAAGAACAUAAAGGACCAGAAACAAAAUCUUAUUAAAAAAAAUAAAAUCUCAAAUUUUCAAACAACGAACUCCUAGAAUCUAGUGGAUUUUGAAAUGAAUGCUCAAGCAAACUUAGUCACCACUUGAGCACUUAAAUAAGUGCUUGAACGUUGGCUUUAAUGUUUGAGAGCUUUGGCGAGCGCUUGAGCAUUACUACAAGUUUUCAAAAAUUGUUUAAAAAUAUUUUAGCUUAAUUUUAAGUCUAACCCAUACCAUUUCAAAAACUAACUCGCAUUUACCAAAAUCUUUUCAGACUUAUCUAUUGAACAACAACCUCAAAUCUUCAAUAAAGAGUAAGAGAGUAUUUGGUUUUUUUUUUAUUUUUAUUUUUUAUUGAAAAUAAUUUGCUUUUAGACUUUAGUUUUUUUUGGUUUUUUUUUUAGGACUUAGUAUAAAUUUUUGACUGAAUGGAAGAAACCAAACUAUUUAGAUUGUUCUAAAUAUAAAAGGUAACAUAUUAAUUUUUUUAAUACUUUUUAAUACUUAAUAAAAAUAAAAUGUUAUAAAAACAAACAACCUAAUAUUUAACAUUAUUAAACACUAUUUAGUUUUACGUUCUAUUUAGAAUUAAGUUAAGAAAAAAAAACAAAAAAAAAAAAAACAUCACCUAAGUCAAUAUUUUAAAAGAUCCUAUGCUAGAAUGAUUAUCAAAUACAAUCCAUUAAGAGGAAGAGAUGGGUUUAAGUUAAGUCUUUAUUUUUUAACCUUUGGGUUUAAAUAACUAAAAAGUAUUAAACAAGAAAAAUAGAAAUAAAUAGAGCAUUUAUUUUAAUAAACAAUUAAGAAUUAAGAAUAUUUAUAAUAAAAAUUAAUAUCAAUUAAAUCAAAAUAUAUAGGUUAAUAUAGAGAAUCAACACUAUAAUUUUACCAUAUAUUUAAAUUUGGAUUCAUGCAUAUAUUUUGAAAGAUACCCAAAUGUAUAAAAUUGCAGGAUCAAUUUUUGAGGCAUGAGGGCAUGUUCCACUAGUAGCAACCCAAAAGAAUCCAUUUUCAUUUUUGGUAGUUAGGAACCCUAUUAUUGGAAUUAAUAUGCUUCACUGCACUUCUUUUUAUUGCUUCCUGUCACCACCAAGAUGAAAAUUUGGUGAAAUUAAUAAAUGUGCUUUACUAUUCUCUUGUUCACCACUUCCUUAUUUGCUUGCAGAGAGUGAGGGUGGGGUUGGAAACCCUGCCAUUGAUAAUGACCAUUUGUUUUUUGAUAACAUAUUGGUAUAUAUAUUAUGUAUAUUUAUGCCUUAUAUUUUUAGGUUAUUUGAUUAAAAGGUUCAUUGAAAACCUAAUUUUGAAAGUCUAUCUCUUCGUCCUUUUUUGGCCUCAUUUUAACAAAAAUACCCUGGGAGGUAUCGCGCUUAAUUGGUGGCCACCCACAGGUCCGCCCAUCCAUUCAAGUGGCUGGUACCACUCCUAUCCGUAGAACCGAAGCCUUUAUUGAAAGGGUAACCAGAAUUACGUGAUCCAAAUAGAUUCCCCUAAAUGUAAUGGUUCUCGGAACCAAGUCGAUAAACCUUUAACCAAAAGAGAAUGGCACCAUCUCACCUGAUCAAAUUUUCCCGGGAUAAAUAAAGCUUACCCUGGGAGACAACCACCAUGGGUCGCCCACUAGGGUAGGAUGCUCGAAAAAUCAAAACUUGGAUCACCUAGGACCCCUACUAGUCGAUCUGGGAAAUCUGAACAUAUGUGGUCUUGAGAGCAAUGUACUGUCCUACACCUUAACUCAUGUGGCAUAGACACCAAGGGCUGCGACAAGACUAAUACAAGGAACGAGGGGUGGCGACAAGACUGGUAUGAGGAACAAGGGGCUACAACCAGAUUGAUACAAUAAGCAAGUCCCAAAGCAAAGUUCUAAUAGGUUUUGUUAGUUGCAAACACUGGAAGGGUCACCCACGCACCGCCUGACACGGGUUUUGUCCACUCAACCAUGGAUGCCAUGCAAUCUUUGAUGUCUGCCCCCUAACUUACUACUCCCCUAGGAGAAAGUUGACGUACUUGACUAGUCAGUUGAUAGCUUGGAAGCCCUAUAAAAGGAGAAUAAGAAUAAGGGAAAGGUAGAAAAGCAAAGGCACAUAUCAGAAGAGAAGGUCACACUUAAAGGUAGUUUAAUGCUUCGAAUAGUCAUUAGAUCCUCGUAUUUGAAACGAUUCUACAUCAAGAAUUGGCGUUGUCUAUGGCAACGUAACAAAAAGGUCAACCAUGAUGACUACAUGGGUAGCUAGCCACGCUGGCUAUAUGUGUGUUGCCCCACCAACUAUGGAGCAAUAGCUAGCACCCGAGCCCCAGCUAGUGGAGUAUCAAAGACAGCUGGAUGAGCUGAGAAGAACUAUUGAUCUGUUGAGGAAACAUAACAAGAUAUUGGUAGCCCAACUCAGCGCGGCUACCCAAGGAUCGUCGAUAGAUGAUGAGACCCUAGUCGACUCUUCGAAAAAAAACCUCUCGGGUCUGCCGAAUGAGCCAAUCCACCUAGGACCACAAACCCCCGAGAGGGAAUAUGCGACCACCAAACGCUAGAAAGAGAACUCCCUGAGUGAAGUUAUCAGCCCUGCCCAAGGCUGAACCAAAAGGUAUUGCCCAGAAGACACUAACCAACCAUGAACCGAACAAAUGGUUUUCUUAUGCGAGGCCAUCGAGAAAGUUUCGCUCAAAACCACCACAUGCCUUCUUAAUGAUAUGUUGUUAACUCUCCUGGCUUCCCAUAUAGUGCAACAAAGGCCCCCCUCAGGGUUCAUGAUGCCUAAAUUCACCAUGUAUGAUGGUAUCAUAGACCCUUUCGACCACCUCAUCCAUUACUGCCAAGUAAUGACCCUAGACAUAGAAGAUGAUGCACUUUUAUGCAAAGUAUUCUUGGCUAGCUUAUAGGGCCCAAUCCUUGCUUAGUUCCAUAAACUCCUGACCAAUUCAAUCAAUGACUUUCGAGAGCUGUCAAAGGUGUUUGUGGCACACCAUUAUGCUCCGCCAGGUAGAAAUAAGGCCUCAAUAGCCUGAGCAAUUUGAAAAUGAUGGAGUCUAAGUCCAUCCGGGAUUUUAUGUGAAGAUUUGGACAAGCCUUGAUCUAAAUGGAGCCUUGUAGCACUGAUGUGAUCAUGCAAGCCUUCAAACAAAGUUUCAUCUCGAGGACCUCAUUCUUUAAAUCUAUAUCAAAGAAGCCACCAGAGACAGUGGACAACCUCUCACUACAACAAAUAUUGCUUUUUGCCACAAAUUUUUUGGCCAUAAACUAAAUUUUGUGGCAAAAUGUCACUUUUAGCCACAUGUUUCAUUUUUGUCGCUAAAAAUAUGACCCAAGUAAUUCUUACAAAAUAUAAAACAUUUUACUAUAAACUCAUCUUUUUGCCACAAAAUUAUUCGUGGUAAAAUAUUACUUGUUGAUAUGAAGUUAAUUUUGUUGCUAAAAAUAUGGUGGGAAUAAUUCAACUUUUUGCCUCAAAAUUAUUUGUAGAAACUAACAUUUUUUUUAGCCACAAAUUUACAUUUCAUCUUUAAAAUUAUGAUAAAAAUAAUUCUCACAUGGCAUGUGACAUUUUGCUACAAACGUUACUUUUUAAUAUGAAAUUAUUUUUAAUAAAAAAAAAAUAUAAGAAAUGAGUUAGAAAUUUCAAUUUUUUUUUUUCAAAUAUUUUUUUUCACAAUCUAAUUUGAGGUAGAAUAUUACUUUUUAUUUUAAUUAUAUAUGCACCACUUUUUAUAUAACAAAUUAAAUAUUAAAUAGAACUAUUAAAUACUUAUACAAAAUAGUCCUUUAUGAUAAAAAUAAUUUUUUUCUUAAAACAUAAAGAAGUUUGAUGUUUGAUAAAAAGUAAAAAAAAAAAAGUCAUUUUAUAUUUUUAUGUGAGUUUAACAAUUAUAAUUUUGAAUAUAUAGAUGAAAUUUAUAAAAAUUUAAUAAAAGCAUAUAAAUUUUGAAGUCUAAAUUUUAUUUUAAAAUUUUCAUGGAAAGAAAUUUACUUAUUAAUUAAAAAUAUAAUGAUUCAAAUAAAAUAAGAUUAAGAAAAUAAAAAAUAGACUCUUGGCUUUAAUAUAGACUUUUUUUUUUGCUUUUAAUUUUUUUAUUUACAUAACUAUUAUAUAUUUUUUUUCCAAAGAUUUCUUUACUAAGAGUUUUGAUUUUUAUUAUAUUUUCGUCUAAAUAUAAAGAUUUCAAAACAAACUUUAUAAAUUAUCAAUACUUAUUUGCAUAAUUAUUCUUGAAAAAAAAUAUUCAAAGAUAGAAUUUAAAAAAUAAAAAAUAAAAACUUAAUAUAUAUAUAUAUAUAUAUUAAGUUUUUAAGAGUAUAAACUUGAAAAAAAAAUUAAAGAUUUCAAAACAAACUUUAUAAAUUAUCAAUACUUAUUUGCAUAAUUAUUCUUGAAAAAAAAUAAUUAUAAUUUGAGAUUAGUAUAAAGAAAGAAAUAAUGUUGAACCUAAUUAAAAAUUUGUUAUUUUUCUUUAAACAUUGAUUGAUUUAUAGAAAAUAUGGUGAAAAUCUCUUCAAAGAAUGGUAAUAAAGUGAAGGGUCAUGAGUUUGAAUCCCAAUGAUUAUAGUUUAAUAUAAGAAUUAUUAGGGAGCCAAAAUAUCCUUCCUCAGGCUUGAAAUAGGUGUGGGGUGGUCAUCAUAUUUUUAGAAAUGGAUACCCAUGCUCCUAACCUCCAUAAAAAAAAUGAAAAAUAAAAUAUUAUCAUAGCAUUUUUACCACAAACAUAAAUUUGUCGUUAAAGAUAUUAUAUUCCCACAAAAUAACAUUCGUCGUUAAAAGAGACUUUUUACCACAAAACUUUUCUCAAGAUAGAGAUUUUUUUUUUUUAAUCAUGAAUAGUUUAUUUUUUGCCACAAAUAUUAUUCAUUGCUAAAAUUUACUUUUAGUGACAAUUUUUUAUUCAUUGGUAAAACUUUUUAGUGACGGACUUGUUGCAACAAUUUUGCGAUGAAUGUUUUUUGUGGCAAAAACAUAUUUGCCAAAAAAAAUCUAACUCUUUUCUACAAAAACAUUUGUUGUGAAACAUCAUAUUUGUUGUAGGUUCUUCUGGAGAGCCAACAAGUACACCAUGCUAAAAGAGGAUCUUAAAGCGGCAUCCUAGCAAAUCGUUGCGACAUCCCGGACAAUUGCUCCCUGAUAGAGCAAGCAUAACCAGCCCAUUGAAGGACUUCAUCAACAAGGAGGCAAAAAAAACCAAUCCCGAAAGACACUCAAAGCUCAGUACUAGGAAGAUAAGUCAACGCCUCAUUUUACAAAGUUCACUCUCAGUUAUAGCCAAUUGUUGUCAAUAAUUCAGAAUCUAUAGGGUUUCCGCUAGUCAAAUCCUAUGCGAGGGGAUGUAAGUCAAAGAGAUCAAAAUCGUUUUUGCAAAUACCAUAAGGACAAGGGCCAUGCUAUCGAAGAGUGCCAUCACUUCAUUUAUUGGUUGAAUAAAUGGUGCGAGCCGAUCAACUUAGCAAGUAUCUCCAUGAUUACUACUCAAAACAUGCUAUUUUGUAGCUUGUAAUUAGCUCUUUUAAACACCCUUGAGUAGUAAUUAUUACCUUUUAACCCAAUUAACAUGUUAGGGACCCUUGCAAUCAUUUCUAACAAUUGUGUUAAGUUUUGGUGCUUUUUGAUAGCUUUAUGCUCACCAAAGCAAUUUAAGAAUGAGGGAGAGCUAUUUAUAGUUCAUGGCAAAGCUUUUGAAAGCUUAAAUUUAUGAAGAAAUCAAGCUAUGGAGCCUCAUAAUCCUUUGCCUUAGUCGUUCAAAGUAUACAAGGAAGAAACAAUGGAGAAGAGGAAAACAGGNNNNNNNNNNNNNNNNNNNNNNNNNNNNNNNNNNNNNNNNNNNNNNNNNNNNNNNNNNNNNNNNNNNNNNNNNNNNNNNNNNNNNNNNNNNNNNNNNNNNUUGUAAUUAGUUCUUUUAAACACCCUUGAGUAGUAAUUAUUACCUUUUAACCCAAUUAACAUGUUAGGGACCCUUGCAAUCAUUUCUAACAAUUGUGUUAAGUUUUGGUGCUUUUUGAUAGCUUUAUGCUCACCAAAGCAAUUUAAGAAUGAGGGAGAGCUAUUUAUAGUUCAUGGCAAAGCUUUUGAAAGCUUAAAUUUAUGAAGAAAUCAAGCUAUGGAGCCUCAUAAUCCUUUGCCUUAGUCGUUCAAAGUAUACAAGGAAGAAACAAUGGAGAAGAGGAAAACAGGGGACACAGCUGCAGUCUUUCAUUGCACUUUUGGAACACUUCCCGAAGUCCAUUUUUUACAUUCUAUAUACCAUAUCAAAGCUCAGAAAGUCAAGAAUCCAACGGUUCAAACCAUGUACGAUUUGGAGCUGAAAUGAGAAAGAUAUGGCCUUCGGAAGACAACUGCAUCAAGCUGAGGGACAAUUUCGCACGAUGGAAAUCAAGGUGAGAAUUCCUCAGUCCACUGUGCGAAAAUUUCGCACACCUCAAAUCAAAGUGCGAAAUUGGAACUCCAGCGUGUGAAAAUUGGAUAUUUUUGCCGACUCUUUUUCUUUUGAUAUUUUUGUGUCUAAAUUUCCAUUUUCUCCUUGUAUUCAACCACUCAUGUAAUUCCUUAGCUAGGAAGUAUCCAAGGAAGGGUAAAAUUACCUUCCUAUAUAAAUUCUCUUGUAAUCACUGAAAACGGAUCUUUCGGGGAGCUUUCUCCAGGAGACCAACUGAUGUAAAUUUGAUACUUAGUGAAAUACAGAGAUCUCUUUUGCUUUCUUUUUCUCUCUUCUAUUUUCUAUUUUCUUGCAAGCCAAACACCCUCUGAGGAUGUUUUCCCAGAGGAUGAGAGGCUAAACAUUUAGUUUCUUGGAGUAAAGGAAGCUAGGUGAAAAGUUCAGAUUAAAACAUGGAAAGUUUCCGUGCAUUAAAUUCAGGUAGUUGGAGUCCAUAAAUGGUUUUUUAAAGCCAAGGUUUUGCCUUAAAUCCCUUCGAAUCACUUUGACUGGCCAAUACAUGGUAAGCUUAAGGUCUCUGUGGAUGCUUAUUGCUAGAUCCAUAUCAGUCCAUUAGUUAUCAUGUACGAGCCAUUGGAAAGUGAUUCAAGGUGAUAGCCCAUAGUGUCUUAAGCCAUUUAUGGACCUUAACCACCAUCUCUAGUGACUUUUUAUGGAUUAAAACUUCAUUGUCAAACCUAUACCGGUUCGGGAAAUAACUAUAGGUUAAAUCCCCAAUGUGAGGAGAAAAAUCCAGAAUUUUCCACUUUGCAUCUGGAACUUGAACCUAGCAACCUUUAGCUCCGGGAGACUUUCUUUCUUCCACUUUUUACUUAGUUCUAUGUGAGUUUAGUUUAAAUCACCACUUUCAAAACAAUUUUAUUUUCUUUUAAAUUUCAAGUUUGUGCUAAAGGAAAUCAUCAGAAUCAAUUUCUAAUUUAGAGUCUGUCACUGAUAGAGUGAAAACCCAUCCCUGAGUUCGACCCUAGAACUACUAUACUAUAGUAGCUUUGCUACGCCAGUAUAAGGUCAUAGGUUUUAUAAAUGUUUUUGAUUAAAAGACUCGGUUGGGCAUCGAAUCAAAUGACGCCGUUGCCAGGGAUGGUGCCACAAUACAGUGAUACAACCUUUUAGAGGCUACUUGUGAUUUUCAUCACAACCAGGGUGAAUUCCUUUUUCACUAAUUUCAUUUUCUUUCAUUUUCCUUUUGUUAAUUUUAUUUUCAUUUUCUUCCUAACUUUAACCUUUUCUUUAGUUUCCUUUUGUUUUUACUAUUACAGGAAUUGUAACUUGUGCAUGCCCUAUUGGAUUAGGGACCAAGAGGGAAGAUUAGUAAGGAUUGAGAAUCCUCAAGACAUAGAGUUGGAUAUCUGUGUAAAUAUCAUGGACCCUCCACCAGAGGAUCAGAAUUCUCAACAAGGUCAAGGGGGUAAUCCCAAUGCAUACCUAUCCAUGAGGGAUAGAAUGCAUCCCCCAAGGAUGAGUGCACCCUCAUGCAUCCUGCCCCCACUUGAGCAGUUGGUUAUAAGGCCCCAUAUUGUGCCCCUCCUACCAACUUUCCAUGGAAUGGAGAGUGAGAAUCCAUAUUCUCACAUCAAGGAGUUUGAGGAGGUGUGUAAUACCUUUAGAGAGGGAGGAGCUUCAAUAGACUUGAUGAGACUCAAGCUAUUCCCUUUCACUUUGAAGGACAAGGCAAAAAUAUGGCUUAAUUCUUUAAGGCCAAGAAGCAUAAGGAAUUGGGUUGAUCUUCAGGCUGAGUUUUUGAAAAAAAUUUUCCCCACCCAUAGGACCAAUGGGUUGAAGAGAUAAAUCUCAAAUUUUUCUGCUAAAGAAAAUGAGAAGUUCCAUGAAUGUUGGGAAAGGUAUAUGGAGGCCAUCAAUGCUUGUCCUCAUCAUGGUUUUGAUACAUGGCUCUUAGUGAGCUAUUUUUAUGAUGGAAUGUCUUCUUCCAUGAAGCAAAUUCUUGAAACCAUGUAUGGGGGAGAUUUUAUGAGUAAGAAUCCUGAAGAAGCCAUGGACUUUUUAAGUUACGUGGCUGAGGUGUCAAGAGGAUGGGAUGAGCCCAACUCAAGAGAGAAAGGAAAGUUUCCCUCUCAACAAACCCAAAAUCCAAAGGCUGGAAUGUACAUGUUAAGUGAAGACGUGGACAUAAAAGCUAAAGUGGCAACAUUAGCUAGGAGGUUGGAAGAACUUGAGUUGAAAAAAAUACAUGAAGUCCAAGCCAUUUCCGAUACCCAAGUCCAUGUUAUGCCAUGCACCAUUUGCCAAUCAUGUGAUCAUGUGGUAGAUGAGUGUCCAACCAUGCCAGCUGUGAGAGAGAUGUUAGGUGAUCAAGUAAAUGUUGUGGGGCAAUUUAGGCCCAACAACAGUGCAUCUUAUGGAAACACCUAUAAUUCAAGCUAGAGAAACCACCCAAAUUUUUCUUGGAAACCAAGGCCACCUCCAUACCAACCACAAGGCCAAACCCAAGUACCUCAACAACCAUCUUCAGUGGAGCAAGCCAUUGUAAACCUGAGUAAAGUCAUGGGUGACUUUGUGGGUGAACAAAAGGCAAUUAACUCCCAAUUGCAUCAAAAGAUUGAAAAUGUUGAGAGUUCUCAAAUAAAGAGAAUGGAGGGGAUGCAAAAUGAUCUAUCUCAGAAGAUAGAUAAUAUUCAGUACUCCAUCUCUAGGCUUACCAACCUAAACACAGUGAUUGAGAAGGGAAAGUUCCCCUCUCAACCAAGCCAAAAUCCCAAGGGUGUUCAUGAAGUUGAAACCCAAGAUGGUGAGUCUUCAAAUUUGAGAGAGGUCAAAGCUGUGAUCACUUUGAGAAGUGGGAAGGAGGUUGAUCAACCCUUGCCUAACGUGGAGCCUGAUGAAGAACUCAGGUCAAAGAGACCCUUGAUUAAAGAGAGCAAGAGCCAAGAAGAGAAGAGUGGGAAGAAGAGUGCAUCCAAAUCAAGCAUCGAGGAAGAACCAAGGAUAGUGAUUAAGGAGGAUAUGAUGAAGAAACAUAUGCCUCCCCCUUUUCCUCAAGCUUUACAUGGAAAGAAAGAAAUCAAGAAUUCAUCAGAAAUUCUUGAGGUUCUGAGACAAGUGAAGGUGAAUAUACCCUUACUUGAUAUGAUCAAGCAAGUCCCCACAUAUGCAAAGUUUCUAAAGGACUUGUGCACAGUCAAGAGAGGUUUACAGGUGACAAAGAAUGCAUUCCUCACUGAGCAAGUGAGUGCUAUCAUCCAGAGUAAGUCCCCAGUUAAGUAUAAAGAUCCGGGAUGUCCUACCAUAUCAGUCAACAUUGGAGGGACACAUGUGGAAAAAGCUUUAUUAGAUUUGGGAGCAAGUGUGAAUUUGCUCCCAUACUCUGUGUAUAAACAAUUGGGACUAGGAGGAUUAAAGCCCACAACCAUGACCCUCUCUUUAGCUGAUAGGUCUGUCAAAAUCCCAAGGGGAGUGAUAGAGGAUGUUCUAGUUCAAGUGGACAAAUUCUACUAUCCUGUGGAUUUUGUGGUGCUUGAUACUGAUUCCACUGUCAAGGAAGAAAAUUAUGUACCAAUCAUCCUAGGGAGACCUUUCCUAGCUACCUCCAAUGCUAUUGUUAAUUGUAGGAAUGGGGUGAUGCAGCUCACAUUUGGAAACAUGACAUUGGAAUUAAACAUAUUCCAUUUAUGUAAGAGGCAUCUUUACCCUGAAGAGGAGGAAGGAUUCGAGGAGAUGUGCUUGAUCAACACUUUGGUUGAAGAGCACUGUGACAAGAGUUUAGAGGAGAGCUUGAAUGAAAACCUGGAAGUCCUUGAAGAUGGGUUCCCUGAACCCUUUGAUGUGCUAGCCAUAAUGUCUCCUUGGAGGAGACGGGAAGAGAUCUUACCACUGUUCAACCAGGAAGACUCACAAGGAGUUACUGUGGAGGACCCUCCAAAGCUUAUUUUAAAGCCACUUCCUGUGGAUUUGAAGUAUGCAUACUUGGAGGAUGAUGAGAAAUGUCCAGUGGUAGUUUCCUCAACCCUCACUAGUGAUCAAGAGGAUAGUCUUUUAGGAGUCCUCAGAAAAUGUAAGAAAGCCAUUGGAUGGCAAAUUUCUGAUCUGAAAGGGAUUAGCCCUUUGGUGUGCACCCACCAUAUUUAUAUGGAGGAAGAUGCAAAACCAGUGAGGCAACCCCAAAGGAGACUGAAUCCUCAUAUGCAAGAAGUGGUGAGGAAUGAAGUUUUGAAGCUACUUCAAGAUGGGAUCAUAUAUCCCAUCUCAGACAGCUUGUGGGUGAGUCCCACCCAAGUAGUCCCAAAGAAAUCUGGAAUCACUGUGAUCCAGAAUGUGAAUAGGAAGGAUUGGUCUAUCAAGCUCCUGGAUUCCUUAUGGGCUUAUAGGACCGCUUACAAGACCAUUCUAGGAAUGUCUCCCUAUCGCCUUGUUUAUGGCAAAGCGUGUCAUCUUCCAGUAGAGAUUGAGUAUAAAGCAUGGUGGGCAAUCAAAAAGCUCAACAUGGAUUUGACAAGAGCCGGGUUAAAGAGAUGUUUGGAUUUGAAUGAAUUGGAGGAAAUGAGGAAUGAUGCAUACCUCAAUUCAAAAAUUGCAAAAGCAAGGUUAAAAAAAUGGCAUGAUCAAUUGGUAAAUCAAAAGAAUUUGAUCAAGGGACAAAGAGUUUUGCUUUAUGAUUCUAAACUUCAUCUCUUUCCAGGAAAAUUGAAAUCCAGAUGGACGGGUCCUUUCAUAAUUCAUGAAGUGCAUCCCAACGGAGUGGUGGAAGUAUUCAACCCCACAGGCAAUCAAACCUUCAAAGUAAAUGGCCAUCGUCUCAAGCCAUUCAUAAAGCCUUACAGUACAGACAAGGAGGAGAUCAACCUCCUUGAACCACCACAACUCUGAGGGAAAGCAGGGUAUCAUGGGCUAAAUAAGUCCAUGAAUUUUUUGUUAUAGUUUUAUAGUUAUAUCAUUAUUUUUAUUUCUUUUUAUUAUAAUUUUUCCUCAAUCUUAGUUUAUUUUGUCUUAAUUCAAGUCAAUUUUGAUGAUAAAUUUUAGAAAAAAAAAUCAUGAAAGAUGGGGAGAACUCUUCAAAAGCAAGACAGGGGAGUAAAACCAAGGAAACAGAGCACCUGAUUUCAAGGUGCGAAAAUUUCGCACACCUGAUUCCAAGGUGCGAAAAUUUCGCACACCCCAAAACCAAGGUGCGAAAUUUAUUUCAAGGUGCGAAAAAUGAUUUCAAGGUGCGAAUUCCCUAAAAACCAAUUUCGCACACCACUGUGCAAGGUGCGAAAAUUUUCGCACUGUGCGAAAUCCCCUCCUGGCACACGAGUGCCAUUUUCGCACACCUCAAGCCACUUUUCGCACCGUGCGAAACAAGGUGCGAAAAUUUCGCACACCUGAUUUCAAGGUGCGAAAAUUUCGCACACCUCAUUUUAAGGUGCGAAAUCCUCAGUUAAAGGGGUGCCAUUUUCGCACACCUAAUUUCAAGGUGCGAAAUUUGCAGACCAAGGUGCGAAAAUUUCGCACGGUAAAAUUUUAAGUUCCAAAAAAAUUUUCAACGGACUUUUAAAUUAAAAUUUUACCCCCGAAAUUGUGCCUAACGUCCAAAAACGACUUUUCGGUUGCCUUGGAAAAUUUUAAAACAUAAAAAACCCCCUAAACCUCAUUCCUAUAUAAUCCCUUGAAGUCCAGAAGCUCAAAGGACUCCCCCACGAACCAGCUGAGAAGCCUCUGGAAUCCCGAACAGUCACCCACCUCCAUUUCGGCCAUGGCGAAGACCAGAGGAGGCCUUUCCGGCUCCCCAUCCUCACCGACACCUCGGCCACAUCGAGCCGCCAUGGGAGCCGCAGCUUCGCCACCUGUUCAGGCCCCGGCCAUUCCCCCAUCUGAGGGGGAAGCCCCUUCUCAGCGCCGAUACCCCACCAGGAGACCCCCCACGGACCCUAUGCCACUAGCCGAUCAAGCCACGAGCUCUGUUUCUCGGCCACCAGCGAAGAGAACCAAGUUCUCGGGUCCUGGAGAGCCAUCCCACGCACCUCAGCCAGAGCCACCUACAGAGGACUCUCGGAUUCCUGUGGGGAUUACUCCUGAGACCGUUAUCAGGCGUCCCAUGAUAGCCGGACCACCGAUAGAGGGCAACUUGGAUUGCAGAGAUCGAUCCUUCCAUUCCGAGACCUACUUUGAUAUAGAGGCCCUCAGACAGCAGCCAGAGCUCAGAGAUUCAUUCCGACUACUACAGAGGUAUCACAUGGAGGAUCUUCUCACUCCUAGGCAAUUCUACUAUCCCAGAGUAGUUAUAGAUUUUUAUCAAUCUAUGACUACUCGAGGCCUCCGUAAUCCUACCCUCAUCCAAUUUACCAUAGAUGGACGCCAGGGUGCCAUUGGAGCUCGUCACAUUGCUGAGGCCCUCCGUAUACCUUAUGAGCCUGUGAUUCAGGCAGACUUCAGGGAGUGGUCCUCAUUCUCUCAGAGUGACAUGGUCCGCAUUUUGUCCAGGGGGACUUCUACAGCCUCAGUGUUGACUAGGAGAGAGCUUCCAUCUGGGAUGCUCCUUAUUGAUGUGCUCCUGCGUGCCAACCUUUUCCCCCUUCAGCACAAAGUUCAGAGGCGAGGAGCUAUACUUGAGGCGUUAUUUAGGAUUUCUGAGGGCUAUUUCUUCAGCCCUCAUCAUUUGAUUAUGACUUCUCUUCUUCAUUUUGAAGAGAAAGUCCAUCAGAAGAAGCUUCAAAGGGCAGAUGGCAUCCCAUUACUAUUUCCGAGGCUUCUCUGCCAGAUUUUAGAGCACCUGGGCUAUCCUGAACAGCCCCGUCUUGAGAGGCGCCGCCAUUGCCGAGAGGACUUCUCUCUCGACAAAUGGCAUCACUUGGUAGCCUACUUUGCACCCCAGGGAGCCCCAGUUGUGCCUGCACCUCCAGAGCUACCCCAAGAUGAGCAGUUGCCUCAGGCCCAGCAGGAUGAGAUUCUCACAGAGACCACACCUCCUGCCCCUGCAGCACACCCCUCAUAGCAUAUUCCUGAGCCUAUACAUCUUAUUUCUCCUAUCAUUUCGGGUGCUCCACCAGUCAUGCCAGCUACCCCAGCACCUCCUCCUUCAUCUGAGCCCACUGUCACCGUUUCUCUUACGGAAUUCAGAGGCUUAGAGCAUUCAUUGCGGACACUGAGCAUUGCUCAGGAUUCUAUUAUCCACCAGAUGGCCACUAUUUGGGCACACCAGGAUCAGAUCAUUGCUACUCAGGCCCAGCAUACCACGAUCCUUCAUCAGAUUCAGCAGCAUUUGAGUAUGCAGACAUCUUUUGGGCAUGAUAGGUCUGCACCAUCCGAGCCUCUAGUGCCAGAUAAGGAGAGCUUACCAGCUGAGCAGCCCAUACUAGAGGAGGAGAUCAGAGCAGAGCCAUCACAUGACACCCCUCAUAUUUGAUAUUUUUAUAUUUUACUUGUUUUUUAUUUUAGACUUGUAAAUCCCAUCUUUUGCAUGUGUUAUAAACUGGGAUUGGAAGUAUUACUUGAAAUCAUACAUUGUAUAUUUCUUUUACAAAUAAUAUAUAUAUAUAUAUAUAUCCUUUUUUAUUAUAUUCCCUUUUCUCAUUACUCUUUUGUCCUUGGAACAUGUGGUUUAAGGUACUCCAUACCUCCUUUACACUCAGACUUUGUCUCACUCAGGAGGUACCACUUCCUCCCUUUAUUUUUAAUCGCUCUUGAAACAUUGAGGACAAUGUUCAACUUGGUUGGGGGGAGAGUUGAGAAAGGAAGUUUUGUUGUUAAUACUAAGUUAUUUUGGUAUUUUAGUUGAUUUUUGCUUAAAAUUUAAAAUUUUUAAAAGUUUUUUGAAUCAUUCUCUAUGGUUGUUAAAGAUAAUUUCUCAAAAAUAAAAUAGGAUAAGUCGAGUUUUAACUUAAUUAUUUAAGUCUUAGAGUUUGUUUUAUGCUUUCAAAGUUGAUAAUCUAUUGAAGCCUCUUUGAUUUAGAACUUUCUUCUUCCAUUUCAAGCUUUACACACACUGUGCACAUUAGAUCCCGGAUAUAUGAUGUAAAACUUUCUCACCUUCUAAGCUUAGGAAAAUUUUGACUUGGUUCAUUACUUAACCUCUCUUUAAUAAUGUUGGGACACCUCAUAAAGACCAAUGAGUCUUUGAAAAAAAAAAAAAAACAAAGAAGAAUAAGCUUCUAUUCUUUCCUUGAAACCUAAGCAUGAUCCGAAGGGGUGCCGAAAGCCUUUAAAACCCGAUGCCCUAAACCUUGAUUGGUUGGGAGUCAUCGAUCCUCUGCUUGCUACAUAGGUGAAUUGGUUAAGAUUAGUGAGUAAAAAGAAUUGUGAAUAAGAAGGUGCGUUCCUAACCUAUUAAGAGUUGAUUAAUUUUGCCAAUGUUCGAGAAAAGCUUAGGUUGGAGGGUGAGGAUAGUUGUAUAUACUAUAUCAGGAAGCUAAUCUCAUUAACACUUAGCUUAUUAUGGAAGAGUUUGAUUUGGAACCUUGAGAGUAGAGAUUCUUUUGAUACUUAAUUGCAUAAUCUCCACUCUUUGUACUUUUUGUUUAAGUUUUAAGCUUUGACAACUCCUAUUGCAUUUUGAAUCUUCAUAUCUUUAGUUCACCAGGUGAGAUGUGUUUGGAUAUCAGUCAUGCCUCUCAAUUAUUUUUUGGAAUGAAUUGCAUGACCUCUUUUAUGUAUAUUAUUACGUUUGCUUAGUUUUUCUCUCCUUAAUUGCUAAGGGACUAGCAAUAUGUCGGUUGGGGGGAGUGAUUACUACUCAAAACAUGCUAUUUUGUAGCUUGUAAUUAGCUCUUUUAAACACCCUUGAGUAGUAAUUAUUACCUUUUAACCCAAUUAACAUGUUAGGAACCCUUGCAAUCGUUUCUAACAAUUGUGUUAAGUUUUGGUGCUUUUUGAUAGCUUUAUGCUCACCAAAGCAAUUUAAGAAUGAGGGAGAGCUAUUUAUAGUUCAUGGAAAAGCUUUUGAAAGCUUAAAUUUAUGAAGAAAUCAAGCUAUGGAGCCUCAUAAUCCUUUGCCUUAGUCGUUCAAAGUAUACAAGGAAGAAACAAUGGAGAAGAGGAAAACAGGGGACACAGCUGCAGUCUUUCAUUGCACUUUUGGAGCACUUCCCGAAGUCCAUUUUUUACAUUCUAUAUACCAUUUCAAAGCUCAGAAAGUCAAGAAUCCAACAGUUCAAACCAUGUACAAUUUGGAGCUGAAAUGAGAAAGAUAUGGCCUUCGGAAGACAACUGCAUCAAGCUGAGGGACAAUUUCGCACGAUGGAAAUCAAGGUGCGAAUUCCUCAGUCCACUGUGCGAAAAUUUCGCACACCUCAAAUCAAAGUGCGAAAUUGGAACUCCAGCGUGCGAAAAUUGGAUAUUUUUGCCGACUCUUUUUCUUCUGAUAUUUUUGUGUCUAAAUUUCCAUUUUCUCCUUGUAUUCAACCACUCAUGUAAUUCCUUAGCUAGGAAGUAUCCAAGGAAGGGUAAAAUUACCUUCCUAUAUAAAUUCUCUUGUAAUCACUGAAAAUGGAUCUUUCGGGGAGCUUUCUCCAGGAGACCAACUGAUGUAAAUUUGAUACUUAGUGAAAUACAGAGAUCUCUUUUGCUUUCUUUUUCUCUCUUCUAUUUUCUAUUUUCUUGCAAGCUAAACACCCUCUGAGGAUGUUUUCCCAGAGGAUGAGAGGCUAAACAUUUAGUUUCUUGGAGUAAAGGAAGCUAGGUGAAAAGUCCAGAUUAAAACAUGGAAAGUUUUCGUGCAUUAAAUUCAGGUAGUUGGAGUCCAUAAAUGGUUUUUUAAAGCCAAGGUUUUGCCUUAAAUCCCUUCGAAUCACUUUGACUGGCCAAUACAUGGUAAGCUUAAGGUCUCUGUGGAUGCUUAUUGCUAGAUCCAUAUCAGUCCAUUAGUUAUCAUGUANNNNNNNNNNNNNNNNNNNNNNNNNNNNNNNNNNNNNNNNNNNNNNNNNNNNNNNNNNNNNNNNNNNNNNNNNNNNNNNNNNNNNNNNNNNNNNNNNNNNUCGAAUCACUUUGACUGGCAAUAACAUGGUAAGCUUAAGGUCUCUGUGGAUGCUUAUUGCUAGAUCCAUAUCAGUCCAUUAGUUAUCAUGUACGAGCCAUUGGAAAGUGAUUCAAGGUGAUAGCCCAUAGUGUCUUAAGCCAUUUAUGGACCUUGACCACCAUCUCUAGUGACUUUUUAUGGAUUAAAACUUCAUUGUCAAACCUAUACCGGUUCGGGAAAUAACUAUAGGUUAAAUCCCCAAUGCGAGGAGAAAAAUCCGGAAUUUUCCACUUUGCAUCUGGAACUUGAACCUAGCAACCUUUAGCUCCGGGAGACUUUCUUUCUUCCACUUUUUACUUAGUUCUAUGUGAGUUUAGUUUAAAUCACCACUUUCAAAACAAUUUUAUUUUCUUUUAAAUUUCGAGUUUGUGCUAAAGGAAAUCAUCAGAAUCAAUUUCUAAUUUAGAGUCUGUCACUGAUAGAGUGAAAACCCAUCCCUGAGUUCGACCCUAGAACUGCUAUACUAUAGUAGCUUUGCUACGCCAGUAUAAGGUCAUAGGUUUUAUAAAUGUUUUUUAUUAAAAGACCCGGCUGGGCAUCGAAUCACUCCAUAAUCGAAUAGAACCUUCCCUCGCUUGCCAAGCUACUUUUGCCUUUAGAAUUGGCGUCGAAGCCAGACAAGUGAUCCAUGUCAUACACGAGGGACCAAUGGGUAGUCAAUGAAAAAGCAAAUGACAUGCCAAGACGUUGAUAAAAGAUGCAAAACGUGUGACCCAUAUUUGCAAUGUGGGAGUCAUAUUUGUCAUCGGAAGCCUAGUUCCAAUGGAUAAAACCAUUGUAUUUUCCAAAGUUGACCUACUCUAUGUCGCUCAGCCACAUGAAAAUGCCUUCAUCCUAACACUAAACAUUGUCGAAUACGAUGUGUGUCGUAUAGUGAUCGACCAAGGAAGUUUUGUGGACCUCAUACAUAUAUCUACCUACAAGCAAAUAAACCUUUCGAUGCAUGUGUUGGAAAGUCCAGGGAGGGCUUUGUUGAGCUUCAACAACUCAACCACAUUUUCUCUCAAUGACAUCAUGUUUCCCAUCUCCGUCCCUUCUCUAUACAACGCAAUCCUCGAUAGGCCUUGAAUCCACAUCAUGAAGGUCAAAUAGACAUUUACAAAGAUUAGACGACAUCACGGCGAUACUAUCAGAUGAUGAUGUUUAUGAUCCCUAGUAUAGGCAAAGGAGAAAGGGGCUCAAGGGGGAAAAAAAAUAGGAACUACCAAAAGAUUCCAGCUUGAAAUCGAACAAACGGGAGUCCUCGGCCACUGAGCUGCUAAUUGCCAUCAAUCUAUUUGAUGAGUCCUCUAUAAAGUGUUUUUGGAGAAAAUAUUGUUGGAAGAGGAAAAGAAUAGGUUCACUUAGCUGCUAAGGCAAAAUGCAAAUGUCUUAGCAUGGAAACACUCCAACUUAGAGGGGAUUCACCUCUCAAUAGCUUGCCACCACUUGAAUGUGAAGGGAAGAUGGUGCUCGAUUAGAUAAAAAUUGCAUAAAUUUUAUGAAGAAUAACAUAAGAUCAUUGUGGAAGAAAUAAACCAAUUGCUCGAAGUCGGAUUUAUCCAAGAGGUGCAAUACCCGGAAUAGCUAGCCAACGUUUCCGUGGUCCCGAAGAAAAAUAGUAAAUGGCGUGUGUGCAUUGACUUCAUUGAUCUUAAUGAAGCUUUCCUGAAAAACAGUUUUAUUCUCUCUUGGAUAGACCAAAUCGUUGACGCCACAGUAGGCUAUGAACUUUUAUUCUUUUUAGACGCCUUUUUUGGGUACAAUCAGAUACCAAUAUACCUACCAUAUGCGGAGAAGACGACUUUUAUUACUAGUCGGGGCUUACUAUGUUAUGAUGUAAUGUCAUUCAACCUUAAGAAUGCUGAAGCAACCUAUUAGCGAUUGGUGACGAAGAUAUUCUAACAUUUAUUAGGAUAAAACAUAGAAUUUUAUAUCGACGACAUGUUGAUCAAAAGCAAGCUGAAGCAUAACUACCUUCAAGACCUUGCUAAGGCUUUUGCUCUACUUCGCAUAUAUGACAUGACAUUGAAUCCCGAAAAUUGUGCAUUUGGAGUGCAGGUGAGCAUAUUUCUUGGUUACUUGGUGACGAAGUGUGGGAUAAAAGCUAGCCGACAGCAAAUCAAAGCCCUAUAAGAAAUGGCCCUCCCACAAUGGUCAAAUAGGUCCAACGGCUAACUAGAAAAUAAAUGGCCGACAAGUUGCAACAUUUCUUUGAAGUGCUCAGGAAGAAAAAGAAGUUCGAGUGGGAUGAGCAAUGUAAUUAGGCCUUCAUUGCCAUCAAAAGCUAUUUGGCUAUUUUCCCGUUCUUAGUUUGCCAUGCGAAGACAAAAAAUUGUAUGUAUGCUUAGCGGCUAUAAGUGUGGUGGUAAGUUCUGCCUUAGUUUGUUCAGAUGAAUAAGACACCCAACAACUGGUAUACUUUGUCAACAAAACUCUCCUUGAUGCAAAAACUUGAUACUUUAAGCUUGAAAAGGUGGCCCUAGCAUGGCACACUGUGGCUAAGAAGCUCAAGCCAUAUUUCUAAGCGCACGCCAUGUUGUCCUUAUAGACCAGCUUAUGUGGGUCGUGUUGCACAAGUCGGGUCUCUCCGAUCAGCUGGUUAAGUGGGCUAUCAAGUUGGGUGAUUUCGGGAUCAAGUAUAGGCCACGACAAAGCCUCAAAGACUAAGUAUUAACAAAUUUCAUCGUCGAACUUUUAGGAUAUGAGAGCCUGGAAACCGAGAGCAACAAGAAUAGUGAGACAUGGAUUAUUUACGUAGAUGGUUUUUCGAAAACAAAAGGAACUGAAGUUAGAGUUGUCCUCAAGUCCCCCAUUGGAGAUGAACUAGAAUAAUCCAUCAACUUGAGUUUCCUGGCAUCCAUCGACGAGGUCGAAUACGAAGCAAUACUCAUAGGGCUAAGAAUGGCCAGCCAACUACAGGUAAGAAAAUUUGAUGUUUGUAGUGACUCCCAACUUGUUGUCAACCAAGCAGAAUGACACUAUGAAGCACACAAUGAAAGAAUGGCCAAAUACUUAGACGUUGUAAAGAGGAAAACCUCUUGAUUCUAUUUUGUAGGCUUCACAUUGGUUCCUAGAGAGGAAAAAUGUUUAGGUUGAUGCCCUCGCCAACCUGGGUUCUUCCUUUUCGAGUAAGUAGAGUUAGGCAUUCCCGAUCGAGUUUUUAGAAGAAUCUUCUUUUAUGGAGAUGGAGGAACAAUUAAUACACUCGACACCCCCGCCAAUUCCUAGUUGAACUCGUACGUCGAGUACCUAAAAGAUGACACGCUCCCGAAAUAUGAAAAAAAAAACCCAGAGGCUUUGGGUAAACGCCACAUGCUUAUGCCUAAUCAAUGACCACUUGUAUAGGUGUUCUUAUGAUAACCCAUAUCUUAAUUGUGUAUAGAAUGAUCAAACUAAACACCUACUUGUCGAAAUCCAUGAAAGAUAGUGUGGUAACCACAACGGGGGACAAUCUUUAGCUCAUAAGAUAUUAUCCAAGAGGUACUAUUGGCCAACCAUCCACAAAAAAAAUAAGACAAGUGCCAAUGUUAUGUAUUGGUAUAUCAUCUCCUGACCGAACAACUUACACCUAUUGUGAGCCACUGGCUGUUCGCACAAUGGGGACCUGACAUUGUUGGACUACCACCUACGAUGCUUGCUCAAAAACAUUUUCUCCUGGUAGCCACAGAUUACUUCUCAAAGUGGGUCAAAGUGGAGACUUAUGCUACCAUCAAGGACACUAAAGUAUGAAAUUUUGUGUGGCGAACAAUUGUUUGCUGAUUCAACAUCCCCUCAGCACUAGUAUUUGGUAAUGACAUCCAAUUCAACAAUCGUAUUUUCUGCCAGUUUUGCACUGACCUCAAAAUCAAGAACUUCUACUCUACAUCAUGCUUAUCUCAAAACAACGGCCAAACUGAAGCCACUAACAAGACCAUAUUAGACUGUCUGAAAAAAAGGUUGGAGAAGGCCAAAGAAAAGUGAGUCGAAGAGCUCUUGGGUGUCUUAUGGGCCAAUCGGACAACUCAAAAGAGGCCAACUGGAGAAUCAUCAUUUUCUAUAGCCUUUGGAAUGGAGGCCGUCAUUCCAACCGAAAUUGGUUUACCCAUAGAACAUACAACUUUAGUAAAUGCAGAUUCCCAUUUAGCCUCAAUCGAGCUUUCUUUGGACCUAGCCAACAAAAGGUGGGAUGAGGUGACCAUACAGAUGCCCGUUUACCACCAGCGGGUCAUGGCGCAAUACAACAAAAGGGUUCAGAGUUGAAAGUUUCAUCUUAGGUAUCUCAUACUCUAGUAUGUUUUUAAAAAUGCAAAAGAGUCGAGAGAUGGCAAACUUGGCCCUAACUGAGAAUGACCCUACUGAGUAACAUGUGUCGGGCCUAACGACGCUUAUCACUUAGAAGCAUUGGAUAGCAAGACCCUUCCAAGGUCUUGUGAUUUGUCCCCAAUUGGUGUACUAUUUAAUUCAGUCCUUAGACAGGAGUUAUCAACAAAAUUUAUAAAGCUAAUUCACCAUACACUAGGGUAGCAUAGCUAGCAUAGUAUAUGAUUACUACCCAAAAAGUGUUAUUUUGCGCCUUUAAUUCAUUAUGUUUUAAGCACUUUUGUGUAGUAGUUCUCCAUUUUUAUUCCAAUUGUCAUGUUAAGGACCUAGCAAUGACUUCUAAUCAUAUUUGUGGCUAGUUUUAGUGUUUUGACAGCUCUUUGGUUCAUUAAGACAAGUCAAGUAAUGGGGAAAAGCAAAGAGGAAAACAGAGUGAAGAAAAUAGAGGACAGCAGCUGCAGUCUUCCUUUGCACUUUUAGAGCACUUUCCGAAGUCCAUUUUCUACAUACUAUAUACCAUUUCAAAUCUCAGGAAGUCAAGAAUCCAACGCUUUAAACCGUGUACCAUUUGGAGCUGAAAUGAGGAAGAUAUGACCUUCGGAAGACAACUGCACCAUGUAUGUGCGAAUUUCGCACAACACACCAUGCAUGUGCGAAUUUCGUACAACACACCAUGCAUGUGCGAAUUUCGCACAACCAACCAAGCAUGUGCGAAUUUCACACCAGCCCAUGCGUCUUUGGUGUGAAAUCUCCUCUAUUCUGCCGACUCCACAUUAGAUCUUUUCUUUUGUUUUUUUUUAUGUAAAUUCCUUUCUUAUCCCUGUAAUUAGCCAAUCACAGGCUUUGUUUUUGUAAAGACUAUAAGAGUGGUGGAAAUCAUCUCUCGAGACGACGACUAAUGUGUUAUGUUUUACACUUAGUAAAACACAGGGCUCUCUUUGCUUUCCUUUUCUCUCUACUAUUUUCUUUUCUUGGAAGCCAAACAACCUCUGAGGAUGUUUUCCCAAAGGAUGAGAGACUAAACUUUUGGUUUCUUGGAGUAAAGGAAGCUAGGUGAAAAGUCCAGAUGCUAAAGUGGAAAACUCUCGUGCAUUAAAUACAGGUAGUUGGAGUUCAUAAAUGGCUUUUAAAUCUAAUGUUUUGCUUUAAAUCCCUUAGAAUCACUUUGAAUGGCCAAUACAUGAUAAGCUUUAGGUCUCUGUGGAUACUUAUUGCUAGAUCCACAUCAAACAAUUAGUUUUCAUGUACGAGCCAUUGGAAAGUGGCUUAAGGUGAAGACCCAUAGUGUCUAAAGCCAUUAAUGGAACUUGACUACCAUUUCUAUUGACUUUUUAUGGAUUAAAUCUUCAUUGUUAAACCUAUACCGGUUCGGGAAACAACCAUCCUUUAUGUUGUUGUCCCCAAUACGAGAAGAAGAAUCCGAAAUUUCCACUUUGCAUUCUGAACUUGAUCCUAGCAACCCUUAGCUCCGGGAGACUUUCUUUCUUCCAUUUUUACCUAGUUCUAUAUUAGUUUAGUUUCAAACACCACUUUCAAAACAAAUUUUAUUUUCUUUUAAACUUUAAGUUUUUGACAAAGGAAAUCAUCAGAUUCAAUUUCUGAUCUCGAGUAUAUCACUGGUAGAAUGAAAACCCAUCCCAGAGUUCAACCCUAGAGCUGCUAUACUAUAGUAGCUUUGCUAUGCUAGUAUGAGGUCAUAGGAUUUAUAAAUAUUUUUUAUUAAAACACCCGAUUGGGCACGAAUCAAAAUGGUGCCAUUGCCGGGGAUUGUGCCACUUUACAGUGAUAUGACCUUUUCAGAGUACUUGUGAUCUUCAUCACAAGUUUGGUGAAUUCCUUUUUUUUCACUAACUUCAUUUCCUUUCUUUUAAUUGUAGAAUUCCUUUUGUUAAGUUUAUUUUCAUUUUCUUUCUAACCUUAACUUUCUUCUAGCUUUCUUUUGUUUUUGUUGUCUUUGUUUUGUUUCAGGUAAGUAGUAACUUGUGCAUGCCCUAUUGGAUUCGGGACUAAGAGGGAAGACUAGUAAGGAUAGAGAAUUCUCAAGACACAGAGUUGGAUAUCUGUGAAAACAUCAUGGACCCUCCACCAGAGGAUCAGAAUUCUUCACACGGUCAAGGGGGUAAUCCAAAUGCAUAUCUAUCCUUGAGGGAUAGAAUGCACCCACCAAGGAUGAGUGCAUCCUCAUGCAUCGUACCUCAUCUUGAGCAGCUGAUUAUAAGGCCCCAUAUUGUGCCCCUCCUACCAAAUUUCCAUGGAAUGAAGAGUGAGAAUCCAUAUGCCCACAUCAAGGAGUUUGAGGAGGUGUGCAAUACUUUUAGAGAGGGAGAAGCUUCAAUAGACUUGAUGAGAGUCAAGCUAUUCCCUUUUACUUUGAAGGACAAGGCAAAAAUAUGGCUUAAUUCUUUAAGGCCAAGGAGCAUAAGGAAUUGGGUUGAUCUUCAGGCCGAAUUUUUGAAGAAAAUUUUCCCCACCCAUAGGACCAAUGGGUUGAAGAGACAAAUCUCAAACUUUUUUGCCAAAGAAAAUGAGAAGUUCUAUGAAUGUUGGGAAAGGUAUAUGGAGGCCAUCAAUGCUUGUCCUCAUCAUGGAUUUGAUACAUGGCUCUUGGUGAGCUAUUUUUAUGAUGGGAUGUCUUCCUCCAUGAAGCAAAUUCUUGAAACCAUGUGUGGGGGAGAUUUUAUGAGUAAGAAUCAGGAAGAAGCCAUGGACUUUUUAAGUUAUGUGUCUGAGGUAUCAAGAGGAUGGGAUGAGCCCAACUCAAGAGAAAUGGGAAGGAUGAAAGCUCCUGUAAAUCCAAAGGGUGGAAUGUACAUGUUAAGUGAGAACAUGGACAUGAAAGCUAUGGUGGCAACAAUGGCAAGGAGGUUGGAAGAACUUGAGUUGAAAAAAAUGCAUGAAGUCCAAGCCAUUUCCGAGACACAAGCCUAUGUCAUGCCAUGCACCCUUUGCCAAUCAUGUGAUCAUGUGGUAGAUGAGUGCCCAACCAUCCCAGCUGUGAGGGAGAUGUUAGGUGAUCAAGCCAAUGUUGUGGGGCAAUUUAGGCCCAACAACAAUGCACCUUAUGGAAACACCUAUAAUUCAAGUUGGAGAAACCAUCCAAAUUUUUCUUGGAAACCGAGGCCACCUCCAUACCAACCACAAGCCCAAACCCAAGCACCUCAACAAACCUCUUCAAUGGAACAAGCCAUUGUGAACCUAAGUAAAGUCAUGAGUGACUUUAUGAGUGAACAAAAGGCAAUCAACUCCCAAUUGCACCAAAAGAUUGAAAAUGUUGAGAGUUCUCAAAUUAAGAGAAUGGAUGGGAUGCAAAAUGAUCUAUCUCAGAAGAUAGAUAAUAUUCAAUACUCCAUCUCUAGGCUUACCAACCUCAACACAGUGAAUGAGAAAGGAAAGUUUCCCUCUCAACCAAGCUAAAAUCCCAAGGGUGUUCAUGAAGUUGAAACCCAAGAUGGGGAGUCUUCAAAGUUGAGGGAGGUCAAAGCUGUGAUCACCUUGAGGAGUGGGAAGGAGGUUGAUCAACCUUUGCCUAAGAUGAGGCAAGAUAAAGAACUCAUGUCAAAGAGAACCUUGGUUAAAGAGACCAAUAACCAAGAAGAGAAGAGUGGGAAGAAAAGUGCAUCCAAAUCAAGCAUUGAAGAAGAGCCAAGGAUAGUGAUUAAAGAGGAUAUGAUGAAGAAACAUAUGCCUCCCCCUUUUCCUCAAGCUUUACAUGGAAAGAAGGGAAUCAAGAAUUCAUCAGAAAUUCUUGAAGUUUUGAGACAAGUGAAGGUGAAUAUACCCUUACUUGAUAUGAUCAAGCAAGUCUCCACAUAUGCAAAAUUUUUAAAGGACUUGUGCACGGUCAAGAGAGGGUUGCAUGUGACAAAGAAGGCAUUCCUCACUGAGCAAGUAAGUGCCAUCAUUCAGAGUAAGUCUCCAGUUAAGUACAAAGAUCCGGGAUGUCCCACCAUUUCAGUCAACAUUAGAGGGACACAUGUGGAGAAGGCUUUACUAGACUUGAGGGCAAGUGUGAAUUUGCUCCCAUACUCUAUGUAUAAGCAACUGGGACUUGGAGGAUUGAAGCCCACAACCAUCACUCUCUCCUUAGCUGAUAGGUCGGUAAAAAUCCUAAGGGGGAUGAUAGAGGAUGUUCUAGUUCAAGUGGACAAAUUCUACUAUCCUGUGGAUUUUGUUGUGCUUGAUACUGAUCCCACUGUUAAGGAAGCAAAUUAUGUGCCAAUCAUCCUUGGGAGACCUUUCCUAGCUACCUCCAAUGCCAUCAUUAAUUGUAAGAAUGGGGUGAUGCAGCUCACAUUUGGAAAUAUGACCUUGGAAUUAAACAUAUUCCACCUAUGCAAGAGGCAUCUUCACCUAGAAGAGGAGGAAGGAUUGGAGGAGGUGUGCUUGAUCAACACCUCGGUUGAAGAGCAUUGUGACAAGAAUUUAGAAGAGAUCUUGAACGAAAGCCUUGGAGUUCUUGAAGAAGGGUUACUUGAACCCUCUGAUGUGUUAGCCAUCAUGUCUCCUUGGAGGAGACGGGAAGAGAUCUUACCACUGUUCAAUAAGGAGGACUCACAAGGAGCAACUAGGGAGGACCCUCCAAAGCUAGUUUUGAAGCCACUUCCUGUUGAUUUAAAUGCAAACUUCAUAUGGGAUCCGAGCAAGCUGAAUCCGGAUCAAAUUUUUUUUUUGAUGGACUUAGUCUUUCUAAAUACUAGCUAGUCCAUAUCUUUUUCUCUUAUUUUUAAACUUGUUUUUAUUUUGAUUUCUUGCUUUUAUUUUAUUUUGGUUUGAUUUAACUUAGGUUUUUUGAUGAUCAGCGCAGGGGAAUCCAAAAACAGAGGAUCUAGAGCAGUUCAGGCAGUAGACCUCCACAUCUCAGAGGAACAUGGUUCACAUUCUAUCACGAGGGACUUCUGGAGAUACAUGCCUGCUACGUGGGAAAGCUUGAAGAAUGAAAACAAGGAAAAACAGGGGAGAAAAGCCAAGACACAGCAAAAUUCGCACCACCCAAUCAUCUGGUGCGAAAUUCGCACAACACAUCCCCCUUGUGCGAAUUCGCUUUUGUGACCAAUUUUCAAAAGCAUGCUCUCGGUCCCUACCCAAAAUCUCAGUGCGAAAAGGCACAAGAAUGCAAACCUUGUGCGAAAUUGUCUUUAUGACUAUUUAAAAAAAAACAUGCUCUCUGUCUUGGAGAACCAUUGGAAUGCGAAAAUUUUGCAUUUCACUAUUCCUUGUGCGAAAUUCGCAUUUCUCUUUAAAAGCCAUUUUCUCUUCUUCAAUUCUAAGCUUGUUAUUCUUCAAUUCUCUCAACACCUCUCUUCCGAUCACCCCUUUCCAUCCACAAGGUCCUCUCCUUCAUCAUCCCCCAUCCUCAACCCCACCAUGGCAGCCCAUAUCAAGAGCUUCAUUCCAUAGCCGCGGCCAACACUAUUCACAACAGUCUGCACCUUCCAAUUUCAGCUUUUUCUCCUCCUUCCACCAUAAAAAACCCUUCAUUUCUUCACUCAACACUCCAAAUUCAUCCCUAAACCCAACCCAACCUUGAUUUUUCAAAAUCAAAACCUCAAGCAUAGAUUUCAAAGCCACGGUUUCUUCAUAAGAAACCCAUUGCCGCCGGCUAUGGGAACUUCAAAAUCCCUCAUUCUCUUCUUGUGAAGCUCCCACUUCCAAGCUUAGCCACCAUGAAAAACUCUUUUCCUACCUCAGCCAACAUUUCCCGCCCUCAAAAACCAAGAAUUGUUGCCAUUUGAAAGCACCACAAUUUCGCAUUUGCACGGGUGAAUAGUGCAUUGUGCGAAAUUCGCACAACACCCUUUCCUUGUGCGAAAUUCGCACAACACCCUUCCCUUGUGCGAAAUUCGCACAACACCCUUCUCUUGUGCGAAAUUCGCACCACCCUUCCCUUAUGCGAAUUUUUGAGCUUCUUCAUCCCUACCCUCCCAAUCCCAAGCCUCUAAGCCUCAUUUCUUUGCUCUAAUAUGCCUAAGACCCGAGGAGGCUAUGCCUCAGCUCCCCAGAGCAGUCAAAGAGCUGCCCCUGUGCGGGCCCCACAAGAUGCACCCCCACAUUUACCUGAUUCUGCCACUCAGCGCAGAUACCAUACGAGGAGAGCAGCUGCCACGCCUGUGGCCCCUACUCAGAUUCCACCUAGGAGUUCUCCUACAAAGAAGGCCAAGACUUCAGAGCCAGGAGAGUCUUCCAGAGCACCUCGAGAUUCACAGUCUUAGCCCCCUCCCACCAGGCACCCCAUCCUCGCCAGCUCGCCCAUUGAGGGCAACUCCGAUUACCGAUCGAGAGCAUUCCAUGUCGAGGCAUAUUUUGAUCACUCUAUUUUGCGACAACAGCCUGAGUUGGGGGAUUCAUACCGCCUACUUGAGAGGUACCACCUUGUACCCUUUAUGACUCCGCCACAAUUCUUUUAUCCUCGAGUAGCUUUAGACUUUUACCAGUCUAUGACUACUCGUGGCGUCCCGGUACCAGCCUCGAUCCUUUUUACCAUUCAUGGACGCCAAGGUAUUUUGGGGGCUAGACAGAUUGCCGAGGCUUUCCAUAUCCCUUAUGCACCAGCAGAUCCCGCUGCAUUUAGACACUGGGCCCCACUUUCUGAGUGGGACAUGGUUUGUAUACUAUCUUGAGGGACAUCUUCCCAGAGGAUCAUUAUGAGGAAGGAGCUUCCCCCUAGGAUGCUCCUAGUUGAUGUGGUGCUUCGCAACAAUCUUUUUCCUCUUCAGCAUAGAGUGCAGAGGCGAGGGGCCAUUCUAGAGGCGUUAUUCCGUAUCUCUGAGGGCUACUACUUUGGUCCCCAUCAUUUGAUUAUGGCCGUCCUCCUCCAUUUUGAGGAGAAGGUGCAUAAGCGGCGUCUUACGAGGGCAGACACCAUUCUUUUACUUUUUCCUCGACUACUAUGCCAUGUUCUGGCUCAUAUGGGUUUCCCUACAAACCUUCAUUCUGAGCACCGCCGUCAUUGUCGAGAGAGCUUAUCUCUUGACCAAUGGAAUCAGGUAUGGCUCCAUCAGCAUUCCCCAGAACUUCUUGAGCCAAGGGAAGUCCCUCCACAGUCUUUACCAUCUAUAUCUGUUCCGCCCACUUCAGCUCCCUCGGAGCCCGUACCAGAGGCAGCAUCGUCUGACACCCCACCUGUUGUUCCUCCUACCUCAGAGUCACCCAUUACUAUCCCUGGUGUAGAGUAUUGUGACUUGCUCGCUUCUUUCCAGACUUUGACCACUACUCAGACGACUAUUAUGGAGCGGAUGGACCAUUUCCAGCUUCGACAGGACCAGCAAACUCUCAUUCUCCGUGAGAUUCAACAGCACCUCAGUCUUUUGCCACCAGCUCCACCUGUUGCUCCUGUGCCCUCAGAGCCUUUUGCUCCAGCUGAUGAUUUUGCUCCAACUGAUGAUGCUACACCUGUAGCGGUACCUUCCACAGUUGCAGCGGAGGACCCCUCCUAUCCACCAGAGGAGCCUACUAUUUGAUCAUACGAUCACUCCUCUUCCUUUUUUGUUUUUAUUUUGUAUCUAUAUUCUAUGUUUUUGGCUGUCAUAUAUAUUUUGGAUGUGAUAUACUGGCAUUGGAUGUAUUCCAUGUUUAUAUUGUAUACUGUACUCUCUUAGUUUAUAUAGAUAUCUUCAUUUUUUGUGUAUAUUAUCUGUUCCUUUUUAUUUCCUCUACUCAUCACUCUUAUCAUUUCUUUUUCUUUUGCAACAUGUGGUUUCUCCUGUUCAUUCAGAGUCCCUUACUAUCAGGAGGUAUCACUUCCUCCCUUUUAUUAUCACUUGCUUUUGGAACAUUGGGGACAAUGUUCAUCCUAGUUAGGGGGAGAGUUGAGGAGGUAAUUUGUUGAAUUUUUUGUUAAGUUAUUUUGCUCACAAUUUUUUUUGCAAACUCUUUUUGUUUUCUCAAAGAUAAAUUCUCAAAAAUAAAUGGGAGAAAUUAAAUUCUUAUUUUGUUGCCAUAUUCUCAAAGUUUGUAUUAUGCUUAUUAAAGUUGAUAAAUUGUUGAAGCUCCUUUCGAUUUCAAUCUUAAGUCUUCCACUCUAAUCUUUUCACACACUGAACACAUUAGAUUCCAGUUAUAAGAUGGAAAACUUUCUCACCCCCUAAACUUAGGAAAUUUUCGACUUGGUGCCUUUGACCUCAUUCUAUUAGUGUUGGGACACCUUAUAAAAGGCCAAUGUGUCUUAUGAAAAAUUUUGCUUCACUUGCUUUGAAACCCGAGCAAGGUCCGAGGGGCAUAUGGUGAAAAUCUUUGAAGCCUGGUGCCCUAAGCCUUUAUUGGUUGGGAGUCACCGACCUCACUGCUCGUUACAUGGGUGGAUGGGUGGAGUUCAAAAAAAAAAAAAAGGUGCGUUCUUAGCCUUUUAUAUGGGGGUUAAUGUUGCUAAAGUUAGAGAAAAACCUUAGUUGGGGGGAGAAUAUAGUUUGACACUUAGAUUUUUGUGGAAAAUUAAGAGUUGGUCCUUUGGGAGUAUAAAUUAUUUUGAUACUCAAAUUUGCAUAAUGCCCACUCUUUGUAUGUUGUGAUAGGUAAGUUAUUUGAUGACUCUUGUUGAUGAUUGAGUUUUAUAUCCUUGACUUACCAUGUGAGAGUUUGAUCCGAUCAUGCCACUUGAUUAUUUUUUGGAGUGAUCAGCAUGAUUUUGUAAAUUAUUAUAUUAUCUAUUUUUCUUUCUUUCUUUUUCUCUCCUUCAUUGCUCAGGGACUAGCAAUGUGUCAGUUGGGGGGAGUGAUUACUACCCAAAAAAUGCUAUUUUGCGCCUUUAAUUCAUUAUGUUUUAAGCACUUUUGUGUAGUAGUUCUCCAUUUUUAUUCCAAUUGGCAUGUUAAGGACCUAGCAAUGACUUCUAAUCAUAUUUGUGGCUAGUUUUAGUGUUUUGACAGCUCUUUGGUUCAUUAAGACAAACCAAGUAAAGGAGAAAAGCAAAGAGGAAAACAGAGUGAAGAAAACAGAGGACAGCAGCUUCAGUCUUCCUUUGCACUUUUGGAGCACUUCCCGAAGUCCAUUUUCUACAUACUAUAUAUCAUUUCAAAGCUCAGUAAGUCAAAAAUCCAGCACUUCAAACUGUGUACGAUUUGGAGCUGAAAUGAGGAAGAUAUGACCUUUGGAAGACAACUGCACCAUGCAUGUACGAAUUUCGCACAACACACCAUGCAUGUGCGAAUUUCGCACAACCAACCAAGCAUGUGCGAAUUUCGCACCAGCCCAUGUGUCUUUGGUGCAAAAUCUCCUCUGUUCUGCCGACUCCACAUUAGAUCUUUUCUUUUGCUUGUUUUGAUGUAAAUUCCUUUCUUAUCCCUGUAAUUAGCCAAUCACAGACUUUGCUUUUGUAAAGACUAUAAGAGGGGUGGAAAUCAUCUCUCGAGACGACGACUAAUGUGUUAUGUUUUACACUUAGUAAAAUACAGGGCUCUCUUUGCUUUCCUUUUCUCUCUACUAUUUUCCUUUUCUUGGAAGCCAAACAACCUCUGAGGAUGUUUUCCCAAAGGAUGAGAGGCUAAACUUUUGGUUUCUUGAAGUGAAGGAAGCUAGGUGAAAAGUCCAGAUGCUAAAGUGGAAAACUCUCGUGCAUUAAAUACAGGUAUUUGGAGUUCAUAAAUGGCUUUUAAAUAUAAAGUUUUGCUUUAAAUCCCUUAGAAUCACUUUGAAUGGCCAAUACAUGAUAAGCUUUAGGUCUCUGUGGAUACUUAUUGCUAGAUCCACAUCAGACAAUUAGUUAUCAUGUACGAGCCAUUGGAAAGUGGCUCAAGGCGAAGACCCAUAGUGUCUAAAGCCAUUAUGGAUCUGACUACCAUUUCUAUUGACUUUUNNNNNNNNNNNNNNNNNNNNNNNNNNNNNNNNNNNNNNNNNNNNNNNNNNNNNNNNNNNNNNNNNNNNNNNNNNNNNNNNNNNNNNNNNNNNNNNNNNNNGGCGAAGACCCAUAGUGUCUAAAGCCAUUAAUGGAAUCUGACUACCAUUUCUAUUGACUUUUAGGGAUUAAAUCUUCAUUGUUAAACCUAUACCGGUUCGGGAAACAACCAUCCUUUAUGUUAUUGUCCCCAAUACGAGAAGAAGAAUCCGGAAUUUCCACUUUGCAUUCUGAACUUGAUCCUAGCAACCCUUAGCUCUGGGAGACUUUCUUUCUUCCAUUUUUACCUAGUUCUAUAUUAGUUUAGUUUCAAACACCACUUUCAAAACAAAUUUUAUUUUCUUUUAAACUUUAAGUUUUUAACAAAGGAAAUCAUCAGAUUCAAUUUCUAAUCUCGAGUAUAUCACUGGUAGAAUGAAAACCCAUCCCAGAGUUCGACCCUAGAGCUGCUAUACUAUAGUAGCUUUGCUACGCUAGUAUGAGGUCAUAGGAUUUAUAAAUAUUUUUUAUUAAAACACCCGACUGGGCAUGAAUCAGUAUAGUGGUUCUAGGAUCGUCCACAGGGAUGGGUUUUCAUAUUACAAGUGAUAUUAGUUAAAGUACUGAAAUGGUGCUUUUUCUUUUAUGAGUUAACUUUAAAAGAAAACAUAAUUUUGGUUGAAAAAGGUUGGUUUUAAGUUAACCAAAAAUAGUAACUGAGAUUAAUUACAAAGAAAAGGUUUCUUGGAGUUUUAGGUCAUUAGGUUCAGGUUCCUUAGACAAAAGGGGGAGAUUCCGAAUCUUUUCCUCGCGUUGGGGAUAAUAACAUAAAGAAUGGUUAUCUCCCAAACCAGUGUGUAUUUAGCAACCAAGAUUUGAUCCCACUGGCCUUGGGUACUCCAAAUCUAGAGAAGAUGUUCUCUUUGAGAAAUUUGAGAACAACUCUGUGAUCAUUGCGUUUGCACAGGAUCGCUUCAACCCAUUUAAAAAUAUAAUCUACUCCCACCAAGAUGUAAGAGUAACCAAAGGACAUAAGAAAAGGUCUCAUAAAGUCAAUGCUCUAGACAUCAAAAAGAUCAACUAUUAAAAUGGGGUUCAAUGGCAUCAUGUUCCUGCGUGUUAACUUCCCAAGCCUCUGGCAUCUAUCAUAGCUCUUGCACAUGGUGUGGGCAUCUUUGAAAAGUGAUGGUCAGUAGAAACCCGAUUGCAAUACCUUCAUAGAUGUCUUUUGAGAAGCAAAGUGGCCUCCACAUGCGCUUUUGUGGCAAUGACUAAGGAUCCCCUGUUGUUCUUGUUUAGGGGCGCACUUCCGUAUUAUUUGAUCAGCACAAUAUUUGAAUAGAAAUGGGUCUUCCCAAUAGUAGGCAUGAAUUUUUUCAAAGAAGUGCUUCUUAUCUUAUGCUUUCCACUCACUUGGAACUUCUCCAGUAACUAAAUAGUUAGCAAUAUGAGCAUACCAAAUUGUGACUUCCAUCAACAUGAGUGACUCCUCUGGAAAAUCAUCAUUAAUGGGCAAACUAUGGGAAUUAUGUGCAAUGGCUAGCCUUGACAGAUGGUUGGCUACCACAUUCUCCACUCCUUUCUUGUCUUUGAUAUGAAGAUUGAACUCUUAAAGUAAGAGAAUCCAUCUAAUCAGCCUUUCUUUUGCAUCCUACUUAGUCAACAUAUAUUUCAAGGUCGAGUGAUAAGUGAAAACUACAAUGCCCCACCAAGUAAGCGCGAAAUUUGUCCAAGGCAAAAACUACAACCAACAAUUCUUUCUCUAUGGUUGUGUAGUUUCUUUGCGCUUCAUUCAACGUUUUUCUUGCAUAGUAGAUCACAUAAGGCUUUCCAUCUUCUCUUUGCCCAAGAACAACUCCUAUAGCAAAGUCACUGGCAUCGCACAAUACUUCAAAGGGCAAUUGCCAGUUGGAAGCUCUCACUAUUGGAGCGGUCGUCAGAAAUAACUUCAGGUCUUCAAAACUCCGUUGACAUCGAUCAUCCCGUAUGAAUUUGGCAUCAUUUACCAAUAGUUCACAAAGAGGUCUUGCAAGUUUAGAGAAAUCUUUGAUAAACCUCCGAUAGAACCCAGCAUGGCCAAGGAAUUGCCUUACUCCUUUGACAGUUGUUGGCGAUGGCAACUUGACAAUAAGUUCAACCUUUGCUUUGUCCACUUCAAUGCCUUGCUUUGAGAUAAUAUGCCCAAGGACAAUCCCUUGGUGUACAAUGAAAUGGCAUUUCUCCCAGUUAAGCACCAAGUCUUUCUCAAUGCAUCGGUUCAGAACAACUUCCAAGUUGACUAAGCAUUCGUCAAACACACUUCCAUAUAUAGUGAUAUCAUCCAUAAAGACUUCCAUAAUACGCUCCACCAUAGCACUGAAAAUGCUUAACAUGCAUCUUUUGAAUGUUGUGAGUGCAUUGCAUAAGCCGAAAGGCAUUCUUCUGUAUGUGUAGGUUUCGAAUGAACAUGUGAAAGUGGUCUUCUCCUGGUCUUCAACAUCAAUUUCUAUUUGAAAAUACCUAGAGUAACCAUCCAAAAAACAGUAGAAUGGAUGGCCAGAGACCCUCUCAAGCACUUGAUCUAUAAACGGCAAUCAAAAGUGGUCAUUCCUUGUUACAACAUUCAACUUUAGAUAAUCAAUACACACCCUCUAACCUGAAGUGAGGCAUGUAGAAACUUCUUCACCCUUAUCAUUUUGUACCAUUAUGAUCCCUAAUUUCUUUGGCAUGGCUUGCGUAGGACUCGCCCAUGGGCUAUCUGAUAUGGGGUAGAUAAUACCAGCCUGAAGUAGCUUAAGCACUUCAGCUCGCACCACCUCUUGCAUGUGAGGGUUCAACCUUCUCUGAGGUUAACGAACUGACUUAGCUUCUUCUUCCAUGUAUAUAUGAUGGGUACAGACUAAAGGGUUGAUCCCUUUCAGAUCAGAAAUUUGACACCCUAUCACCUUCUUACAUCUCCUAAGGACUUUAAGUAAACAAUUCUUCUGGUGAGUGGUAAGAGAUGAAGAAAUAACAACAGGGCUCUGCUUGUUUUCUUCCAGGUAUGCAUACUUCAACUCCGUGGGUAAUGGCUUCAGAAUAAGCUUUGGGGGCUCCUCCUUAACAGCUUCUUGUAUCUCAUCCCCAUUGAAUAAAGGCAAAAUUUCUUCCUUCCUCUUCCAAGGGGGCAGAGUAGCAAGCAAAUCUGAGGGUUCAGGUAACCCUUCAUCAAAAUUCCCAAGAUUCUCGUUCAAAUCUUCGAGCAUUUUCUGAUCACAAUGCUCCUCUACUAAGUUGUCAAUCAUGCACACCUCUUCUGGUCCUUCUUCUUCUUUCGAAUAGAAUUGUUUCUUGCACAAAUAGAAGAUGUUGAGCUCUAACAUCAUGUUGCCAAACGUAAGUUACAUGACUCCAUUCCUACAAUUGAUGAUAGCAUUUGAUGUAGCUAGGAAUGGUCUUCCAAGUAUGAUAGGAACAUAGUUUGUUCCUUUGGCAACCGGGUCCAUAUCAAGAACAACAAAAUCCACUAGGUAGUAGAAUUUGUCAACUUGAACUAGGACAUCUUCAAUCAUGCCUCUUGGAAUCUUCACAGAUCUAUCUACUAGAGAUAGGGUGAUUGAUGUUGGCUUCAACUCUCCAAGUCCCAAUUGCUUGUAGACAGAGUAGGGUAGCAAAUUCACAUUUGCCCCCAAGUCCAACAAAGCUUUCUCCAAACACGUCCCUCCAAUCAUCACUAAGAUGGUAGGACAACUCAGAUCUUUGUAUUUCACUAGAGACUUCCACUGUAUAAUGACACUUACUUGCUCAGUCAAGAAGGCUUUCUUAUUCACAUUCAACCCUCUUUUUAUAGUGCAUAAGUGCUUCAGGAAUUUUUCAUAAGUCGAAACUUGUUUAAUCAUCUCUAUCAAAGGGAUGUUAACUUUCACUUGCCUCAACACUUCAAGAAUUUCUAAUGCAUUAUUGAUUCCCUUUUUGCCAUGCAAAGCUUGGGGGAAAGGUGGAGGCGUGUGUUUCUUCAUCAUAUCUUCCUGGUUGAUGGUCAUCUCCGGUUCUUCAUUCACAGUAGAUUCAAGGUCCUCAUUCUUUGCACUGUUCCCUUUUCUCUUUCCUUUGAUUUCCUCCAUUUUCUCUUUCUCUACUUUGAUCUCUGGUUCAUGCUCUGGCUUGGAUGUAGGCAUAUCAACCUUUUUAUCACUCUUUAAAGUGAUCACUGCUUUGACUUCCCUCACCUGUGAAGAUUCUCCCUCCUGAGCCUCCACUUCAUGGAUACCCUUAGGAUUCUGAUGAGGUUGAGAAGGAAACUUUCCUUUCUCUUGCACUAUGUUGAGGUUGGUGAGCCUUGAGAUUGAGUACUAGAGAUUAUCUAUCUUCUGAGAUAGAUCAUUUUGCAUUCCAUCCAUCUUUUUGUUCAAUGUACUCUCUACACUGUCAAUUCUUUGACUGAGCUGAGCAUUGAUGGAUUUCUGGUCUCCAUCAAAGUCUCCCAUGACCUUGCUAAGAUUCACAAUGGCUUGUUCAAGAUUCGAGGCUUGCAGAGGUGCUUGGCCAAGUUGCGUGUACUGAGGUGCCCUUGGCCUCUGAGAGAAAUUCAGAUGGUUCCUUCAAUUUGAAUUGUAGGUGUUGCCAUAUGAAGCAUUGUUAUUGGGCUUAAAUUGUCCAAUAACAUUUGCUUGAUCCCCAAACAUUUCUCUCACAGCUAGAAUCGUAGGACACUUCUCCACCAAGUGCUCAAAAGAUUGACAAAUGGAACACGGCAUAGCUUGCAUUGGUGUUUCAGAAAUGGACACUUCUUCUUCAUUUCUAACUCCUCCAAUCUUCUUGCCAUAGCUACAACUUUUGCUUUCAUAUCGAUGUCUUCGUUCAAAGUAUACAUCCCAGCCUUAGCAUUAGGAGCAUUAGGUUGAGACUUCAUUCUUCCCACUUCUUUGGCAUUCGGCUCAUCCCAUCCUCUUGAAACUUCAGCCACAUAACUUAAGAAAUCCAUGGCUUUCUCCGGAUUCUUACUCAUGAAAUCUCCUCCGCACAUCGUUUCUAAGAGUUGUUUUAUUGAGGAAGACAUAUUGUCGUAAAAAUAGCUCACCAAUAGCCAUGUAUCAAAGUCAUGGUAAGGACAAGCAUUGAUAGCUUUCAUGUAUCUCUCCCAACACUCAUAGAAUUUCUCAUUCUCUUUAGCUGAGAAGUUUGAAAUUUGUCUUUUCAAGCCAUUGGUCCUAUGAGUCGAGAAAAUUUUCUUGAGAAAUUCAGCUUGCAAAUUAGUCCAAGUUCGGAUACUCCUUGGCCUCAAAGAAUUAAGCCAAAUCUUGGCCUUAUCCUUUAAGGUGAAAGGAAAUAGCUUGAGUCUCAUCAAGUCGAUUGAAGCUCCUCUUUCUUGGAAAGUAUUACAAACCUCCUCAAAUUCCUUGAUAUGCGCGUAGGGAUUCUCACUUUCCAUCUCGUGGAAAGUAGGUAGAAGUGGCACAAUAUGUGAUCGGAUCACUAGCUGCUCUGUAGGUGGCACUAUACAUGACGGUGCACUCAUACGAGGUGGAUGCAUGCGGUCUCUCAUUUAUCGGUAUGCGUUGAAAUUCUCCUCCUUAGCAUGUUGACUAUGCUGAUCUUCAGGUGUAGCUUCCAUGACGUUCAUGCAUAAUUCCAACUCUGUUUCGUGAGGAGUUUCGAUUUUCACAAGUCUUCCCUCACCGUCUCGUAUCCAAUAGGGCAUGCACAACUAGCAAUAACUGAAACAAAAACAAAGAAAAAAAAACAAAAGAAAAACAAUUCUAAAAAAAAAUUAAGGUUAACUAAAAACUAAAUAAAAGAUAAACUAAAAUAAAAACAAAUAAAAAGAGUUAGUAAAAGAAAAGAAAAAUCACCAAACUUGUGAUGAAGAUCACAAGUGUUUUGUAAAGGUUAUAUCACUGUGAAGUGGCACCAUCCCCGACAACGGCGCCAUUUGAUUCAUCCCUAAUUGGUGUACUAUUUAAUUCAGUCCUCAGACGGGAGUUAUCAACAAAGUUUAUAAACCCAAUUCACCAUACACUAGGGUAGCAUAGCUAGCAUAGUAUAGUGGUUCUAGGAUCGUCCAUAGGGAUAGGUUUUCAUAUUACAAGUGAUAUUAGUUAAAGUACUAAAAUAAUGCUUUUUCUUUUAUGAGUUAGCUUUAAAAGAAAACAUAAUUUUGGUUGAAAAGGGUUGGUUUUAAGUUAACCAAAAAUAGUAAUUGAGAUUAAUUACAAAGAAAAGGUUUCUUGGAGUUUUAGGUCACUAGGUUCAGGUUCCUUAGACAAAAGAGGGAGAUUCCAGAUCUUUUCCUCGCGUUGGGGAUAAUAAAAUAAAGAAUGGUUAUCUCCCGAACCGGUGUGUAUUUAGCAACCAAGAUUUGAUCCCACUGGUCCAUGAAAAACUGCAGUUGCUUCCCAUUAAUGGUUUCAAAUGCUAAAAACCUCUCACUGUGAAUCAUCUUUCAAUGGCUCGUACAUGAUAACUAAUAGACAUCCAUGGAUUCCAUGGAGCCCGAAAAGCUUACCAAGUAUUCGCCAUUCAAGGUGAUCCUAACCUUGGAUUACCCUUCAAAGGCUCGUAAGAGAUAACUAAUGGAUCUCCAAGGAGUCCGAAAAACUUACCAAGUAUUGGCCAUUCUAGGUAAUCCUACCUUUAAACCACCUCCCAGAGGCUCGUAAGAGAUAACUAAUGGAUCUCCAGGGAGUCCAAAAAGCUUACCAAGUAUUGGCCCAAGUGAUUUUAAGGGAUUUUAAGUUAAACCUUAAAAUAAAAACCAUUAACGGGUAACAAAUCUCCGCAUUUAAAUCAAGGAAAACUCCCACCGUUGUAUCCGGAUCCCUUACCUAGCUUCCUCCAAUCCAAGAAACAUAAAACCUAGCCACUCAUCCUCUGAGAAAACAUCCUUAGAGGUUGUUUAGCUAGAAAGAAAAUAAAAACAUAAUGAGAAGGUAAGGUAGAGCAAAGCUCUGUGUACUUCUUACUAAAAGAAUUUAUAAGUGUUCUCUGGAAUUUCUUCCGAGAUGAAUUUACAAGUGUUCUCUGGAAUUUCUUUUGAGAUGUUACAAAAGAGACAUUUUAAGACAUAUAUAGAGAGAUAUUUUUAACCCCUCAUUUAGAUAUCCUAAAUAUCUAAAAAUAUCUCGAGAUAAAAAUCUAAUGGAGUCGGUGCAAAAAUAUCUAAAAAUUACACAGGAGGAUUUUCGCAAGGCUUGCGAAAUCCAUUUUCCUCAGUCUUUGGUUUCGCAAGGCUUGCAAAAUUUCGCAUAAGGUACGAAAUUCAUUUUUCACAGUCUUGCUCUCUGUCCUGCAACUUGUACUCCUUUUGGCAUUUCGCAUAGCCAUGCGAAAUUGCUGGAUGUUAGAUUUCUUAUUUGAUUCUCUUCCUUGCAUACUUGAUUGAUUUGGCAAAAGCUACGAAGCUUUCCAAAACUUGGAUUCUUCAUGUGUUUGAGCUUCAACUUGCUUUGCCAUGGACUAUACAAAAUUCUCCCUCAUUCUUGGCUUGUUUUAAUGAUAAAAAAGCUAUCAAAAACACCAAAACUUGCCAAAAACUGAUUAGAAACAUUUGCAACGGGCUUUAAUGUGUCAAUUGAGUUAAAAGGUAAUAAAUACUACUCAAAAGUGUUUAAAAGAGUUUAUAACAAGAUAUAAAAGAGCACUUUUUGAGUAAUAAUCACCUUGGAAUGUACUUCACUUAAAGAAAUUUUAUCCAUGAAAGUAGCUUUUGAACAUAACUCCAUGUCCUUAAACUGUACUUCGGAUUUUAUCCAAUGAAGACAACUUAAAAAAAAAAACACAUUUGGUUAAGCCAAGUGCCUAAAAAAGUCUAAGAUACUCCAAAAACAUCUGACCAAGCAAGUGCUUGAAAGAGCAUAAGGUGUAUAAAGAGCAUUUGGCCAAGAUAAGUGCCUAGAAAGCUUAAGAUGCACUAAGAGCAUCCGACCAACCCAAGUGCCUAAAAAAACCUAAGAUGUGCCAAAAGCAUCCAACAAGAAAGUGCCUAAAAGAGCCUAAGGUGGGUAAAGAGCAUCCAACUAAGCCAGGUGCCUAGGAAGCCUAAGAUGUACCAAAAGCAUCUAGCCAAGCCAAGUGCCUAAAAAAGCCUAAGAUGAGCUAAAAGUAUCCGACCAAGCCAAGUGCCUAAAAAGACUAAGAUGCGCCAAGAUGUACCUAACCAAAGCCAAGCGCCUAAAGAGCCUAUGGUGCAUAAAAACAUUUAGCCAAAAAGUGUUAAAAAGCCUAGGAUACACAAAACAAGCAAUGUUUAGCUAGCCGAAUGAGAAAACAUUCAACCUCAUCCCCUUAGUGCUUGGAAAAAGCAUUCGGCUUGGGAACCCCAAAAAUUCAUAAAAGCAACUGGACUCACAUACAAAAAUUACACUCGGACAAUGAACCUUAGAAAUGAACAAAAAUGCAUCCAACAUGGGAAGUAGCAAAAAAAAAAAAGUUUGAAUUUCAAUACAAGUCACAUGGUAAUAACAACAUCCAAAAUAGGAAACCAAAAAUAGUCCACCAAAACAUGUCCAAAAAAAAUACUACAAACCUAAGUCACACAUCUCCAUCAACCCAAAAAACCCUAAUUUCAGUAGUCCUAACUUAAACCUCCUUAACGACACCAUCAUUCCCCGCAUCACCAUUGUCGUCAGUAUCCUAAUUUUUCUAAAUAUUGUGUUUUUUCAGGCAGCAUUCGUAGCCAAACUCAUAAGCACGAUCUACCUCAUUGGUGUACUGAGAAACAAGUUUCUUCAAUUCUAUGGAAGUCUUCUCUAUUUUUUCACGAAGUGCAGCCACUCUUGUUUAGUCAAGAGUGUUCUUGAUUUGACAUGUCCAGUUUAGACUAUAGAUUUUGGCUCUGCUCCUCCAGCGUCUUUUUCAUCUUCAGUUUCUCAAUUUUUGUCGCUUGAAGCUUUUUGGUGAGGUCUUGGGCCGACUUUCUAGUUAUGUGAGGGCAUGCUUCAACUGAUCUGUGUCAGAAAUGUAGUCGCAAAAAUUAUUCUCACAUCUCUUGAAAUCUCCAAUACCAUACUUCAUUUACAACGGGAAAAAAAAAAAAAAAAAGUGGAAUAAACUAAAAGCAUGAUAGGAAUUAGAUGGCACUGAAUAAAAGUAAAAGAAAACCUUACCAACACACUCAAAUCUUGGGUGGAGAACUAUGGUAUAGCAAUGAUCAAGUCAUAAAAGGAAAAAACUCUCAACAGCGGAGCCACCAUAGGCGGGACUAAGGAGGAAUUUGAUCGAACCUGUGCAAUAAGAUCCCCAACUACCAAAGUCACAAUUAUUAGGUCGGUUCAGUGAACCUCUUCAGAUUAGCGAGGUGAGUCCGAUAUCUCAAUUGUUGGGCGGGGCAUAGAAUUAUCCCUAGGAGUAUUACCCUAAGAAGCUGUCAAACUCUCUUGAGGAGCGACCACCUUUAUCUUUUUUCGACGUUCGUUUGCCCCAUAAAGAAUAGAUUUCGGCCUCAUAUGUUUGAGUGUGGGGUUAGCCAAUUGAGAAGUUGGUGGCUUGCUUGAUGAUUGUACCACUUGGAGGGAUCCCGAGACUCGCUACAAUAACUUUGUAUAAGCUACCUGUUGAGUCUGCGCUUGUUGGAGCAUACCCUUCUGUCUCUUUCAAUCUCUCUUAGCUAGGAGCUUUUAGUACACCUCUAAUUCCUGUGCAUGAGCCUCCUUCUAAUACUUUAUGUCCUUUAUUAUAAAGUGCUCGCCUCGCACUUGUAGACAGGGCACCGUCUUGGGGCAAAAUGACCCGAAUGAAUCAUUUUGGAUGCCUUUGGAUGUCAAGCAAGUUCAAAGCAGUUAGCAACACCUGAGAAGUCCUUUGAGUUGGCUUAAUGUUUAGCAGCCAGCAUAUACGAUCAAAAGACGCCUUUUCCACCCACUUGGCAAGGUGCCCUCCUUUAUCCUGAUCUGCAAUAAACCCGCCAUUAGAAAAGAAUAAAUAAAAAUUAACAAACGAAUAAAGGACACGUUGAUGUGGUAAUAAUACCCAAAUAGACAAUUGAGCGAUUAACCCAUAACUCAUUAUCUGGAUCACUAGGGAUCAUCUCCCAAACCCUAGAAACGAGCACGUUCCCCUUCAGCCAUCCCUUACCGGAAUUUGGUAACUCUAUCACAAACUAAAAAGUACGACACUAUGUCGAUACAAUGAAUUGACCAGCAACACCUAAUUGGACUGUACACAUGAAUAGUACUUCAAGUACUGAAGGACAUAUAACUUAUUUAAUACCGCAUAGCCCAUAAGUACAUGCAUAGUGUUUGAGUGCAUGUGUGAGGGGUGCAUCUCAAUAUGGUGCAAAAAUUAACUCACUAGAGAAGGCAGCGACAGUUGAAGCCCUACCCAAAAUUGUUCCUAGGUAAAGAAAAUCUCCCUAUAAGAGGAGCUUAUUGUAUAUCUCAAGUCGUCGAGAUUUUUCGGGAAACAACCCUCACAUCAUUUAGAAUAUCAUAAUAGGCAUGAAAAUCUUCCAUCAAAGAGACCCUCCUGGAAUGCAAUGGCCCAACAACCCUACGCAGACUGACACACUCGCGAGCAAUUGAGUUUGGCAAGAUUGCUCAAAAUUGACGAUCGAUAAAGGGCUACUCCUCACUAUCCUCGUUCUCGAACUUUGACGACAUCCUUGGAAGCUAUGGGACUACCUAGCAACACACAUGAUAUAAGACCACCACUAUGGAACACUAACCUAACCAAAGCUAAGGGGCAAGGCAAUGUCGACCCACCCUCACGCACAUCUGCUUGAGUAAGGGAGAAAAUGCUCUACACAAACCUAAAAAACCCCACUACUUUUAGAGUUUUAGUCAACACCUCCCUAAGACCAACAAAGAAGGGAAGAAAAAGGUGCAAUGUGUAAUAACCAAAAAAAAAAAAAAAAAGUGUAAUAAAAAGUUGUGGAACUUACUUUCAAUGUAGGCGCUAAUACUAGUACCACAACAUAGGAAAAUCCAAGGCUCUCGGAUCGCAGUUUGCAGAGGCAAUUACAAGCAUAAAAUAAAAAUGUGCUUGGGUACCCCAAAAGUUCCCUUAUAAGAGAAAGGGGGCGCUUUAAUGAAAUGCGUCAAUCAAGUUUGGUGUCUGCCAUCAUGGUGUCAUUUCGUGUGAUUCCCUAAGCAUUGCACCCUCCAAGCGACGUGUGUUUGGCUUAUGAACCUUUACGUAGAGCUGGUAAAGAGGUUUUAUGCCCAAGUGAUGCCCUACUAGCACUUUUCCCAGCUUUCUGGAUUGUGAAAUGGGGUAUAAGAGGUACCAGGCUUAAUUGGUGGCCAACCCAUGGGUCCACCCACUCAGUCGAGUGGCUGGUACCUCCUAGUUUAGAACCAAAGCCUUUGCCAAAAAGGUAACUAGAAUUAUGUGAUUUGGGUAGAUCUUCCUCGGACGCAUUGGUUCUUGGAACCAGGUCGGUAAGCUUCUAACCAAAAGAGAAUGACACCACUUCACCAGAUCAAAUCUUCCUGAGACAAAUAAAGCUCACCUAGGAGACAACCACCAUGGGUCGCCCAUCGGGGUAGGGUGCCUAAAAAAUCAAAGCUUGGAUCACUUGAGGCCCCUGCUUAUCGAUUCGAGAAAUCUGAACAUAUGUGGUCCCGAAGCCAACAUAUCAGCCUACACCUUGACUCAUAUGACACAAACACCAAGGGUUGCAACAAGACUAAUACAAGGAACGAAGGGUGACGACAAGACUGGUAUGAAGAAUAAGAGGCUACAACAAGAUUGAUACGAGUAGUAGGUUCCGAAGCAAAGCUCUAACCUGAUCUUAUUAGCAGCAAAUACCAGAGGGGUUAGCCAUACGCUGCUUGAUAUAGGUUAAAAAUGGGUUACUCUUCAAAUAAAAACAUGAAAGAGGUUCAUUUCACGUAUAUGAAGAUUAUUUCAUUUCUUUUAACCAAUUAAUUCUAUUUUUUAAAAUCUAAAUAAUUUCACUACUCCGAAUAAAAUAUUAAAAAUGAGUUUAAUAAAUAAAUAAAUUCUAGUUAACUUAUCUUAAUUUUUAUCAUGAUAAUCUUCAUAACUAGUCUAUUUUUUUAAUCUUCAGUAAAUAAAAAAAAAUGCAAGAAACAUAUGCUCAUAUAAUAAUAAUAAUAAUAAUAAUAAUAAUAAUAAUAAUAAUAAUAAUAAUUAUUAUUAUUAUUAUUAUUAUUAUUAUUAGUAUUAUUAUUAGUAUUAUUUAUUAUUAUAUUUUUAACACAUUGAGAUUACAUACACAUCGUUUUAACAUUAAAUGUAUUUUUAAACAUUAUGAAUUAUUAUCGAAGAUCAUAAUAUAUAAUACCGAAUAUGCAUAUCAUGUUUCUUAACAUCAUUUUUUUAUAAAUUUUAUAAGAAUAUUUUUUUUUUGAAAAAUUUUAAAUUAAGCACCUAUUUAACAUUUGAACAUAAUUUAAAUUUGAGGUUGUUUUAAGAGAAGGUCUAGAAGCCAAAUUGAAAUACAAGUAAAAAUAUAGAGACUAUUUUUGUAGUUUACCACAAUGAAUAUGAGAUAAUAUAAUAAAAUUUAAAUUUAUUUUUAACAUCAAUAAUUAGCAAAGAAGCAUGAAAUUAAACUAAGGGAGUUAAAUCAGACUAACAUUAUUUUUCAAUAAGUAAUAUAUUAUGAUAUCAUAAAAAUAUAUUAUAUUAAAUUAAUAUAAUAAUUUUGAAUAAUGAAACUCAAAAUGAUUGAUUAAAUUUACAAAUAAUAAAAAAAUCAAAUAAUUAGAAUCUACAUUUUCUUCAAAUUUCAUUCAUAAUAAUUUAACAUAAAUCACAUUAAAUAGUUAUUUAAAAAAGUUAAAAAAAAAUAACAAAAAUUAACAUACUACUUAAACCAAAAGAUUAUAACAUUUCAAUACAAAAUAGAUUUGUAAUUAAUUUUUUGAAGCAAAUAAUUUUAGAAGUUAUAUUUUAAAAAAAAAAAUGAAAAUAAAUCAUAAAAUAUUAUUCCAAAAUAGAAAUGAUAAAAAUACAAAGAUCAUCAAACAUUGGGUGAACUUACAGCCUAACACUAAGAGAAAAAAAAUAUUUAUAAAAAUAAUUUUAAUAUUCUAAAAAUGAAAUGGGGAAGUCUUGUAGUUGUUGUUGUUGGUGGUGUUGUUGUUCCCUCAAAUCAUUAUAUGCAUCACCCAUGCAACUCACCGGCUACACAAACACGAUCCUGAGUCACAGCAAUGGGGCAGCACCACUUCCUCAUUAUAUCACAUCCACUGCAAGGCCACAUCAACCCAGCCCUCCAAUUCGCCAAGCGCCUGAUUAGAAUCGGCGCCCACGUCACCUUCGUCGUCUCCGUCUCCGCUCAUCGCCACAUGCCCAAAGGUCCAAUCCUCCCCGGUUUAACCCUAGUUCCCUUCUCCGAUGGCUAUGAUGAUGGGAUCAAUCUCGAAGAUCAUGCCCAACACUAUUUGUCCGAGAUCAAGCGUUGCGGAUCAGAAACCCUCAGGCGGAUCAUUGCAAUAAGCGCUGACCAAGGCCGACCAGUUACUUGCUUAGUGCACACCAUUCUUCUUGCUUGGGUGGCAGAGCUGGCGCGUAGCCUUCAGCUUUCGUUUGCGCUACUUUGGAUUCAGAGCGCCACUGUUUUCAUCAUUUACCAUCAUUACUUCGAUGGCUAUGGUGAUGUGGUUGAAAACUACAGCAAUGAGGGUUCAAAUCCAAUUGAGUUACCGGGGCUUCCAAUGCUGUUGUCUAGCCAUGAUAUUCCGUCCUUUUUACUCUCUUCAAACAUAUAUGAUUCAUGGAUCCCAGCAUUUCAAGAGGACAUGGAGGCACUAAGGCAAGAGACGAACCCCAAAGUGCUGGCAAACACCUUCAACGCACUGGAGGCUGAGACGCUACGAGCUGUGGAUAAGGUUAAAUUGAUUGGAAUUGGACCUUUGGUCCCAUCUGCUUUCUUGGAUGCCAACGAUUCAUCUGAUUCUUCUUUUAGAGGAGAUAUUUCCCAAGAUCCGAGCGACUGCAUCGAUUAGUUGAACUCCAAGCCCAAGUCAUCAGUCGUUUAUGUAUCGUUUGGGACACUUUGUGUUGUGUCAAAGCAAAAAAUUGAGGAGAUUGCACAUGCUUUACUACACAGCGGCAGGCCUUUCUUGUGGGUGAUAAGAUCAGUGUCCGAAAAUGGAGAAGUGGAAGAAGAGAAGCUGAGUUGCAGAAAAGAGUUGGAAGAGAAAGGGAUGAUAGUGGCUUGGUGUCCUCAGUUGGAUGUUUUGUCACAUCCAUCAUUGGGAUGUUUCAUUACACAUUGUGGGUGGAACUCAACGUUAGAGUGCCUAGCUUCUGG
rnacentral:lncRNA from 1 species